AUCCACUCACAUGUAUAAAUUCAGAGACUAUCUCAAUACAUUUCUCCACAUCCAUAUCAAACAACAACAAAGAGCUGUCGGAAGAAAGAAAUUAGAAGAUGCACAAUCCCCCACCGCCAGAGCCCCGUCACCAGCCCGGCCACCCACCGCCAGAGCCCCAUCCACCACCACCCGGUCCACCACAGCGCGAACCUCCUCCCCCUCGUGGCCAUUCUCCUCCUCCUCCAGGUCCGCAUGCACCACCAUCCGGUCCACCACACCGUGAACCUCCUCCUCCAGGCCCGCGUGCACCUCCACCUGAUCAUCACCGUCCUUAGUCGAUCAUAUAUAUGAAGAACUCGAUCGAAGCUAAGCCUAGCAAUAUAUGAAUAAGCGUAUCCAUAGGGGUUGAUGAUGUAACGGAAGGAUGCUCUGUAUAGCUAGUUUUACCUGGCUUAGCUCACCAGUAAUUUUAUUUUCACUUCCAGUGUGUGUAUGUGUAACGUGCUUGCUGUUUCAUUCUCGGAGAAACAUGUAUGGUGCUUGGAUAAUUAAUUAGUAAUAAGAGUAGAGUACUGUUUAUCGUCUAAGAAUAUGCCUUUCUUUCUUUCUAAGAACGUACGAUAAAUCUAAAAAAAGGAAGAUUUACAUGGAUGAAUUUUGUUGAAGGUGCUACAAAAUUCCAUUAAGAGAUUUAUAAAACUUAAUUUUUUUUUUAAAUUAAUGUGGGUGUUUAUAGUGGCGGAGGAAGUGGCAAGAAAAUGCCCCUCCCAUGUAAAUAUUUAUAACAUGGAUGAAUUUUGUUGAAGGUGCUACAAAAUUCCAUUAAGAGAUUUUAUAUAAAACUUAAUUUUUUUUUUUAGAUUAACAUGGGUGUUUGGUCCUUAAUAUUUUUUUAAUGUGACCGCUUAAGAAAAUAACAUCAUGCAUUUUAUUGGAAAUUAAUGACUUCAUGUCAUCAUUUACAAUAUAUUUCUAAAAAAAAAUGUAUCUUGUGAAUAUAAAAGACUUCUUGUAAGGUUAUGGAGUUUUAUUCAACGUUUAAAAACAUGAAAAUUAAAGUCAAUAUGUUUUUUCAACUCUAGCUCUUUUACUUCCUUUCAGUCCAGAAAUUGUUUACUUUUUAAUUAUUUUUUAUUCUCUUCUUUUAUUUAAUAAAUUAAAUUAUAUUAAAAUUAAAAUGUUACGACACAUGGAUCUAUUCAAAUUAAUAGUGUUGCAUUGUUUCAAAUAAACAUUCAAGGAGAGCACUGCGUAUGUAAAACCAAUAUAAAGAAAAUCAUAUCAUCUAGGUGUCGGUCUAGUGGUAAAAACUUGAGAUCAAAUUUUUUUUAUAUAUAUAUAAAAAAAAUCAUGCCUAAAUGAAGGGCACAAGAGAUAAAAUAUCGGUAAAGACAAACUAUCUUUAUAUUAAUUUUUAUUUAUUUAUUGUCUCUUAUAAAAAUUACAUUUUAACUCUUAUGAUGAUAUCCUUUACAAUUAUGUUCCUAUAUAAUUACAUUAUUAUGGUUCAUUAUUUAAAUUUUUUAUGUAAUACUUGUAAUAUCAUGGUUAUUACAAUUAUGAUAUAUCGUCCAUUAUAUUUGUUUGAGAUUUAUUACAAGAAGCCCAAGUUAAUAAAUCAGAACAACACAAAAGCCCAUCAAAAUAAAGCGACCGCGAUCCGCCCACCAUAAGGAGCUCGCUCUCUCCAGAACCCGAACCCGAACCCAACCCCUUCAAAAACCUCUCCCUCUAUCUCCACUCAAACCCCUCCCCCUCUUUUGCUUCUCUUGCAGCGAACUUCUCUCUCUCUACAGGGUAUGCAGCAGCUUCUCUUCUUCCUUUAUUACUAUAUUUCAUGCCUUCAUUUUUGCUUAUGUAUGUGUUUAUAUACGUUGUUUCGCGAUUCAGUUUCUAUUUACGCAAGCUGUACUGGUUUAAUCUAGUUAGAAAUGAAUGGUAUUAUCGUAAUCUCUUUGCUGGAUUGUCUGUAGAAGAGAAUUUAAGGGAAUGGGCUGUUAGAUUUGUAGAGAAAAUUAGACACCCAGAUGCAAGAUUUAGCUUGUUAAGUUACUGUGUUUGUGUGUUUGUUUUUUUCAAGUGGAAGGAAGUAAAAAGUGGAGAUCUGAAGUUUAGGUGAAGUGGUAAAAAGGGUCGAUGAGAUUAUUGUCAAAACCCCUCCUGUGUGGUAACUUUGGUAAAUUAGAGAUUAUUGUGUUUUUGUUUUUAAUCUUGAUUAAAAGAAAAUAAGGAGAUUUUUUUUAGCAAGAAUUUAGUUUGUAUUUACGGGUUCUUGUGUAAGUUUAGUUGAUUUCGUGGUUGUAUUUGGUUAUUGAUUCAUGAUUUGGUAUGGCAGGUUUGAAGUGGUGCCAUGGAUGACAAUUUGUAUGAUGAGUUUGGGAACUACAUUGGUCCGGAAAUAGAGUCGGACCGAGAGAGCGAUGGCGAGGAAGAAGAUGAAGAACUUCCAGACAAGCCUCAUGAAGACGAGGAGGAAUCUGACGGUGAAGAGGCAGUUCAUGCUUCCAAUGGUUGGCUUACUGCCCCUAAUGAUGUUGAUAUGGAUAACCAAGUUGUCCUUGCUGAGGACAAGAAGUACUACCCAACCGCGGAGGAGGUUUAUGGUCCAGGUGUUGAAACGUUGGUUAAUGAUGAAGAUGAGCAGCCUCUUGAGCAACCGAUAAUUAAGCCUGUUAGGAACAUCAAGUUUGAGGUUGGGGUUAAGGAUUCCUCAACUUAUGUUUCCAGCCAGUUUCUUGUUGGUCUUAUGUCAAAUCCCUCUUUAGUACGCAACGUUGCCCUCGUGGGCCAUCUACAGCAUGGGAAGACAGUUUUUAUGGACAUGUUGGUUGAGCAAACACAUCAUACGCCAACUUUUGAUAUAAAUAGCGAGAAACAUAUUAGGUACACAGAUACAAGGAUUGAUGAGCAAGAAAGAAGGAUAUCUAUCAAGGCAGUUCCAAUGUCACUUGUCCUUGAGGAUAGCAAUUCAAAGUCGUACCUCUGUAACAUCAUGGACACCCCUGGUCAUGUGAACUUCUCUGAUGAAAUGACUGCUGCCCUCAGGCUUGCUGAUGGUGCAGUGUUGGUUGUGGAUGCUGCUGAAGGAGUGAUGGUAAGAUUUGUUUUUAGGUUAAUUUUGAUAAAUUCAUUACAAAAAUAGUAUGAUCAUAUCUUAAUAUGAUUUUAUCUGUUCUUCUGUGGAUUAAUUUGCGAAGUAUUUCUCCGUAGAUAUUAAAUCCAUCAUUCUUGAUGAGUUCAAUACGCAAUUUGUUCUAGUUUUCUGCCUAUCAUAUCAGCAUUUAUACAGGCAUUAGUUGCAAAUGGUUUUGUCUAUGAUUGGACCGAUUGCAGCAACAAGGCUAUAAUCUUCUAUUGCAUGACUUGUGACACUUGUUCUCAAUACCAUGCACUUAUGAUCGUGGUUGAACUUCGAAGAUGCUAUUUCAUGAUAUAACUGUUGUUUUCAUAAGUGCACGAGAAUGUUCUAGCCACUUGAUAUGGUCAAUUUACUAUUUUGUAAUGCUUAGGUAAACACAGAGAGGGCCAUACGCCACGCAAUUCAGGAACAGCUGCCUAUUGUUGUUGUGAUCAAUAAGGUAAUUCCCUCUUACCUCUAUUUUGUUUGGCACUUCCGAUUCGAUUUUUUCCAAAUAUUUUGACUGGUUCAUGAAGUGUUAUUUGCACAAAUUUUCUUUUGAAGGUUGACAGGCUCAUAACAGAGCUCAAAUUGCCCCCAAAGGAUGCGUAUCACAAGCUAAGGCAUACCAUAGAAGUCAUUAACAACCAUAUAUCUGCUGUCUCUUCAACUGCUGGAAAUGUUCAAGUGAUAGAUCCAGCUGCUGGAAAUGUUUGUUUUGCUGGUGCAACCGCAGGAUGGUCCUUCACUUUGCAUUCCUUUGCUAGAUUGUAUCUCAAACUCCAUGGUAUCCCAUUUGAUGCUGAAAAGUUUGCAUCUCGUCUCUGGGGGGAUAUGUAUUAUAAUCCCGAGGACAGGACUUUCAAGAAGAAACCUCCUGCUAGUGGAGCAGAAAGAUCGUUUGUCCAAUUUGUGCUGGAACCUCUCUACAAAAUAUACAGCCAAGUGAUUGGAGAACAUAAAAAAAGCGUUGAGGCUACUCUUGCUGAGUUUGGUGUUACUCUUCCUAAUUCAGCUUAUAAAUUAAAUGUCAGGCCUUUGCUAAGACUGGCUUGCAGUCAAGUUUUUGGCUCAGCCUCAGGUUUCACUGACAUGCUUGUUAAGCAUAUACCUUCGGCUAAGGUUGCUGCUGCCAGGAAGGUUGAUCAUACAUAUACUGGGCCCAAAGAUUCAAUGAUUUACCAGGCCAUGCUAGACUGUGAUCCUGCUGGCCCCUUAAUGGUUAAUGUGACGAAAUUGUAUCCGAAGUCAGAUUGCAGUUCAUUUGAUGCUUUUGGUAGGGUUUAUAGUGGUAAAAUUAUGACAGGGCAGUCUGUAAAAGUUUUGGGAGAAGGCUAUUCACCAGAGGAUGAGGAGGACAUGACAGUAAAAGAAGUGACAAAACUAUGGGUAUAUCAAGCUCGGUAUAGGUUACCCAUAAGUAUGGCACCUCCUGGUUCCUGGGUUCUCAUUGAAGGUGUGGAUGCUUCAAUUAUGAAAACUGCAACUCUCUGUAAUGUGAAUUAUAAUGAAGAAGAUGUAUACAUAUUUCGACCUCUUCAGUUCAAUACUCUUCCAGUAGUGAAAACUGCUACUGAGCCUCUAAAUCCAAGCGAGUUGCCCAAAAUGGUGGAGGGUCUUAGGAAGAUCAGUAAAAGCUAUCCUCUGGCCAUAACUAAAGUUGAGGAGUCUGGGGAGCACACUAUACUUGGUACCGGAGAGUUGUACUUAGAUUCUAUUAUGAAGGACCUUAGGGAGCUAUAUUCUGAAGUGGAAGUCAAGGUAGCUAUUUCUCAUACGCUUUUUUGAUAUACUUUUGUUAUUUAUUCUCCUAUUUCCUUUUAUGGGACGCUCUUAGUUUCCAUGCACAUUUGUCCUGUUUAAUGCUUCAUGUCAAAUGUAGGUAGCCGAUCCUGUUGUCUCAUUCUGUGAAACUGUGGUGGAGUCCUCGUCAAUGAAAUGCUUUGCUGAAACACCCAACAAGAAGAAUAAAAUAACCAUGGUAAAGAAGACCACUAGUUUUAUUUGAUCUACUUGCUUUUGAGCAUUCUAUCUCAAUGCUCUGGACUUUUAAUUUUGUUCAUCUGGAAUGUUUCUUAAUUUUAUAGAUCGCUGAGCCAUUGGAGAAAGGGCUUGCAGAAGACAUUGAAAAUGGUGUUGUAAGCAUUGACUGGAAUCGGAAAGCUCUAGGUGACUUCUUCAAGACAAAAUAUGAUUGGGAUUUGCUUGCAGCACGAUCCAUAUGGGCUUUUGGCCCUGAUAAGCAGGUAAUCUAGUUGCUUAAUGUAUCCAUGAUUUGAUUUUUUCAAAUGAUAUGUGAUCAAAUCCUGCUCAUGUUUUGAUACCUCAAUUCCUCAUUUUUUCAAUGAUUGGAUUAAAUGAACUUAAUUUAAUCUUAUUUGUUUUUGAUAUCUGCAGGGACCUAACAUUUUGCUAGAUGACACACUUCCAACUGAAGUGGACAAGGGAUUACUAGGUGCCGUGAAGGAUUCUAUUGUUCAAGGGUAAACUGGAAUUUUUGUCUGUUCUUUUACCAUUUAACCAAAUGCCUAACUAGAACCUUCAUUUUCUUUUGGACAGGUUUCAGUGGGGUGCACGAGAAGGACCACUUUGUGAUGAACCAAUCAGAAAUGUUAAGUUCAAGAUAGUUGAUGCUAGGAUUGCGCCUGAACCACUUCAUCGUGGAUCUGGUCAAAUAAUUCCAACAGCUCGGCGUGUGGCCUACUCAGCUUUUCUUAUGGCAACCCCAAGGCUCAUGGAACCCGUAUAUUAUGUGGAGGUACUUACUUGAUAAUUGUAUUAUAUUAAAGAAAUAUGCAUACCUAAGGGAGAAUAUAUAGACUUUUCCUGCUUGUUACUGUGACUAAAGGAACAAGACAGCAGUGGAAUAUGAUGAAUUUGACAGAAAGCUCAGUAGAAUGCUCAUCCUCAGUUUCCAUAACAUACUAUUUUGAAUAAAUGCAAUUAGCUCAUUUAGAGUUAGAGUUUCUUGCUUGGAUUGUCCUACUAAUUGUGUUUUAUGUUCUUUCAGAUACAAACACCAAUUGACUGUCUCACUGCAAUCUAUACGGUGUUAUCUCGCAGACGUGGGCAUGUUACAGCAGAUGUUCCUCAGCCUGGGACUCCAGCUUAUAUUGUUAAGGUGAUAGCAGCACUUUUUCGUACCCAGCUUACAUGCUGUUGGUUUUAUACAAGUAAAUAUAUGGAGAUGGUUGACACACACCCACAUAUACUUCAAGCUUUCUCUUAUUCGUUUCUAAUUUUUGAAAUUGGAUUUCAGGCAUUUUUACCUGUCAUAGAAUCAUUUGGUUUUGAGACGGACUUGAGGUACCAUACCCAAGGUCAAGCAUUUAGCCUCUCGGUGUUUGAUCAUUGGGCUAUAGUCCCUGGAGAUCCCCUUGAUAAGAGCAUUGUUCUGAGGCCACUUGAGCCUGCACCAAUCCAGCACCUUGCCCGUGAAUUUAUGGUGAAGACAAGGCGUCGCAAGGUAUACCCCUCUCCCUUCUCCCAGGGUCUCUCUCUUUCUGUUACGUGGAUGACUUUUUCAAGCUCUUGGAGCGUUGGAAGAUUGUUACUUCAAAAUUUAUUAUUUUUCUGAGCUGCACGAGAAUUCCAAAUCUAGCAUAGUGCUCUAUGGAAAUGGGUUUUUUAUAACACCUCCUAUGCUGUUAAUAGAUAAAACCAAUAGCCAUUUGGUAAUGCUUUUUGUUUCGAUUCUAUAUUCCAGGGAAUGAGUGAAGAUGUGAGCAUUAACAAGUUCUUCGAUGAGGCUAUGGUGGUUGAGCUGGCUCAGCAAGCAGCUGAUAUUCAUCAACAAAUGAUGUGAUACUUCCAAUGUUGGUGCUUAUUUAGCCAUAGGCCAUAGGAAGCACUUCUUUCAGGCAGUUUUUAUCUGUCUUUACAUGUGUUGAAACCUGGAUAGCAGAUAGUAGUGCAGACUGAUAUCCCUAGCAGUUGGGGCAGAACACCGCUAACAAAAAGAAAGGAUGUCCAACGAGUAAAUUCAAAAUUUUGAAUGUUUGAUGUAAUAUUGUAUAAUAUUUACUGUUAGUGGCAUGAAAAACUCUCCUUUUGAGCCCAGGGAGGUGGUAAUGCAAGCAAGGUUGGAUUAUUUGUUCGAAGAUCUCAUGAUUGGUUUGCUCACCUUAUUUGGGUUUGCCUUACUGGCAUGCCUCCCCACCGCAAUACGGGCAUCGAGGCCUCCAAACAAACAUCCUGCCCUCCUGGGAUUAAAACAUUAACCUUGAAGUGAAGGGAUAAAAAUAAAUCAAGAAGAAACAUAGUAUGUGUUAUUGCCAUUAAUAUAACCUGGAACAGAAUCUCUUUUAUCAUCGCAACAUUAACUUCAGCUAACUACUAACUCUUGAUAACUACUAACUCUUGAUGGUUACAAAUCGUCUAUUCGUUCUUUUUAUUUUGAUGUUCUAUUUUUGGAUCUUAUCAUUUCUCGAUAAAUUUGCUUUAAUUGCCUAUAAUUUUUUUUAUAGUUGAUUUGUUUGUGUGAACAACAAUUCGUAGUUGAUUUGUUUGUGUGAACAGUAGCAUGCUGAGUAGUGUUUUCACCAUGCCUUUUAAAUUAUAAUUAAUAAUAACAAGAGGAUUAUUACUUUGUUUCAAUGUGUAGCCAAUAUUGUAUGAGAGCUAGGUGGUCGGAUGAUGUUUUACAUUGUAGUUGAACUAUAUUUUUAAAAUAUUUUGAAUUUUUUAGUUUUAAAUUUUUUUGUGUGUGUUUUUGGAUCGUUUUGAUGUGUUGAUGUUAAAAAUAAAAUUUUAAAAAAUAUUAUUUUGAUAUAUUUUUAAAUAAAAAAUAUUUUAAAAAACAAUUUCUAACACUCUAAGACAGUGUUUGUUUAAGAGGUUGCAUCAAAAACCUAUUUGGUAAUUAAAAAAAUAUCUGUUAUUGUUCAUGGGUCUCACGGAAUGCUGCAUUUGAAAUGCAAGAACAAGAGAAGUAGCUUUGAAAUGCAAGAACAAGAGAAGUAGCUAGGAGCUGCUUCCUGCGCAGCAAAACGCUGAACCAUGCUCCACUGUUCAGUGAACAGUGGAGGCAUGCAUCCACUGUUCCGGCCGGACCGGGUCCGGUUUAAAGCUCAAAAUGCAUUGAACCAGUCCGACCCAGUAAAAUAAAAAAAUUAUUUUUUAAUUGUGUUUUAUUCGAAAAACUAGUGUUUAACAUUAUUCAAUGACACUACUUAAAUUAGACGGAGAGCGCUUGAACACGUAACAUUUGUAGAAUUUGAUCGCAAUCCCAAAUUAUAGAUAGUUUAAUGGAACAAUAAAAAAUAUUUUAUAUAAAGUAUUAUUUAUUUCAUGAUGUAAUAACAAUAGUUAAAUCUACAAUAUUUAAAUUAAAAACCAUUAAUAUUAAUAUAUAUUUUUUUAAAAUUAUUUUAUAACGUCAAUUUCAAAAACAUUCUUAACCAAACACAUUAAACUACUUUUUAUUUAACCUCAAUUUCAACUACAGUUUUAACCAAACAUACAUAAAUACCAAACCAACCUCAACUAAAUAUAUUUUUUAUAAAAUAACUUUUUUUAAAUUAUAACCACAAAAGCCACAGAAUACCAAACAGUUGCAUGACUUAAAGAUCUUCUUAGAGGAAAGGAGAUGGAAAUGCAAGGGGCUUUUUAAUACUUUUUUUAAAAAUUCUGUUACUAGGUUUUGCAAGAAUAUAUGAACUUGUUAUUAUUAAUCUAAGUUUUUCUUUUUAUUAUGAAUACUAGCAUGUUGUUUUGCAAGUGGAUUAACCCUUUUUUUCUCUUCAAAUCUGAUCUUAAAAAAAGAAGGAAAAUCAACCUAUUCACUUUAAUGUCGAGUCAAACAUUUCUCCUUCUCAGUUAAGAAAACAAAACACAUUGGGGGCUUGGACCGUUAAUAAAAUGCCGAGAAUCACGAAUGGUCCAUCUCCUUCUCAUAUUUGAUCAUAUCAAAUUCCUUACUUUUAAUUGGAUCAAAUCUACCCUCCCAUCUUCACCAAUAAUCAAAUGGUUAUAUGAAUUCCAUGUGUUUUGAUAUAUUAAUUAUUAAGAUGAAGGAUCUCUAAUCGAAAAUAAAGGGACCAAUUUGACUCAAUGUAAAAAUAAAUGAUGUAAAUUGACCAAUUUACAAAACUAUAGGGAUGAUUUUGAAGCAACUGGAAAACGAAACAUCAGGCUAAACCCCAUCUGAGAUCCAACUCUCUGCCCAGAGAACCUAACCCUCCCUUUGGUCUAAAACUAACGUAAUCAUCUUCUUUUUUUCCUCUUAAUCACCAAUCCAUGUCUUAAAAAUCAUAAAAUUCUUAUCGAUUGGGUUUUCAAUUUUGUAAUACACGAUACACACACUUCCCCUUCUUUUCUCAUUUCUGCUCAAGAUUUCAUCUUUUUCUCUUUUUUUCCAAAAAGGCACACGCAUUGUGAUUUCUCUAAACCCUAAUCACAGAUCCAAAAUUUUUCUUCGGCUUAACCUCAAUUGCUAUUGAGUUCCACAAUUUCUUCUUAUACAGCAGAUUUACCCUUAAAAGUUUGGAACUUUAAGGGUAAAUCAUAUUGAAGGUUAGGAUUUUUUUGCAAUGAGCUGAUGCUACUGUGAUUUUUCUUUAUCAAUUACAAUGCAAUCGAAAACCCAAAUUCUUGCUCCAGCUUUUACCCUUUUCCCAUCUCUUAAACCUCCAAACAAGACCCUAACUUUUCACCAAUUUACAGUCUUGGCCAUCACCUUUCUCGCUUAUGCUUCAUUUCAUGCCUCAAGAAAGCCACCAAGUAUUGUAAAAGGUGUGCUUGGACCCAAAAUUCAAUUGAACUCUUCAACGAUUGAGUCUAAUUUAACUUCAUUAGAAUCCAAUGGUACUGGUUGGGCUCCCUUUAAUGGCCCUAAAGGGACUCACCGGCUUGGUGAGCUUGAUCUUGCAUUUUUGUCUGCAUAUUCAAUAGGAAUGUAUUUUGCAGGACAUGUUGGUGAUAGGAUUGAUUUAAGGUUGUUUCUUGUUUUUGGAAUGGUGGGUAGUGGUCUUUUGACCAUUAUUUUUGGGUUAGGUUAUUGGUUUAAUGUACAUUUGUUAGGAUAUUUUGUGAGUGUGCAGAUUUUGUGUGGUUUGUUUCAGUCUAUAGGGUGGCCUUGUGUGGUGGCAGUGGUUGGGAAUUGGUUUGGGAAAGCUAAGAGAGGGUUGAUAAUGGGAAUAUGGACUUCCCAUACAUCGGUAGGGAACAUUAUUGGGUCGGUUGUGGCAUCCGGGGUUUUGGAGUUUGGUUGGGGUUGGUCAUUUGUGGUGCCCGGAGUUUUGGUAAUUUUAGCUGGGGUUUUAGUGUUCCUGUUUCUUGUUGUUAAUCCUGAAGAUAUUGGAUUUGAGACUCCAGGGAAGGAAAUUGAAAUGGAUGUGGAGGUGAAUGGUUUGGAGAAUUUGGAGAAGGUGGAAUCAGAAGAAGCAGGGCUUCUUGGGGAGGAAAACUUGGAUUCUACCGCAGCCAUCGGAUUCCUGGAGGCUUGGAGAUUACCUGGUGUGGCACCAUUUGCUUUCUGCCUCUUCUUUUCAAAGCUAGUGGCGUACACUUUUCUAUAUUGGUUGCCCUUCUACAUAAGUCACACAGGUAUUUGCUUCUUCUUGACUUUGAAAUUCUUAUCAAGAGCUGAUUUGCUCAUGCUAAUCAUUUUUGCAUGCAUUUAGAUAUGAGUGUCAUAUAAGAACGGGACUGUGAUGGCGAUGAGAAUUUGCUAUCAUCAACACAAAUGGUGCCCUUAUUUAUGAAUUCUCGAAAUUUGAUUGUAGGAGACCAUUUCUUCUUAUCAUGGCUUGAACUCUCUUUUAUUGGUUCAUCUGGCUGAUGCACUCGCAUCUUUUUGCUUAGUUUGCUGAAGUAUGCCUUUGCAUAUAUUUGAAUUUGUUAGAUGCUGGAUGUCAGUUUUAAUAAUUUUUUUUUUGGGAAUUAAAGAUGUUGCUGGCGUGCAUGUGUCCCACAAGACUGCUGGAAUUCUUUCAACGGUAUUCGAUAUUGGAGGAGUCUUUGGCGGAGUUUUGGCAGGAUUUGUAUCUGAUAUGAUUGAAGCUCGGGCAGUGACUUCAAUAGUAUUCUUGCUUCUAUCAAUUCCAGCCCUUGUUCUGUACCGGGUUUAUGGAAGCGUGUCUAUGCUCCUCAAUAAUGCUUUGAUGUUUCUUUCUGGGCUGCUUGUAAAUGGCCCGUAUGCUCUAAUUACAACAGCUGUUGCAGCUGAUCUUGGUACCCAGGACUUGAUUAAAGGAAAUUCCCGAGCCUUAGCUACUGUGUCUGCAAUUAUAGAUGGCACAGGUUCUGUUGGGGCAGCUGUUGGCCCCCUUCUGGCAGGGUAUAUCUCCACAAGAGGAUGGAACAGUGUCUUUCUUAUGCUUAUUGUUUCUAUAUUCCUUGCGAGUUUGUUCUUGAUUCGAGUUGCGAAAAGUGAGAUUAAAGGGAUGCUGAACGAUAGAAAAUGGCUUUCAAACAAUGCAACUGCUCAAUGAUGGAAAGUGCUUCUAAGAUUAUCGUCUGUAUUCCUUUUACAUCUAGUCAUAGAACAGGUUCCAUGGAAAAACACUUGGAUAUAAAGGAUCCUGCAAGUAUACAUGUCUGUAUUUUGUAACUCAUUCUUUGAUCAGAUAUAUUCUUACUUUCUGUUGUACAUGUACAAACAAAGAUACCAAUAAUAUAAGCCUUCUACAUUCUACACUACUGUUCAGGGACACUCUAGCACCCGCUAUUUCUAACAUUUUUUAUUGGUUCAUCACAAAUUGGUAUUCCUAGCACGUCCAGCAAUCAACCUUUAACAGUCGAAGAUACAACACUUGGAGGGCAUUCUCAAAAAUAAAUAAACAAAUAAAAUUUGAGGGGCAUGAGAUGGAUUACAAGCAUUGCAUGUUGUGCCCUGUAACAGAACAGUUUAAGUGAUUUAUCAAGAAGGUAAAGCAACACCAAAUUUCACAAAUGAUAGUCUUACAGCUUUGUGGAUAUGUAAACUGAUUGUUGGAGAUCAAACAUGCCAUUUCAAUAUAAGCGAUUAAUUACCUUAUAUGGUGAAUCCAGAGAAUGAGUACACAGAGAUAAGAAUGGCUGUGCUAUUUUUAGUAGUAACUGAAACUGUAUAUAGCAACGAGCUUGAGAUUGAACUAGCUAUAUGACCUACCCGUGCUCUGCCACAACUGCGAUAAAAAAAAUUUAGAAAAAAAUAAUGUUCAUCAAUGCAGCGUAUUUUAAAGGAAGCAUGAAAAAAAAUAAUAAUAUUAGAUGAUAAAAUAAAAUAAAAAAAAAGAUGUUAUUUGAGUUAUUUUAUUAAAAACAAUAAAUUUAAAAUAAAAUUAAAGUUUAACUCUCAAUAAAUCAAAUAUUGAAUGAUAUAAUUAAAAAUAAUAUAUAUAUAAGGAUUAAAAAAUGUAAUAAUUGUUAGCUAAAAACUAACUUGAGUUUGUCUGAGUUAACUCACCAAACUAAUAGUUAGGUUAUGAGAUCGAGAUAAACUGAGAGAAGAAAAAUAAAAAUAAAAUUACGAAAUCUUAUUUUUUAAAAGACCAAUGUUAAUCCUUGUUAGCCUAUAAAACCCAUGUUUUAGGCCAUUUGACUAGAAGUAUCAAACAUGAAAAAAUCAUGAAAGUCAAUUCUUAACAAAUCAAAUAUUAAUCAAUUCUUAAUAAAUCAAAUAUUAAAGGAUAAAAAAACAUCAAUCACACAAAAAGAUUCAAAAGAAAAAAACAACAAUAAUUAAAACGAAAAAAAAAUAGUCCACUCGAGUUAACUCCUAAUUAUAAAAUCAAUGUAAAAAAACUAAAAAAACCAUUAAAUCUAUUUUUUUAAAAAAAUUCAACUUCGGGUAAAGACGUCUAAAUAUAUACACCGCAAAUUGCUAUGUUUAAAAACUCAUAUUUUUAUAAAAUAUAAAAUAUUGACUUAUAUUAACGAAAAUUCAAGUCUCUAUGAAUCUAUUUUAAAGGAAGAAUUAAAAGCCGGAUUAUUUCAUUUAAAUAAAAUAUUGAAUAAAGAUUAAAUAUUGUAUUAUUUGGUAUGAUAGAGUAAUUCAUCUUAUAACUAAUAAAACGAAGAAUAUCAUUUUGAUGUUUCUUUUGCUGUUACGUAUGAUUGGAAAUAAGUUUUGAUAAAUUAGUUUGCAACAUAAAUAGAUUUGUCCCUCAAAUAUCAAUUUUAUUGAUUGGGUCCUUCAUCUAUAUACCUCUCCGCAAUCGGAUCCUUUUGUUAAAAUAAUUGAAGGCAGUAUUGAACAACGAUGCACCUUCUGGCCAUUAAAUGUUUGGUCACCGUAAUUUUUUUAAUAUGUUUUGGAUCGUUUUAAUGUGCUGAUCUCAAAAAUAAUUUUUAAAAAAUUAAAAAAACAUUAUUUUGAUACAUUUCAACACGAAAAGUACUUUAAAAAACAAUCGCAACCAGACUCCUAAAAUCCAGCUAUCACCUUCAAUUCCAGACAAGUUAGAAAAACAAAGGCAUGAUUGAAGCAAUUUUAUGACCACACGCAUGCUCCUACAUGUGUUAAAUAGAGGGGAAAGUUGGCAUUCUCACAUCUAAUUGAUAAAAUUGGUGGCCUUUUCUUUUAUUUCCACGAAAUUCAAUUUUCAAUUUCAUCCUUCUUUACAUGGUGCCAUUUUGCAAGCCACUUGCUCGUUAGCCUAGUAGAGAGUAUCUCUUAGCCCUUGGGUCCAAAUCUUUGAGUUAAGUAGAAACUUAGUUGAAUGAAAAGAGCCCUGAGACGUUCGUAUAUGAUUUUACACAAGCGUGAAAGAGAAUGCGCCUGCAUAAACAAAACAUUAAUUGUUACUGUGAUCAAUGCAUCUUCUGGAUGAAAGAAUACCAGAGAGGUGAAAUCAUGCAGUUAAGGGCAUGCUUACUCUGGCAUUGAUCAUUUACCCUAAAUCAGUCCCUGCCUCGUAUAAGCAAAUCCAUUCUUCGGACCAAUUUCUUACUAGGCACCUUUAGCAGGCAAUGACAAGAUAAAGGGGAGAAAAGGGAAUGUAUAGACUGUUGCAAGGACUCCAGUGAAUGAGGCAAGAAUGAUAGGAGGGAAGAAAAAUGCAGAUUCUAUUUGCCCAUGAAUUUAUAUACAGCAUACACCAACAAAACUUGAGGACAGCCAAUUUAGCUAUGUACUGUUAUUUGAUUGGCUCUACCCUCCUCCACCACCUGGGGAACUUGGAUGGAAAGUUUUAAGCACUACCUUCUAGCAAGCAUUUGAGAUUCUGAAGCCCCUCGGCGGAAAUGCUUCGCCUGACUCUUGCCCUCUGUACCACCACUGGUGGCGGUGGCUCUGAGUGAAAGCUAACAAUUACAACUGUCAAGUUGUCAGUUGCUCCCCGUUUUAAUGCUUCCCCUACCAUUUCUCUGCAGCAUCGCUUCAAAUCAUUGUGCUCUUGAAGUCUCUUCCGAACAAAAUCUACUGCAUUUUGAUUUGAAUAUACAUCCCAUAUUCCAUCACUUCCGAUUAUCAAGAACUCAUCUUCCUUCGUCAGUGUAACCAAUUUAAGUUCUGGUUCGGCACUUAAGGGCCCACUUCUGUCACCCUUUUUCUUCAUUCCUUCAAGGUGCCAAUCACCUAAUGCGCGGGUAACAGCUAACUGACCAUUUAGAUAACCAUCAUCAAUGAAUCCACCUAAGGACUCAAUUCUUGUCCUUUCUUUCAUGCAGCAAGGUCUAUGAUCCUCUGACAUUUCCUUCGCCCCUCCACCCCGUGAUAAUACUGCCCGACAAUCACCAGCAUUUGCCACAAGCAAUGACCUGUCCAAGAAAGACAUUUUUUUAAGAUAACGCACUUUGUGAGAAGACAUAACAGAAUGUCAAUAUAUGAUAAAACUAAUGGAUUGGAGCAAUUCCUGACAACGCAAGAUCUUAGGUGACAUGACAGAUCUUUUUGAUUGGUCAGAAAGCUACAAUUGGGUCAUCAUUAACCUUAAUGACUAUAGCACAUUCAGGACUGUUAACCCAGCACAGAAUGGCCUUGGAAGUGACAGAUGGACUAAACAAAAGGGAUGCAAAGGGCUAGAAAGUCAUGAAUAAACCAUAGGAAGCAGAUGACUGACUACAGAAAAACGAUAAGAAGCUGUUACCUCCCAAAUAUCAUUGCAGUAAGUGCAGUCGUGCCAGAAGAACGGCCUGACUCAAGGGAGCAUGACUUUUCAAAUGCAGCAUCAAUCUCAAUGAAUGAUCUUGUAACCACUUUCUCAAGUUUUACAGGGAAAUCGGCAUCCUCAACAAUGACUCUUGGUAAAUGCUCGCGUACAAAAUGUGCUGCAGUCUUUCCUCCAUGCCCAUCAAAUACCUGUUUUCCAAAGUAUAUUUAAUUCUUAAAAUAAGAAAGAAAAAAUUCCACUUCCAAUUGCUUGUUGGCUUUGUUUUUCUAAACUAUUCAUGCAAUGCAAUUACAUCUUAUCUGUUUCCAGAUGAGCAAAGUUCAAAUGAGAGAGCUAUUCUUGGUGUCAGAUGAGCACAGGUUUCUAGGAUGCUGAUUGAAAACAUGGAAGUUUCAGAUUUUCAAGUUUAAAGUGAUGCUCAGAUUUAUUUAAAGUGGUAAGCUCCGAUUCAAUUUUAGAUUAAUACUUUCUAGAACCUUCACACUUGCUAUCAUAAUCAUAAGUGAUAUGUUCAAAGAGAGAUACUACAGUCUUCCAUCAAGGUACACUAUGGUGUAGUUAAUCUCAUAAGCGAAAGAAGCCUAUAUCCUAAAAUAUUGCUACCCGAUGAACUAGAAGACCAAAAGCUAUGAUUUUUCCAUAAGGGAACAGAAAGCACAAGUAAAAAUACAGUAUUGAUUAGAACCAAAACAGCACAAAAACAUAAAAUUCAUUAGCAGCUGAAAUAGCAGAUGAACAACAGAACAGGAAAAUAACUUACACCAUAGAAAGAAAUAGCAUGCUCGCUUAGUAAACUGUAACCAAACUUCUUAGCCAAGUCACUAAUGCAAAUGUGCGUAUCUUCCAUAUAAGGCCGACCACCAAUAUCAGACCACUCUCCUGAGCGAAGGGUGGGAAAAAAAUCUGUUAACAGAUUCUGUUUCCUUUCUGUGACCACUCUAUCCUCACAAAUGCUUUCCAACUGAAUGAACCACCACAAACAAAAAAAACUAAAAAUGAGAUAGCAGAAGAACAAAUAGUGAUAAAGAAUAAUAUUCCAUCAGAGGGUAUAGCAACAAUGAUAUGUGUAUCUGGCCAAUAUAAGUAUGCACUAUUGCAAACUAACAGUGAAGGGAAAAAUAAAUGGAUAAGAACCAAGUACAAAGGCAAUAACAAAAAUGAGAUUAUAGACAUAGAAAGGUAUUAAAUGAUUGAUAAUUAAGAAUAUAGAAGGGUUCCUGCAUACAGUUUACAAGAUAUUAUAUAAAUAAAAGUUAAAUCAGGGUUACUAUGACAAAUUGACAACCAUUACUGCUCUUUAAUCAAUACCGAAGUCACUGGAGAAAAUCUCUCUCUCUCUCUCUCUCACACACACACACUAUCUAUCCAUCUAUUUCUCCAUGACAACCAUGAGUCCAAGAAGAACAGCGACUAAGUCAAGGGAAUAUAAUUGAAGUUAAUUAUUUACCACAGAAAGCAACACCACCAUGUUGGUGGUGUGCAAAAAGGUAAAUUAAUACAAAAGAAAAGUCAUAAUACUGUAGCUACCAAAUUGAAGUACCAAACAAUAAAUUAUUCAAGGCAGAGAUAUUAAGCUAGGAAAAAAAAAGUUACAGCCACUUAUCUCCAAUGCCCACCAAAUACAUGAACCAGCAACAAUUUCAUAAUUACACAACCAGCUAAAAGUCUGAAACUUUUUAGAGUAAGGAAAAAGAAAUCAGAAAGCAAUUAUGGAUCAUCAAUAACUUCAUAAGUUUCAGAAAAAGAAAACAAUAUGGAAAAAGAAAUUAUGGAAAAAGAAAUCAGAAAGCAAUUAUGGAUCAUCAAUAACUUCAUAAGUUUCAGAAAAAGAAAACAAUACAAGUUCCUCAACAAACAUCAAUUUAAACAAAGCAGUAAUGAACAGAAAGCAAUAAACUCAAUUCUAACAACGACGACGACGACGACAAAAAGAAGCAAAAUUCAGAACACAAAUAUGGGCAAACAAAAAAAGAAAAGACCCAACUUGGGAAACCAAUGAAAUUUGAGAAAGAAAAGAAAUAUUACAGGAUAAGAGUUGGCAACACUGAUCCCACCACUAGAACUAAUCAAAGAAGAGUCUUGAUCAAAAUUCUCCAUCUGGGUUUGCAAGAGGUCACCAUGCAAAGGCAAAGAUUGCAUCUUGUUGCUAUUGCUGUUAUUACAACUACUAUUAUUGUCAAUUGGGUUCUACAUUUCUUGCUUUGCAUCCUUUACACACAUGGUUGUUGUCAAUAUUAUUAUUGUUAUUAUGUUGGUGACAGAAAAAAGAAAACAAGAAGACUUAUUUAAGUCUUUAGCAACUAGUUGUUGUCUUUGUAGGAAUCCAAAGAAGCAACAACACGAGCCAAAAAAAAAACACAGAGGAAGACACAAGGAGAGAGAGAAUCAAAGAGAAAAACUUGGAAUACAGAGAGGGGGGGUGGAAGAUUCUGUGGAAUAUCUCUAUCGUGAUGAUGGUGAAAAUAAAAUGAAGGACUAGUUGAUGCCUUGGUGGAGGGAGGGUGAGAGAAAGAGAGUAUAAAUAAGAGCUGUUAAAUUCCAGAUUUUUCUAAGAAAGAGUGGCUGAAAAUCAGUUGGUUAAGCUGUUCUUGUUUUUGUUGUUCUUAUGGGCAUGCUGGAUGCAUAAAAUAAAUCGUACAGUUUUGGGUAUUGUGAUGUUUUUUUAUAAAAAAAAAUAUAUUAAAAUAUUAGAAAAUAAAAAAACAAAAAAAAAUAUUUUUUUAAGCACGGCCACACCGCUAAGCUUUUAAUUGCUAAAAGGACUUUGAUGUUGCUAUAUAUUAUGGCAUAAUUGCUAAUAUUGUCAAAGCUUGAAUGAGUUGUUGAUAAAUUAAGAUCAUGGUAUUUUAUAAUAUUAAUAUGAGGAGUUGGUCAAAUAUAUAUCAUUUUUAUUCCUUGGAGUGUAGACUUUAGAAUAAAAUUUUAAUUUAUUUUCAAGUUUCAACAACCUAAUUUGUUUUUAAUCCAUGAUGAUCGAUAUUUUAAAUUAAGAUCAUGGUAUUUUAUAAUAUUAAUAUGGCCUUUGUGUACGAGGGAUUUGGUAGGGAGAAUUUCUAGGUAAAGUUUACUGAACAAGAAAAAGAUUUUGCCUUUGUGACAUGAAUUCAUCUGGGUUCUGGAAUUGUGAUGGAAAUCCAAUAAUUCAAUGUGCCUCCGAAGUUCAGCAUUGGAUAAAUGAUGGCCCGAAUCAUUUGAAAUGAAAUCCCAUUUCAUUUCUCGAAAGUUCAUGGAACCAUAAUAUUUGGUAAUUUUUUUUUUGACAUUGCAAUAAUGUUUACUCUUCAAAUUAUUUUUUAUUUAAAAAAAUAGUAAAUUAAUAUUUAUUUACAUAUUUUUCAAUGAUUUUAAUAUGAUACUAUUAAAAAUAAAAGAAAUUAUAAAAAAUAUUAUUUUAAUAUAUUUUUAUUUAAAAAAUAUUUUUUAAAAACACAAUGCACCACGUUAUUAAACACACUCAAAAUAAAAAUUAACUUUUUUUAAUGCAUAAAUAAUUUUUUUUUUAGUUGUGAUAGUUCACAAAUUAUUUUUGAAAAAAGUUACUCUAAUCAUGAUAUAAUUUAGUUGUUUUUAAACUUAUUCUUCGUGUUUUUUAAAAUUACAGUUUAUAUUCUUGAUAAGUAUAAAAUAAACUAAAUUAUAUUGCGCAACAAGGUUUAAGAUAUAAAUUAUAAUUUUUUAAAAUACAGAAAAUAAAUAUAAAAAUGACUAAACUAUAUAAACUAAUCAAGCUAAUUUCUCUUAUUUUUAACUAUUGUGCUGUUUUUUUUAUAUAAAAAAAAUAGAAGAAAAAAACCCCUUCGAUCACCUGUUGAAAGCAUCCAUCAAGAUGAUGCAAUGGGACAAUUUCACCCUUAUAUAACAUGGAAAUAGACUCUUGUGGGAUUUACUUGCAUCAUUCCCAGUCAGACUGAAAAGACCAUCAUUAUUCAUUCUUAAGAGCUACAUAAAGGUUGUUAAUGAUUGCAGCGAAGCUACUAAAUGUUUUAUGGUCAAAUAUCAAGAGAUCUGAACAUUUUCACCCCCUUCACAUGUCAAUUCUCCAUGCCUAAUGGGGCUUGGUUUAUUCAUUCAAUUGCUAGAAAGAACAGAGAAUGAGAUGCCAGGAGAAUUGGUUUUCAUUGGUUAGUGUGUGAGCUAAAAGAUACUUGAUAAAUCGUGGGACGAUGAUGGAAGACAAUGACUUCGGAUUUAUUUCCCUUUUGCUUUCUACAAAAGGUAGUGGUGGCUCGCACCGUUUUCUCUUCUAUAAAAUAUAUCUUUUUCGAAGCUAAAAGGGCCCUUGCAAUCAAUGCCAAGAGAGUUCACAUCCUAAGGCUACCUUGCUCGUCUUUCUUUGCAGUAUAAAAAUCUUUCUUUCAAGGGAAAUGCAGUCCCAAUUCUUCCCAUCAAGGAAAGUAUCAAGAUGUUGUCUAAAAAGAAUGCAAGAGGGAUCGCUCCUUUUGUGUGGUUUGGAAUUGAGCAUUACCAAAAAAGUUAGGUUAUUAUAAUCAUAAACCUUUUCUCGCACUUUACACUGGUCAAAGACACAAGAUAAAUAAAUAAAUAAAUAAAUAAAAUGAAGCCGCUUUCAUUAGUCUUAUGAUUUUGUUGACGAAGGAAUCAUCUUGGUUGCUUCGUAUAUGACCUAGGAGGGUCUUAGCCUUCAACAUGAUCCAUUCAACGAUGAAUUAGUGUUUUUAGCAUAAGCAUUUGGCAUCUUCUCCCUUUCAAAUCCACAAAUUUGUUUGCUCUAAAGAUAUGCCUUACAAGUUUGAAAGCAAUAAAUUAAGCCUUUAAAAAAAAAUAAAAAAGUGAUGGUCCAAUUAAGACCAACCCAUCAAGCCAUGUGGAUCCAGAUAGCACAGUCCCGUAAUCCUUCCACUGCCAAGAGCGGGAGGUAUUCGCUGCUCUGUGAAACCAGCCUCACGCUGUGCCCUCCACUCUAGGAGUCAUGACACCCCAGUUUACAGGAGGAUGCCAUGGCUCAACUCAUGGCUUGGAACGGGCAGGCCAGAUUCGAGCCCCACCGAACUCAGUUAUCUAAGCUAAGGCAACGUUCCAUCACAUCAAAGCUCCCACUUGGGUCACAAGCCCACGUUACUGAGCUCAGCAGAUCUGCUAUGGGGAUGAACGAGUGUUGUAAAGUAGUGGUAUGUUUUCUUUUCUUUCAAUGUGGGAUUUCAUUCACACCUCAAUCAGGUGGUUUAUGGGGGGAAUCUGUCAAAGAAAACACUGCACUGAAAAUAAAAACGAAUAAGAUAUUGAACCCAAAUCGCAUUGAAAAUAAAAACGAAUAAGAUAUUGAACCCAAAUCGCAUUGAUUGUGACAAGCAUUGUGCUGGGGGGGUUAUUAGACAUUGGAGAGGAUGUGGAGUGUCAAGUUCGUGGCUCUAAUCAAAGACAAACAAUGGACCAUGGUUACGUCAACUUUAGAUGAAGAGAAAGUAGAAGGGCCUAGAUGGAUGGAAUGUGGUUCAAUUAUAUUUUUAAAAAAUUUUGAUUUUUUUUAUUUUAAUUUAAUUUUUUUUGGAUGUUUUUGAACCGUUCUGAUUUACUAAAAUUAAAAAUAAAUUUUAAAAAAUAAAAAUAUUUUAAUUUAUUUUCAAACAAAAACAUUUUAAAAAAUAACUUCUACGAUCUCGUAGAAUAAUUGCAUGCUAAUCUCAAAAUAAAGCAAGAAUCUUGUGAGGUCACGGGAUAGGAAUUCAUUCUAUAAGCAAGGUAUGGAUGGCUAGAAACACACAGGAUGGAUGGAUUUUAAGCCCUCUGUGCUACAAAUGAGAUUCCACUCUUUCUGCGAGAAAAUGCCAAUACUCUAAAGUAAAUAAGAGAUAAACUUCGUUAAGAUCUAGAAAAACCUUAAUUCCUUCUAAGAUAAUCAUAAAGCAUGUCUGGACGCUAUGGAGGCCCUCUCUGUUUACGGUCAAAGACAAAAAAAAUGAAGCCAUUUUCAUUAGAUUAUGAUUUGAUUGACAAAGGAAUCUCUUUUGCUUGACUGGUACGUGUCCGAUCUCAGCGGCAGUCCAUUUUCUUCCACUGGCACCUGUUACGUCAUUGCACUAGCAUUUGGCAACUUGUUGUGUCUUUUAAACCUUUAUCAAACCCGGCUCGGGAUUGAACCGGUCAAAGAAUUGAGCUCUAGUUAUACAGGUUGAUUUAAAUAAACCUAAAUCAACUUGAAAAAAUUAAAAAAUAAUAUAUGUUAUUCAUGUUAUAAAUAAUUAGAUUUUAAAAAAUAUUUUAAAAUGUUUUCUAAUCCACGUAAAAAAAAACAUAAUUUUUUUAUUGUGAGCAUUGAAUAUAUAAAGAGCUUCAAAUAUAAAAAUAAAACAUAUUUUUAUUAUUUUAUAUUUAUAUAAUGAACUUUAAAUUAAUAAUUAACUGAAAAAAACAUAAAAAAAAGAAUUUUUGAUAGGAUGAAAACUACAUUUGAACAAAAAAAAAAAAAAAAUAUCUACCAAAUUUUAACGGAUCACCUAAAUUCCAGGUUGAUUCAACCAGUCAAAUAAUUUUCUCCAGGCUAACCCAAGAUUCAUGACUCUGUCGAAGAUUCGUAAAACAAAAAAGAAACGAUUACAAAUUAAAAAAAGUGACGGUCCAAUUAGACCAGCUCUUCAAGCCAUGCAGAUCCAGUUGGCACCGGCCCGUAAUCCUUCCACUGCCAGGAGCGGGAGGUGAUCGCUGCUCUGUGAGACCAGCCUCACGCUGUGCCCUCCCCUCUAGGAGCCAGAACACCCAGGUCUUCACUAGGAUGCCUUGGCUCAACUCCUGGCUUGGAACGGGCGGGUCAGAUAAGAGACAGCCUGAACCCGACCUUACGUGCAUAGUCCACGUCCCAUCACUUUAAAGCCCCCACUCAGGUUACAAGCCCGCGUUACCGAGCUCAGCUGGUAAGCAUGUGUCAGGAUUAGGUAUAUAACAUUCAUAUAUUUUUCCUUUCUUUCCGAUGUGGGAUGUUCCUCUCUUACGUGUUCAUUAGGGAAAAAGCUUUGAAUGAGCAAAAAUCUCGGGGCAUAAAAGGUAAUAGAUUCAGGAAGGAGAGGAUUCUCCACUUUCUGGAGAAUCUUGCACUAGGUAAACAACAAGAGAAAUUACAUCAUGAACAAUAACUCACGUUCAUGUGUUACCAAACAGCUUGUAGCUUCAAAUCGCAGGAAACGUGGACGCCACCACGUUGCCAAACGGACUCUAAGUCAAUGCAUACUUUUUUUUUUUUUUCAACGUUGGACAAGUAGAAGUGGUGAAAGGGUUGCAUAAAAUUGAAAGAUGAUUGAUUAAUGAAUCAAUGGCAGCAAAAGUUAAGAUCAUGAACCUUGAUGGCUGUAGAACCAUUGCUUUGAAAACAACUCUUUAAUGUAUAUCUUCGACAAUCAUGAUUUAAUUAAAAACAUGAAAAUGAAGAGAAAAAAAGAAUCUCGUUGUCCAUUUGCUGUCAAACUAUGCUGUUCGAAACUCCAGGAGUAGCCUCUUACAUAAGAGAUAACCCUAAAACCAAUAUGGCUGUAACACCAGCAUAAACAGAAAAAAUGGAAGUUAAACCUCACAUUCCUGUGAAGGCCUUCUUCCCACUACAUGGAAAUAUACUACAAAUGAAAUUCCACUAUUUCUGCAAGAAAAUGCCAGUAUUUUAAAGUAAAUAAGAGAGAAACUUUGUUUAGAUCUAGAAAAACCUUAAUUUUCCUAUUAUUAACUAGAACUAAAUAGUGUGGUGUUUUUACUAUGCCCUGCCUCAAUUGUUCAUCCUCUUAUAUUUUACUGUAGAUAGACUAUGUAAAAUUUUAUAUUUUUUUUUUGUACUCGAAUUGUUUUUGGGCAAUUUAGUCUUAAUUAAAAAACAAUUGAUUUUAAAUUCUUAUGAAAAGAUGGGGUUGGAAGAGGGGAGAAUAAAAUGAAAAACACGGCAAACAUGAGUGACGAGCUAUAAGUUUCCAAUUCUAUUUUGGUACAAAAAAAUUAUUUUUGUUAUUUUUUCAUAUUUUUAUUAUUUUAAUUAAUGCUUCUUUUUUAAAAAAAAAAAAAAACUUAAUUAUUUGUACAUUGAUACUCCUCUUUUUUAUUAUGUUUAGAAAGCCUCUUUUAGAUGAAGGUGAUUUUUAGUUAUGUGUUUAAUUUUUGAAAAUAUUUUUCUAAUUCAUCUAUGAUAUAUAUUUUUUUAUCUUUUUUAUAGAUGAACUAUAUUUUUAAAAAUAAAAAAUAUUAAUUUUCAGAUGAUAUUUUCAAUAUGUGUAGCCUUGUAUAUUAUUCAUGUUCUCCUUUUAUUUUAUUCAAUCAAUUUAAUAUGUUUGUCUAUUUUUAUUAUCAUUUGAUUAAAUAAAAAAUAUUUUAAUAAAUAAAAAUUAGCAAACAUGAUCGGGUUGAAGUCCCGUUUUACGAGAUUAAAUAUCUUAAUCUAAAUCUGCUACGAUUUUUCUAGUUUUAUGUUUAGAUGUUGUUAAUUAUUAUUUAUUAGAGUACAUAGUUUUCAAUUUAUUUAAUUAUAUCCGUGAAUAAAUUUUUUGAAUUGCAUAUACAUUUUUUUAUUUAUAAAAAUACAUAGAGAAACUUGUAUAUAAAAAAUAAAAAUAUUUAUUCAUGGACAAGUACAAGUUACAUAACUAGUGAUAAUCAUAAAACAUGUCAUGAUGCCAUGGUGGCACUCACUGUAUAUGGUCAAAGACAAAAAAAUGAAGCCAUUUUCAUUAGAUUAUGAUUUGAUUGACAAAGGAAUCUUUUUUGGCUGACUGGUACUAUCUCAGGCAGCAGUCCAUUUUCUUCCACCUUCCACUGAGUCACUGACAGCUGAUGUGCCAUGCUCAUUUCGGGUAGUUGGUAUAAAAACAAAAAUCAAAAACUUAAUCGAACCGCUAUGCCAAAUGGACUCUGAACCAUGAAUUGGGUCACCUGUUACGUCAUUGCUAGUUUUAAACCGCUAUGUUGAACAUAUAAACAAAAAAAAUGAUAAAAGUGAUGGUUCAAUUAGAUCAGCCCAUCAGGCCAUGCGGAUCCAGGUGGCACCGGCCCGUAAUCCUUCCACUGCCAGGAGCGGGAAGUGAUCGCUGCUCUGUGAGACCAGCCUCACGCUGUGCCCUCCCCUCUAGGAGCCACGACACCCAGGUCUUCACUAGGAUGCCUUGGCUCAACUCCUGGCUUGGAACGGGCGGGCCAGAUAAGAAACAGCCUGAACCCGACCUUACGUGCAUAGUCCACGUCCCAUCACUUUAAAGCCCCCACUCGGGUUACAAGCCCGCGUUACCGAGCUCAGCUGGUAAGCGUGUGUCAGGGUUAGUUUUAUAAAGUUCAAAUAUUGUUCCUUUCUUUCCGAUGUGGGAUGUCCCUCUCUUACGUGUUCCUUAGGGGAGCUUGAAUGAGCAAAAUCUUGGCAUAAAAAGUAACAGAUUAAGGAAGGAGAGGAUUCUCCACUUUCGAUGGAGAAUCUUGCACUGUUGCACCAGGUAAACAAGAAGAGAAAUUACAUCAUGAAAUCACUACCCAAGUCAAGGCAUACUUUUUUUUUUUUUCUUUUCAACGUUGGACAAGUAGAAGUGGUGAAAGGGUUGCAUAAAAUUGAAAGAUGAUUGAUUAAUGAAUCAAUGGCAGCAAAAGUUAAGAUCAUGAACCUUGAUGGCUGUAGAACCAUUGCUUUAAAACCAACUCAAAAUAGCUCUAGCGAUUUAGGUCAUGUUUGUUUGCUGGAAAAUAAUUUCUUUUUUAAAAUGAAUUUCAGAAAAAUAAAUUAUUUUCUGAUAUUUGGUAAUAUAAUGGAAAAUAAGUUGGAAAACACUUUCUAGUGUUUGAUUAUAUCAUGGAAAAUGAGUUGGAAAAUAACUUAUUAAUGUUUUAUUUUUCUCAAGUUUAUUAAAAUAAUAAGGAACAAAUCUUACAAGUUAAAAAGUUGAAUGAGAAUAAAAUUAAAAAAAAAUAUAAUUUCAUAAAUUAUCUCAAAUAAAAUAAAUAAUAAUCAAAAUAAUAAAGAUCAAAUCUAAAAAAUAAAAAAUAAAAAAACGAAGAAAUUAAAAUAAUAAUAAUUAACAUUUCAUAAAUUAUUUCAAAUAAAAUAAGUAACAAACAAAAGAAUGAGGACCAAAUUUGAUAGAUAAAAAAUUUCAAUAAAAAAAUGAUAAGGAAAAAGCAAAUAAUAAUUAUAAAAAUGAGGAGCAAAGUUAAUAUAAAAAUUAAAUUUUAAGAGAUGAAAUUGAAAAAAAAAUAUUCAAAACAAAUAUAUAUAGCAAUCAAAAGUUUGAGGACCAAAUUUGAUAUAAUCAGUAAAUAAUAUGAUAUUUUUAAAUUUUUCACAACUUCCGGAAAGUGUUUUCCGCCCAAAUUUUUCAGGAAGACACUUUCCUAGAAACCAAUUUUUCUGGAAACCAAGCCAAAGUUUUCUUUGACUGGAAAGUGUUUUCCGUUUACCAACUUUUCUAAUGACAAACAAACACAGGAAAGUUUGGAAAGAGAUUUCCUGAGAAUCACUUUCUGGAAAACAAACACAGUCUUAACUUGUAAUAACAAACAAAAAGUACAAAUCUUGUAAGCACAAAUCUUAACUGCAAACGUAAGAAAGUAACCAUGUCUUUAUCAGAAGUUACACAGGCCAAUCUUUCAAAAAAAAAAAAAAAAAAAAAGGAAGAACACAGAUGAGCAAAAAAAAUUGAUGGUUUUAUUGUUCAAAAAAGGAUAAAAAAUACAGAAUCCUAUCUGUUUGUUGAUGAAAUAGCUAGUCCUCUUCCUGCCAAUUACUGCCCAAGACCAACACCACUCUUUUCUGAAUUCCUCUGAUUUUAGGAUUUUUUCUGGCCUUUAUUUUUCAGACACUAAUCUCCAUAUAUUCCCACUGAAAAUCACAGGCAACAGAGGUGAUGGGCAAUCUAUGUCGCCAAGGAGUUGGAAGAAUUUCAUGAGCCCAAGUUACCGCACCAUUCAAUGCUCACUGUUAUCCAAAUCUUUCAACCAACAGUAGGGACUCCAUCACAAGAGGCUCAACUGUGAAUUCAUUCAAGGGGAAAGAGAUAUUUAUGGCACUUCAAUUACAAAUUCAUUGCUCCCACAAAGAGGUGCACUAUAAGCUAUCCAUAGAGAGAGGUGACGCCCUUUCCCUUUCGUUAACUCUCAAGAUCCUCGCGGCUAGAGUUUUAGGUUUAGGACAAAAAAAAAACUGAGAAUAAUAAUUGUAGAUUAGAUACAGCAACUUCUGCUGUUAAAAAUUGGGAAAAAAAAAUUAUUAGAUGCCAGCAGUGUCUACUAUCUAGACACCAUCAAAUGAUCGUCACCAUCAAAAGCUCUAUAAAAAGAGAAUUGCAAGACAACAGGACACCCUUGCAUGUGCCUGAGCAGUCUUUCAUCACCUGCCAUGUAAUAUGCACCUUGCUAAAAUCUUCGAUUUACUCAAUAACUCGUGCGGAUGAAGCAACAAAUUCCAAUGCUAUUGAUAAACAGUAGCAGUGGUAUCUUCGACAAUCAUCAUUUAAUUAAAAACAUGAAAAUGAGGGGAAAAAAAAGAAUCUCAUUGUCCAUUUGCUGUCAAACUAUGCUGUUCAAAACUCCAGGAGUUGCCUCUUACAUAAGAUAUAACCCUAAACCAAUAUGGCUGUAACACCAGCAUGAACAAAAAAAAUGGAAGUUCAACCUCACAUUCCUGUGAAGGCCUUCUUCCCACCAGCAGCAGAACCAGCUGGAAUCACUUUCAAUACAUUAAAUCUAACAGUCUUGGACAGUGGCCUGAAAUGGUAAGAGGCAAAUAUUAUGAAUUGAAGGCCAAUUGCAUAUACAAUAACAGCUAAAUCACAUUCAAGAUAAAUGAUAUAAAAUAAAACUUUGGGUGGUCAAAAUUUAACCUGCAUUGUCCGAUGAUGACAUGAUCGCCUUCCCUCACACGGAAGCAUGGGGAUACGUGUGCUGGAAUAUUUGAAUGCCUCUUCUCAUAUCUAUGGGGAAAAAAUAAUAUUUAAAUUAUAAUGGUGUGAUAAUAUGCACUGAAAAACACCAGAACUAAAAUUGGACUAGACCUUUGGUAUUUCUUGACCCAGUGAAGAUAGUUCCGCCGAACAAUAAUUGUCCUCACCAUCUUGGCACUAUGACAAGUUCCAGCUAAGAUACGACCUCGAAUAGAAACAGUGCCGGUGAAGGGGCAUUUUUUAUCAAUAUAAGUUCCUGUCAGAAGUAAACAUAUGGGAGUACAACGUCAGCAAAUUUCACAUUCUACAAAAAUAUCAUGUGAAGGAGAAAUUACAUGAAAGAGGCACAUAUGAAUCAAGUUGCAAACGAAGAACUUGGCAUAAAAAACAUGGAUAGAAACACAAGCAUGGAGACAUAUCAACAGCAUUUAAAGAGAUCGUGUCCAUGGCACUCGACAUGUGUGAUUAUUUAAUAACUAUUUAAAUUCCAUAUCAUCAUCGACAAGGUUCUAAUUCCUCCAUAUCACACAUUGAUUUGUAACAAAGCAAGUUAAUACAUAAACGAAAUAUAUUAGUAUUUACAACCCUAUGAUCAUAGAACAUAUCUUGGUUACUUGACUCCAUUAUCCAUUAAAAUCAGUGCAUUCAACUAGAAUAAAAUAUACAAAGCUCAAUAAAAUUACAAACAUGAAAGCAUCAUAAGAAUGACACAACUAUAAAAGACAAACCUUCAGUGGCUUCUCUGGGAGUCUUGAAACUCAAUCCAAUACUCUUCCAGAAUCUGUUUCCACCUUUUCCAGGCCUCUUUCCUUUCCCAGAUUUCUUUGAACUGCCAAAAAAACACAAACAAAUCAAAAAACACAAAACAGCAAAAACCCACAUCAAAUAAAAAGACCCCAAAACAGAAAGUUCGCCUCUUUUGCUGUUCUAAUACAUUACCUGAGAAACACUUUGGGUUGUUUCAAAAAUGCCUUUUCAGUCUGCAACACAGAAAUAAAGAAACCAUAAUGAGAGCUCAUAAUAAGAUCUAAGACUAAACGUGUUUGGAGUAGAAGCAGUGAAUAGCAAGAGAGUGUGUUGCGAGAACCUGCUCAGCCAUGAUUUACAGCUGUUUGUGUUCUCUACAAGGACCUGAAACAGCAGGAGGCAAAAGAUACAAAAGAGAGAGAGCCUCUUGCUGAAAUGAGCAAGCUUUAAACCCUAUUUUGCUCGCUGAUAUGUAGUAAUAAUUUUUUGUUAAAUAAAUGGGCCUUGGUGGUCCUUUUCAAUACAGAGUUUGGUAAGAUACUAAUAUAUCUUACCGGAUAUUUUUUAAAAAUAUAAAAAGAUAUUAAAAUUACAGAGAAUUUUUUAAUAAUAUUUUUAAAUUUGAUUCAAUUUUAAAAUUUUCUGAUUUAAUUUUUUAUCUAAUUCGAGUUUUUGAAUUUUAAAUUAAAUCAUAUAAGACCUAACUCAACUUAAAUCGAUUAAUUUUAUAGGUUCAAAUACAACGUUGAUGAUCGGUAAAAUCAUGACUUUGCUUUUAAAAAAACUUGAAGAUGAUAACUUUGAAAAAAAAAAUUAAGAUAAUAACGGAUUGAAUUGACUUCGAUCUCCCCGCGAUACAGGUCAUGGACUCUACUGGGUUCAAUUACUUUUUUAUACACUAUUUUUAUUUAAUUAUAUGAUAAAAAUAAAUACUCAUAAAAUUGAGAUCCAACCUAAAAAUAUACAUUUGAGAUAGUUAUCCCUAUAAAAAGCAAACAAAAAUCAAUUAUAGAUUCUAUUUCCUAACCAAUCCAAUAUUGAUAGAUGCAAUAGAAAAAAUAAUUAAAAAUAAUUAAAAGACAAAAAAAAAUCCAACCGAUGGGUAAACUCGUCAAACAUGUGAAUCGGGUAACCCGGGCUAGUAUACCAAACUUGUGAAUCAGGUAAUGGACUCCACUAACAUUAUAAUUUUUUUUAAAAAAGUAUUUUUUUAUGUAACUAUAUAACAAUAAAAAUAGACGAUUGUGAAAUCAAAUACCAUCACAAUACCAAGAUGUUUUUUUAAGACUGUGAUAACAUCAAAAAAGACAAAAUAAAACCAAUCAUGAAACUGAAUCCUCAAUCAACCCAAAAUCUCAGGUGAAAUAAAAAAAAACUAAUUAAAAAAAAAUUGAACUUGUCAUACCUACUAACCAGCACAAACUCACACUACAUUGUGUUUAAUUUUUUAUCAAAUAGAAUUGAGGUAGUGAAAUUUAAACUUGAAACCACUUGAUUAAUAAAGCUCUGAUACCAUGUCGAAUAACCAUCUUAACCUAAAAACUUAAACUGUUAAAUGAUAUUCAAAUAUAUAAUUUUAUAUUAUUCUCUAACACAAUGAGUGUGGAUGAACAGUGGUUUCCCCACGUCUUUUAAUUUUUAUUUGUUUAUAAAGUUUAAUAACAUGAUUUUCUCCGAAACUAGAACAACCUGAGUUACUUUGACAAACAUGUAAACUACGCUAAUCUCAUAGGAAAACAAAAUAAUAAUAAAAUAAAUUACGAAGCUAAAUUCUUAACUUUUUUAAUAUUAAAAAAUAAAAUCAACAAAAAUAAUUUUUAAAAAAAUCAUAACAAAAAAAAAAAAAAAAGGAAGAGUGGUAAAGCAUCUCUAUAUAUUUUUUUUACUUCAACUAAAAUUUUUUAUAUUUUUUUUAUAUUUUUAUAUCGUUUUGAAAACUAAGAUAAAAAAUAAACUUUUAAAAAAUAAAAAAUAUAUAAUUUCUUAAUAAAACAACAAAAUCCCUUGAACUUGGGAAGAAAAUAGUAAAGGAAACAAUCUUCAAUUUUAGGAUAAUGUCAUGUUAGUGAUUUGGAUUGUAUUUAAACACAAAUACUAAUAUUAGCAUAAACCAUGUUCAAAUAUAAUGAAAGGAUUUGACAAUUGAUACCCAUCUUUGACGUCCCUUGUCUUUGGUUCUCCUCCCGGAUGCAAGAUCAUCAAACCUUGCAUUCUAACAAGACACUUACAAAACCUGGUAGCUAAACUAGUUUUUUACAUGUUACCAUCAUGGCAACAUAUUCCAAGUCCACCGUCUGGUGAAAGCAUCCACCGGAAAUUUUAACUUCUAGCUUUCCCUCUAGAUCCUGAGCAAGAAACAACACAUGGAAUAUGAAAAUAACAAUGAUAAUACAUGCACAGCCCCUACUCUCUCCCCCUUGAAAGCCAUCCACAAAGCUCACAUGAAUGUCCAUAAACGCACAUGGAUGCAAAGGGAAGAAAUAUAGUAAUAUAAACUGAUUGCGCUGAAUAAUUACUUUCUGAAUAGUAAUGUCAUAUCAAACCUUCCCAGCAAUCACAUACCAGGGCAAACGAGUAAAAACCAAACAUAUGGUGAUGAAGUAUUGAAAAAUAGUUGAAGCUAAUUUGCCUAAUAGGACUCCGAAGUAUACAAAGCCGUAAUGUUACAGUAUGGAAACCAAGCAUUUCAUCUCAACUCAUUGCCUAUUAACUUGAGAAAAUGACCAACCAUCAUUGACAUGUUACACUAAAUUGAAAAGAUAAGACCAACCGCCAUUAACCUAUAGAAGAAACACAUGAUUCUUUAGCUGUCUGAGAUCAUAAUCACAAGUUCAGCUCUUGAAUCCUUUGUCCACAGAUAAAUCACUCAGUCUGCACCAGCAAAUAAGAUCAAUAAAAUAUAUAAUAAUAAAGUUUCCAGAAUGAAAAAUGUAAAUUUAAUUCCAUCAUUUUGAUUUCAGUAAUGACUAAAGAAAAACUUUAAGAAUGGUGAAAUUCUCAGCAGAAUAUUUGCCAUAUAUUGAACAACACAGAGAUCCUGUUAUAAUAAGCCAAAUGCUUAGGUAGUGAUAGACAAAGCAUUGGCAGAAACUUUUCCACAAUGCUUAACGUUGCAUACUUAUUUAUUAUAUAUAGAUCUUGUGCAACAAAUUCUACCCAUCCUCUGAGGCUGCUUGGAGCUUUCAAAAAAUAUAACAAAUUCUACUCAUUUUUAUCACAUACUGGAUGACAUUGUACAAAAAUACUUGAUAUUCUAGGAAUGCAACAAAGGGAAACAGAACAAUAACCAGAGACUCAUAUAACAGAUUGUUACCGAAUUGUCUCUAAAUUCAUUGAAUUCAUCAAGGCUAAUCUAUACUCAUUGUAUAAUAACUUCUUACUGCAUCUCAAAAACUUAUAUUUACUGUUAAUUUUAAUACAGCUGAAGGAUGAGAUGGCUGCACAGAAAAGAAAAGAAAUGAAAUUCCUUAAACAUGCCAGACCUUUUGGCGUUUUGAAUUUGGAGGGCUUGGUUCCGUAUCAUGGCCACGAGAUGUUCCAAUGCCAGAGUUUUCAGCCUGCAAAUAUGCCACCGGUUAGUCUUGUAGUUCUGAUGUUUUUAUGCACACAUCAAUUUAGCUUGACAUAUUUACAACAUCAUGCCAACACCUUCAAGAUUCAUUUGAUUGGGUGAAGCAAGAAAUCCAGAAUAGUAAGGGACAUGAGAUAAGUAUCCAUUGAAAGAUAACUGAAAAUGCUACAUACAUGGGUUGAAGAAUCUCGAGGCCUCUGAUUCCCAGAGUUCUGUGCUUCUCCAGGAGGUAUGGCACUGGGUUCUGCACCUCCACUUUGAGAUAUGAGGGGCAUGAUCUCACGAAGCAAAUUAGACAGAAAUAUCCCCUCAUCAGUAGCUCUUGGUUCUGCUUCUGCAGUAGCAGUAGAUUGCCCUGCAGUCUCAGGGACAGAACUAGUAGUUGUUCCUCGUAAGCUGGCAUCCUCCAUAUGGAUAUCACCAGGUAAGAUGGUCCUCAGAAGCUGCAAAAUAUUGUCGGGGAUAUGUCGUUCAGAAUCCUGGUUGUUUUGGGCCCCACUAGCUGACAGAAUGUUGAUACUUAUACUGCGAGAAAUAGAAGGCUCUUGUCUCAAGUUUGGUGGCAAUGAUCCUGGAAGAACAGCAAGGUUGGUCAACUAGUAUAGAACAGCUGAUUAAGCUCAUAUCUUCUCAUACAGUCAUAUCAUCAACUCCUAAAGCAAGAUACAGCGAGCAACCAUCAAAACUUUGACUACUAUACACAACAUUAACUUCAAUUGAAUUUCUACAUGAUAUUGUGAACUGAAAAAAACCGAUUUCUUGCAAGCCUGUAACGAUAUGUUCUCAAAGGUCCCCAAUCAAAUCUUUAGGAAAUAAACAUAUGGAAGAAAACUCAGGACACUUUUAAAAAAGGAGAAUACAACACAAACAUUAUUUUCCUUAUUUUUUAGGGUGAGGAUGGGGUGCUCUUAUUGACUGGUGCUAGGAAGAAUCCACUUCAGCAUCCUAAAGGAAAGCCUUUCAUCAUGUACUUAAAUGGUACAAUAACAAUAAAUACAACUCAGAAAACAGCAUUGAGAAAUUGGCUGCAUGGCAGGUAAGUUUUGCUGCAAAUUGGAAUCCAUAUGCGUGGAUCAGAAUAAUCAAAGAAGGGUGUGUAUGUGUUAUAGUAGUAAGCAUGAUACUUUUACUAUGAAAUUUUAAGAAAGAAAGAUAUAUGUGGAAUGUUCAAAAAUAGCAAUAUAUGUGGAAAUCGCCCUUCCUCCCUCGUUCAUGCAGGAUUGAAAUGAUUAUUGAAGACUCAAAAGAAUGUAGGGGAAAAACAAAUAACACAAAAAAGCAUAAGCCAUAGGGGACUGGCAAAUAUAUCAACCACCAUUAACAGCAGCACAAGUAAAGCCACUGAUUGACACGCAUGUAUUCAUGAGUAAGAUGAACCAAAACAUCCCCUUUCAAGCCUCCUGAGCUUGCACUGGAAAAGAUGUCCACAACUACAAACUUAAGACUUUUCCAUGAGCCAAGUAAUCCUCAAAACUUCAUUGAACUGCAGUAUUGUCACAUUACCAUCUCUUGUGCGUUGUUCAAAGUUUUGCUGCUGCAAAGCAGGUUCAGGAGUUGGCAGCUGCUCAGUUUGGACCUCAGCAGUGUGAUAUUCACCAGAUGCUUGAGAUCCCCGCCCACUAUUCCCAUGCCCAGAAGCUACAUUUUGAAAUCGUCCAAGAAGAGGAUAGUAUAGACCUAUAGAAUUACCAGAUGAAUCAGAAGGAAGGCGGCCAAAUGUGCCAGGAACAGCUGCAACCACCGUUCUAAGAGGCACCACUCGUACAGGCUCUCCAGCAAAAGAUGAACCCUCUGAGAGCCUUGAACUUGUUUGACUACUAGGAUUUUCACCACCAGAACUGGUUGGUGGGUUUCUCUGCCCAGCAGUUUGCUGUGUCUGACCAUGUUCCUCACGAUUAUUGUUGGGGGUAGCUGUCGAUGAACCUUGGGUAAAAUAAGAAUAGUUGUAAGUAGAUUCACACAUCAGAAAUACCAUACAUAUUAAUUAUUCCAGACAUCAAAUUUGAAGAAAACCUCUUCGUAUUUGUAUAUCAAUUCGCCUUGGAAGAAACCCGGUACCGACACCAUUAGUCAGACCAGAUCCAGGCUGCAUGGAUCCUAAAGGGACAGCACCAAAGCUUGUCCCUGGUUGAAAAGGAAGAGGCUGCAUGCAUAGGAGUGAUCAGCAGAGAAACAUAAUUUAAAGAAAAAUGAAAAGAUGAAAAACAAGAGGAAUUUGUAUGGAUGUCUGGAUUAUGACCUGAACCAUGAGAGGAUUAGGACCAGAUUGAUUGAUAAAAACAGCAGGGCCCGCAUUAACCACAGCUUCAGACUGUAAAUAAACAAACCACAAUGACACAUACAGCUCGGGAGAUGUCAAGCAUGAAAGGUUGCCAUAAAUGAGAAAUUGGAGAUAAUCUUACCGGUGCUUGACCUAGUCGUAAUGUCAUGCUUGUACGUCCAAGUUCGAGAAGAAGGGCACCUAAAUUAUGAAGUUGGACUCCAGUUCUCAAUGCACUAGACUGAGUUGCGUGUCGCGCUGCAGUAUCAGUAAUAUGUGCUUGAUUCUCUAGUUGUCUUGCAAGUUGCUGCCAACAUACAGAACAAACAGGGAGGGAGAUCCAAUGCAUUUAAGUUUUAGUUCUGAGAAUAAAUAAAAGAAUGGUAAAUGUUGAAAUAUUUCAAGGUUAAAAACUUAAAAGAAUCAAAUUCUAUUAAAAUUAUAAAAUGUUAAACAAAAAGAAGAAACAUAAUAAAAAGAUGACCACUUCCUAUGGCCGCAAGCAACUAAAUUCACUGGUAAAAAAUGGGAUAUACUGUUGGCUACCCAAAAAAUAAAGCAAGACAAAAGUAAAGAUAAUAGAGAACAUAUGAAGUAGAUAGAAUGCUUUUAAAUAACACACAAGUAAACAUUCUCCAACUUGUUCGGUGAGUAAUUGUCUACUAGACAGCAUCACUUCUGCCAAGGAUGCAGGUGAUGGAAGUCUUUCUUGUCCAGUUCCUGAUAGUGAUGUGGUAUUAGAAUCUAUUUGCUCCAUCCUGAGUGCAGCAUCUGCUUGAGCAAUGUUUUCCCCGCCUCUGCCUGUCAAUGAAGAGAAUUGAAAUCCAAUGGCCAAAUCAGCCCCAUUGAAGCAAAUGAUAUUUAUUAACCAUAGAGAAAUUUGCAAAAUACAGAUACUGACCGAUGGCAUCAAAUUCUCGCCUCAAAUUGCUCAGAUAUUGGGACAGAGUUGUCAGAGAAUCAGGAAUUACCUACAAGUACAAAUAAAAUAUUCCUAAUACUUAAAACUGCAAAAAGAUAUGCAGGCCAAAGAAUCCAUGUUGUAGAAAGAAGGUAGAGGGUGGAGAAGAAGAGGACUCCUAACUUACAGGAGGAUUCAGAGAUCCCAAGGAAACUGCUGUCGGAAGCCCAAAAACAUUCUGUGAUCUGUCAGACUGACCCCUGGUGCCAGUUUGUUCAGAUUGCAGUUGGCUUGCAUCCAUUGUGCCACCAGCAGCUGAUGUUCUUCGCAAACCACGCUCCUUAAAGAUCCAUCCCAGUCACAAAGAGCAAGACCCAAAACAUAAAUGAGCAUUUACAGGUAUGAAAAAGCAUUAAGGUCCAUCUUUCUAAUUUGAUAAAAUAUGAACCAGCUUGAUGUCUCAAAAUGUGUUUCACGUCUAAAGUCAAAUAAAAACUUAAAAUAGACAACUUCCAGAUACAAAAAUACUGGAAAUUUUACUUCGAAGACAAUUUGUUUGUUUGCCUCUGUGAGUAAGAAAAGAGGGAAGAAAUCUCCAUCCUUACCAACAAUAGAUUUUCAAGAGUAUAACAAUAAAGUAAUUAGUUUUAGAGGUUGGAAUUUAAAUAUUUACCACAUCGACCCCUUCACUGACACCUCCGAUAUUUGAAAAUCCAAAAGAUCCAAGAACAGCAGAGACAAUCUGCUCCAGAGAAUCAAUUAAGAGAUAAUUAUAAAACAAUUAAAUCAUCGGUAUGAAAAUCUAAAAUUGCUAUAUUCAAAAUCUAGUUGUAGCCGCACCCUACUGAUUUCUGGAGGAACUGCAUCCCCUUGAUCAGGCACACUAAAAGUUUCUAUUACAACACUGGGAGCCACCUGACCAGUGUGAUGGCUUGAACCUGAAGCAGGAUCACUGGCUGCAACAUUGACAUGCAGGAGUUACUCCAUGGAUAAUUUUACUAGCACAUGAAAGAUAACAUUAAAAAAAAGGGAAAGAAAAAAAGAAAGAAAUAAAGGUAUAUAAUUCCAUUUCAGAAAGCUCAGAUUAUGACAUAAACAGAGCAGUAUUGCUACAACAAUUACUAAGCUCCUAUAGAUGUCAAAAUGACUCAAUUGUUAUUUGUAGCGUGGUUGCUCUUUAAAUCAUUAGAAGCACCUAAAUAAAACUAUAAGCAUUAAAUAAGAACCAACAGAACACCACCACUUGCUUUUCUGAUUAAUCAUAUGGCAAUAUUGAGCACUUAAUGAAAUUAAUUACCAAGGAUAAUCUGUUAUAUCCAGAGUCCCAUUAGUCCAAACAAAUGUCAUAUUCGACAGAAAGGAUGAAUUUCAUAUCCAGUUGCUUCUCACAGAUGAACUAAUGUGUAUCAACCCCUCUGGGGGGAGGGGGGGUUGUUUCUAUACUAUACCAACCUUUUCGUGAAAAUAAUUCAAGGUGCACUGGAAACCAUACUCUAGCUGAAGUAAUGUGUAUCAACCCCUCUGUGUGGGUCAACAAUCCAUUAUGGCCAUUAAUUACCUUGUGCAGUAAUUUUUUGUUUUUCAAUAUUUACAGGCUGUGGGGCAUCUACAGGACCCUUUAGACCACCACACAACUAGUCCUCCACAGCUUUGGAUAAACUUGAAUUAGUAUCCUUUUUUGAGACGAACCUUGUACAGUUGAAGAAGAAGAUGAUGCAAGCAAAUGUUAAGGCAAGCCAAACCUGAAUGAUUGGAUAAGCCCUCAGAUGGUAUAGGUUGCCUAACUACCAGGUGCAAGGUGUGACCAUCUUCGACAUCUAACACAUGUUAAGAAAAUAAACCAACCAAACAAUAUAAUAAGACAAUAGUGCUAAUGAGUAAAAAAAGUACAGGGAUAUGAAAAUAUUCCUUAGGUAGCAAAUAAAGAAAUUUAACAAAGGAUGGUUUAUAGGUUUCUAGUUCAAUCAAUGAAUAUCCUGAUACAUUCGGGACCUAAUGUUUGCUAAUUUGUUCUGGAAAAGUAAAAUACUAACUAGUUCAUACCAUAUAUGUUUUGAUUCAAAUACUUCACCCACACUUAAAGUUUCCUUCUAGCAAAAAUGCACCAUUGCAACAAGCACUUGCCAGAAACCACCAGAAAACAAUUUACUUCAGAAAAAAGAAUUGCAGAUGUCGGCUUAUUUGGAAUAUGUACAUGUGUUUUUGGUUAUGCUUGGGUGUGAUACAAUCAAUUGAAAUGUGACACAAUUCUCUAUUCUCCACCUGAUAAGCUGUCCAAAGUCAUUCAUUCACCUAGAAGUAUGCUAAAGAUGAACCGAUGAAGAGACUUGUGCAGUCACAUGCAUCUACAGCACAUACCUUCAAACCUCUCUUUUGUCAAGGCUUUUUCCCCUUUUAUGUCCAUACCUAGUAUUUCAGACUUACAAUUCAGUGUUGCUGAGGGAAAACAUGAAACUGUUUAGCAUUGCAGGAUGAAUCUCAUGGACAUGGAGCACUAGCAUGUGAGCUCACUUGGAAUUUACACUUCAGCAUUACUGAAAUCAGCAGUGAGGAACAAAACUGCAACACUAUCCAACCACAAUUCAACAUUUUACCCGCCAAUGCACAAACUCCAAGGUGUCCCAAAAUAACUCUUUUGCAUCAAUACUGUCUUAAUGAGCUCUUUUCUACUUUUCUGCCUAGCUUUACAGUUUAACAGCAGAAAUAAAUGUGUCAUUGGUUCACUACUUAGGUAAUACCUUCAUCAAAACUGUUAAAAGAAAUUUGAAGUGAGCUUCUAGCUAUCUCCUCACUUUGGGUACACAAUCUUUUUUGUUAAAUAUUGUACUUUAGAGUUGCCCUUGAGCAUUAAGAAAAAAGGAUACGAUAGGCAGAGAGUAGUUGGUCAUCUUUUAAGACUUUUCCACGACAUAUUAGACGUUGUUGUUCUGAUAGCACGCCAGUGACAGAAGCAAUCUGUUCUUUUAAAGCAGGAACUGGCAUCUGCAUGGAUAUUCAAGAAAGGGGAAAGCAUGAUGAAAUUAAUGGCUUCCACAAACAAAAAAUCAUGCACAAGUUAUCAACUAGCAAAUCCCCACUCACAAUAUAAGCAUAAAGACCCUUUUAAGAUCAUAAUGCAGGGUGUACUCUUACAAUUAAGAAUUCAGUGGCAACAAAGAAUGUUUCAACAGUUUUAUAUGAAUAAAAGACACAGGGAAAUAGUGGAUCUUCUGUAAUUGCUUUCUGUCCAGUUUCUCAUGAGAUCUGCUUCUCAGUAUUAUUUGCACAAAUAUUCAGUAAAAUGUGGGACAAUCUCCACAGAUUUUUACAUAAGAGCUUGUUGAAGAGAUGUUCUUGAGAAGGAAAAUGAGUUGGAUGCUAGAGAGUGUAGCCUUUGUGUCAUCUGUAUGUAACUAGCUAGAUCAAAAAGGCACAUUGGAUCACUUAUAAGGACUAGAAAUUUUCUGACCAUGCUGGUGAAGAGGUUUUACUAGUAAUUGUUAAGACCACUCAAUUUCCUCUUCUUUCUACUCUUUCUAAGAUUCAGAUUCUAGUAACUCUCUGUCUCUCACCACAAUGACAGAAAUAUGAUCGAAGUGCAAUUUAGAGCUCUUGAAAAAGGAGGCAAAAAAAGACAUAAAAACAGAAAAAAAAAAAAACUAUCCUUAUAUAUAUAUAUAUAUCCCCGUAAUAACUGGCUUUGGGAUGUAUUUGAACUCAUUGAUCAUCUAAAGUAUUAUAGCAAGUUUACAAAACAUACACACUGCAAUGACAUGAGCCAUGGUUCAGUGGGAGCAAAAAAUUACCUGUUUAUCCACUCUCAAAGUAUAGGUUUGAGAAUCCAAUGUUUUUAUUUUUAUUUCAAUGUUUGUUUCAGAACCCUCUGCCUCACCAGCUCCAUGAAUUUUAUCAGCAAUAUUACUUCCCAUUCUCCUCAGACGAAUGGAUACCUACAAACAAGAAAGGAAAAGAAACAAAUGAAGGAAAUUAGGUUUGGGAGUUGCUAGGAUGAGGCAACAGCAUGCUUGUCAAUAAACCAGAUAAGUCACAGUAUUAUAUUGGUAAGAUAGAUAAGGUUCCUCAGGAAACAGUAAGUCAAUGAGUGCCCUAAUGCCAACAAAAAGGGGUGUCGGUUCCCUUCAUUGUGGUCAUAAUACAUCAUUGUUUCGAGAGAGAGUGAAGAUGUGCAGAAAUGCAAGAACAAAUAACAAAAAUCAGCAAGCAGACCACUCUCACAUUUAGGGAAAUCUCAGCAUCCACCACCAUAUAGACAUAUUGCCAUAUCAAUAUGUACUUCAAGGCAAUUUGAAACACUGUUUCCUUUCCCCUUUUUUAUUUGUCUCUUCUCUUCAUUUUCUUUUUCUUUCCUUUUCUUUUCCUUAUUUUAGUGUGUGUUAUAUGAGACAGUUAGAAAAAUCUCCAGACUUGCAAAACACAUAAUCAUGGUAACGGUAAUGAACAACAUGACAAAUCCUGCAGCCAACUACCAUGGACCGCAUUGAUCUGAUUGAUGAUAUUCUUUCCAUUUUUUGCUGAUUUGGUAGGAUAUCGCUCACUAGACGAAGAUGGCGAUUGCUCAAGAGUCCCCUGCUAGAUAUUGAUAUUUUAUGAUGUCACAGAAGAGAAACAUAACAUCAUGUUCUCAAUUGAUAGGUUAUAUGAUAUGUCUUUGGUGUGUUAUAUUAUGUCUACAGCGGUCAAGACCGUGCUUUCCCAACUCCUCCCCUGCCUUCUCUAAUUAAAUGGGAAAACUCAUAAGGAUCAUCAAAUGGAACAUUUUUUGUUACCAGGAGCAGAAAACAAGUUCCAAGAUGUCAUGUGUAUAUCUGUAUGCACGCCCACAUUGCAUUUUGCUCCACAUCGAAAUCAACUUCAGACCAUAAAUCUCAGGAUCAAAUCCAUGCUAUAUAAUGUAGAAAUCAAGCUCCAAGAAGUAAUGUCUCCAGUCCCAAGUGACAUUACUGGCAUAUUUAUAAGCCAUAUCCCGCUUCACAUAGUGAAAUUCAAUGUAAACUCUAAAUUUGAAGAAUUCAAAAUCCAAGCUUCUACCAUCAAAACAGCUCAUCUAGAAUUGGGGCCUGCUCCCGAUUCAAAACUAAUCGGUAGACGGGGAAAAUCAUAGAGUAAAUUCAAAGAAAAAAGUAAACUACUGCACAAAUCAAGACAUUUCCAUUGACCAACAGAUUGAGAACACGGAUAAUGAUUUUUUACCACAUCUAUGCACCCAAAGAGGGCGCCUUCAUCCCUAAAUAUCACUAAACACCAAGAAUUGACAAUCUUUACUUCCACCACUCACACUUCAAUCAACAUAAAUCACUUAAGUUGGAGCUUAAUCAAGUUGCCACAUCCCAAUAAGCAACCUUUCCCUUAACGCAAAUGCAAACAAUCAAAAUCCCAUUCCCCAUUUAUCUCUCACUCUCUAGGGUUUACCGAAUCUUGAUCAAACAAAAAAAGCUCAAGACUUUCAAUUUCUGGGUCCUAACCAGUCAUCAAAAGCAUGCAAACCAACCCAUCAAGUUCCGAAUGACAACCCAAUUCACACAAUUAAGAAAAUCGAUAAAAGACAGUAGACAAGAUAAGAAAGGAGUCAGUAAGUUACCUGAGAUAAAAAGAAAGAAAAUCUGGUUUGAUAAGGAGAGAGAACAGAUAGAGGGAGAGGGAGAGAUAUAUAGAAAUGACAGAGAGAGAUGCCGUGUCUGCGUGCUAUCUCUCUGUGUAUUUUGGAGCUGACACCUGAAUUUAUAUUACACAAGAUCAAAAACUCUCUCUCUCUCUCUCUCUUCCCUGUCAACUAUGUAGUGUUGUGGCCAGCGUAGGACGAGGUUUGCAAAAAUUAUUCAGGUUUUUCUCCUCUGUACAUUUUUUUUUAUCUCUCUUUUUACUGGUGCGGUGGGCUUUUUACUUUUUACUGUUGGUAAAUUGGUUGGUAGCAGCACAAAUUAUUACUGUCUGACAAUGUGGUAAUUUUUUUUAUUGCGUUUAAAAAUCACAUUUCACUUCUAAAAAAAACCCUUCUAGUCAAGUCAGGCUGAAACAUAAAGUUUUGGAUCCAACAUCCAUUUUAUGAAUUAAAAAAAAAAAAGCAUAGAUAACUUGCUUAAAUUUGAUUUUGAAGGGAGCGUGAUGAAUUUUUUAUGUGUGUUUGUUGAUCUAUAAUCUAAAGGAAUCGAUUAAUUUUUUCCAAUUAUUACUUAAAGUAUGAUACUUAUUUAAUAAGUUUAUUUUUAAAUUAGUUUUUAUAUAUUAAAAUUAAAUUUCUUUAAAAACAAAUAUAAUUAAAUAUCCACCUAUAAAUUUAUAAUAAAUUAUUUUCGGACUGCAAAGCCGUAAUAUCUUUAAUUAUCUUCAGACCACUCAUCCAAGGUUUAACCAAAACUAGGAGUUCAGGCUUAUAUAUGAACUCGAAGAGUACUGCUAAGUGCUAACUCCUUGGCAAUUCCAAAUCAUAAAAUUCAUUAAAUUAAAAUAGUAUAAAUAGAUUGCUUCCUCUCUAACCAUGUUGAAAAACACUCCCCGCCGGCAAAAGCAGCCAUCCCACCUUCCUCAGAAGUAGCCUUAAAUUCAUCAAUGAUAGACUCUUUGGCAGAUAACACCAUUCCAGAACCAGCUAGAUUUUCAAACAGGGAUACUGGAUAUAGAGAGAGAGUUUUAUUAGCCCGUGACCUAGCUGCACGGGAGAGAUCAGAGAGCUCUCAAUAUUAUGGGGUUUUUUCGGUUCAAUAUAGGAUUGUCAACCUUAUCAGUCAGUCGCGACUUCAUUCGUCUCCUCGUCAGUGCCUGCCAUCAUCAAACUCCAUAUUUUCAUCAAUCUGAGCUACGAGCGAGUUCAAUGGAGUGUCUUCAGUUACAGCAACAAAAAAUUGAUGAAUUUAUGGAGUUUGAUGAUGGUUAAUGGGUUAGCAUGUAACACGAUGAUGGUUGUUAGGUUCUGUUUGGGUUUUGGUUGUUUUCCCCUCGUGGGCUCUAUUUGAUUUUUGAGUUAAAUGGGUUAGACUAGGAUAGGCUGUGGGUUUGGGCCUUUUCUAUUUAAAGCCGGAGUUCCUAUAUUAGCUAGCUAAGAUAUUAAGCUCCGUACGGUGUCGGUUGUUUUUAAACUGCUCAUAACUUUAAUUUUUUUUUUUUGGUUUUCAUUGGUUAAAUUUGUUUUUUCUUCUUAAAUUGUGAUAAAAACUUGAGUUUAAUAAAAGUUAUAAUUUGUAGCAUUUUUAAACUUAUUUUUUCAAAUAACAACAAAAAAUAUACCGCAAUACCAGACAUGAACAUGUUUGUUUUUAUGUUUUAAAAAUAUUUUUGAAAAAAUUUAAAUUUAUUUUAUUUUUUUAUUUACUUCAAAUUAAUAUUUUUGGAGUUUUUAUAUCAUUUUGAUAUGUUGAUAUCAAAAAUAAUUUUUAAAACAUAAAAAACAUUAUUUUAAUGCAUUUCUAAUUGAAAAACAUUUUAAAAAACAACUACUAACAAACUCACAAACAAGAUACCCCAUUAUUAGCAAUAGAGAUUUUAGCGUUGACCUCUCUUCUACGAUUGUGUUCGCAUGAAUAUAAGAACCAAAUUCUUUAUUAAUUAUUUUAAUUAAUAUAGAUGUUGAAACUAUUUACAUAUAUCUUAAUUAAUUUUAGAUUUAAAAUUAACAAUUAUAUAAAAUUUUAUUUUCUUAAUUACUAUGGUUUUGAUCUAAGAUCAACUCGAGUACAAAAUCUGAGUGGUCAGACAAGGACUUAACAAUGUCCAGGGCCCAUCAGUUAGUGCAUGCAGGUAUCAAUCAAAUUAGACAAUUGAACCAGGAAGAAUUCAUUGUCUAAAUCAAUGGCACCGAAAGGUACUCUGGCUCCAUUCCAUAUUGUUCUUUAUCUAGUACGUCAUAGUGCUUUAUAAUCCACACUAGGACCAAAGUCUUGAUAAUUCCCAUGGUUUCUGUAAGGAUUUUCUGAAACCUUCUAAUAAUUCAACGACUUUCUAUUUUCCUUUUCCACAACAAUCAUGCACGUGUGCAUCUCCUUCUUCUUCACCCCAAUCUCUUCCGUACAAUGUCCAUUCAAAAACUGGUUAGGUUUCCCAGUCACAGAGUCAACUUCUAUACACUCUUGACAUGCACUGGACUGAAUUUAAAAUCCUUCCAUGUAACUUGUAAUGCAACAGAACCUAGUCAGCAUCCACCAAGUGUUCAUGAUGAUUCAAUAAUCAUUCAAAUCACAGGAUGAUAAUAUCAAAAAUGUUAAUAAACUAUGAUAUCUUAUGUACAAAAUCUUUCUCCACCCUAAAAGAUCUCCACCAUUUCUGCAAUAGUACUGUUAACUCCUAUCCAUCUCUCUCCAUCUCGUUAUGUCCUUCACUUUGUUAUGUAAAAGGAGGUUUCGGUUAAAUUCAUAAUUUUCUUCACAGUGAUCCUUGGAUAUCGAUGUCAGCUUUACUGCAACAUUUCAUGUUUCCCACCUUUUUAAUUAUUCGUUACUUGACCUGUGCUUGAUAUAGAGGUCAGCUUUAUUUCCUCCAUUCUUCUAAUUCAGUACAAUCAUAUAGUGGAAGAAAGAAGAUCAUGAGAUGGAGGGCUUCUAUAUUUAUACUCUAGCUGGCUAAUUAAGCAAGUUUAGUUAAUGUAACUAUUUAGUAACUAAUAGCGUAUUGUGCAGGCUUCUAAUUCUGCAAUAACAAACCUUUAGACUGGAACCGGCCUAAUGGGUUGACUUGGUGAAUUGUUAACUCUAGCCCCGACGGGGGACGGCAAGUGGAAAAACCAGAUUUUUCUUUUAUCAAAAUAAUAUUGUUUUGUUUUCUUUUUUCUUUUUCCAAAAAAAAAAGUGAAAGGUUGAGUUGAUCCUCGUCAACCUCUGAUCUUGGACCACAACCAUUGAGCUGAAUCUCAUAACUAUGCUCUUCUAGGUGGUGAUAGUGCUAGAAGCCGAGGUUGUCACAGUAAUAAAUUUCCUAUUGAUUACUGCAACAACAUUAAAUAUGAAAACCACUUUGAUAUUAAUGGAUGUGUUGCUACUGGGAGCAAAAUCAACUAGCUUCUUAGCAUAUUUUUUUGAGAAAUUCUUAGCAUUAACUGUUGAUUGAACUUGAACUUUAUAUAGAAAUUAACAUUCUGACAAGAUCAUCAAUUCUUUUAUUGUGAUCUAGUUUAUCUUGUAAGGAAUAACAAUUUAAUAAGAAUAUCUUGUGCUUUGAAAGUAUAUAAGAUCAUGGGUUUAGAUCUACAAAACCCAGCAGCUAGCUCUUAUGUCAGAGUUAAAAAAAUACAUCACUACUAGCCAAGGACAUGAAAUAAAAGCCAGUCAUUCUAACUAGAUAAGAAAAACUAAUGGUGUCUAGAUUUGUGAUGCCUGGGUCCACAGUAAUCUUCAUGAAUGCUCGGUAACCAGUGAUGUGAAGAUUUCUUGGACACUGAUCUUUUCUUCAUGGUACCUAUACAAUUCCCUUCUUUGCAGAGAAUGGCUUCUUGUCCAAGAACCCUAGUACUAAUUUCCUUCAAAGAAGUAUUGUUAUUCGCCUGCACAUCACAAGAACUCCCAUCAGAACUGAAGCUGAUAUGAAAUACUAAAAAGAGUCAUUAAUUUUAAUGCAUCAUACAGUGUGUAAAGAACUGAGCACCCACAUGAACCUUUUGAGCUCCAACUUGCAUGAAUCCUUUUCCAAGCGAAUCCCUACACAAAACAACAACACAUGUUCAAACCUAAAGACAUACAAAGCAAAAUCAGGUCUCUUAACUUAACACGACUGAUAUUUUUGGCAUAUAUACCUUGAGACCCUUGAAGGAGAAACGAAAAAAGCAGAAGAGAGACUACGUACUAAAAGAAGGCCUCAUUCAGAAAAACAUUGAGAAGAAGAGAUAAGAGUAAUUAAGAGAAGGAAAAGAUCAAGCAGUUCGCUAUAUAUUUCUGAAGUCUGGUACAGAAGCUACGGAUUAAUGUGGGUUUGGCCGAAUUCUAAGUAAUUUUAGAACUUGUAUUCUGUAGAGAUUGUGCAUGAAUGGAUUAUAAAUACUGUAGCUGGAGGGUAGGUUAAUUAUAAACACGGUUUUUAGGGCCACAAAGCACGUAGUUCUCCAACAUGAAACUGUAAUAGAAAACGGGAUUUUUCUUCCACUACCUUUUGUUUUUCCUCUGUCUUUCUAGUGUAUAGUGAAAAAGUUCCUCAAGAGAGGUAGUGUGAUGGUAAAGAACUUGAAAUCUACAUAGCAAGUUUUGAAUUUGAAUCAGGACGUGUAUUUUUUGUAAGAGUCUGGUAUAAUUGGGGUUUUACUCACUCACUUGGACCCACAAAAUACGCUUCAAAUUAUUGAAAUGACUAACCAUUGAUUAGGGCAUCCUACUAAAUUAAUUCAAUUAAAAAAAAUGAAAAGAUAAUCAGCCUUUAUUUUCAAGUGGGCGGGGUUAAAAGCUUAAUAAUGGUGUCAAAUUCAAUAUAAAAUCAACAAUCUUUAUGUUUUGUCUUAUAUAUAUUAACCUACAUAGAAAUUGUUUACUUAGAUAGAGUUUGUUUAGGAUCUCGGGAUAGAAGCAACGAAGAUAGUUGGAUAGAACAUACCUGUUUCUAAGUUUUUUUUUAAAAUGACUAAAAUUUAUUUUAAAAAUAUUCAAGAUAGAUUUAUUUUAUAUUUCUGUUUUUAUUUUUAACCAAAUAUGUGUUAUAUUUUUCCUGUUUUUAUUCCUAUUAUCUUCAAACACCAACCAAACAUAAACUUGUUUUUGUUUUUAUCUUUUUAACUAAAUAUAUUUAUGUUUUUCUUGUAUUUAUCCUUAUUAUCCUUAAACACUAACCAAACACAAAUUUAGAACAAAAAAAUAUAAAUAUUGCAAUGAUUUUACAACAUGAAAAACUUUAGGGUGACAUCAGGAAAUCUAUCUGGGAGGGAAACUAAACAUUUGGUGAAAGAAAUUGAAAUUUGACAAGAAUCGACAAUCAAUCAACUAAUUAGGAAAACAUGUUUUUGGUUCUUUAGCUUGACAUAAAGACAAUACUGCUGGUAACUAUUUUUCUUGGGUUUCCAACAAUAUGCUUGCUAGACAGUUUCCGUAUCUUGGCAUGCGCCUAAAUGGAAAGCCGAUAUUGGUAUGCGACAAGAAUACUUAAUUUGAGCUAACAAUAGAAUAUCCAAAGCAAAAAAACAUGGUAUUACACUUUGAAAAGUUCUGUUGUAAUUAAAUAUGCACGAUCCAGAGUCUUAAUGACUAGGAAUAUCUACUCUGCUUUUAGUUAACUCAAAUUGAAAUAAUAAAGAUAAUUCCUGCCAUGAUAUUGCAUGGGCCUGCAGCCAGUGGUGAUGCCACUUAGGAAAAAUUCUUUAGAACUACUUAUUUACUUCAGCGCAAGAUCAAUCUUCUUUUGAGUUUUGAAGAGCAAAAAACAGUACAGCAUACCCAGCAAUAUCUGGGAUCUGUCAACGAAUAUUAUCUGUCAAAAAGAUACACAGCAAUCGAUAAAGAAACAAGUUGAGUCACAAAUUAGUGUGGAUGAGACAAAGAGAAAUAUGUUAUUAGAAUAUAAAUGUUGAAUUUGUAAUUAUAUUAAUCAUCAUCAAACUGCAUCAUAUCAAGUCUCAUGUCUGCAUUAUAAAUACUGUUAAAUCAUAGACAUCGGUUAUUAUGAAUCCUAGAAUUAGAAAUGAAACUAAACUUCACUCACCGCAGCCACAGGUAAAUCCACCGUCAGGGUGAUUAAUCCUGGAUACCAGUGAACAAAGCCUGCCACUGUUGACAGGAUCUGCAGCACAAAUAACAAACAGUUUAUUAAGAGUAUAUAUCAUCAAUGUCGUCGACACCUUGACGGGUCUAUAUAACGAGCUGUAAACAUUCAAAAUGUGGCAAUGUGUCAUGUGGAAGGAUUGGAGAAUUAGUAAGGGAAUAGAAGAUUUGUUAGAGAAAGAAGGAGAUUGAAUCAGAGAACGAACAUCGAACACACCUCAUUUCAAAAAUAAAAUAUAAAAUUAUGAAUGAGGUAAUCAAUUAUAUGUUUUAAAAGCAUAUGUAUACGAGCAUCAGCUAUCCAUUAGCAAAUUCCAGAGAGUGGAGCUUUGAGCAUGAUUAGUGAUUUUUUUAUUCCGACACAAGCAAAAAGAUAGAAAAAGGAAUUGAAACACACACACACACACGAACUAUGAUUUCAGAACGAGAGAUUCAAGGAAUAUCUUGGAAUGGUGACGGGGGACAAAGCGUUUUCAUGAUUCUUUUUUUUUUCUUUAUGAAUGGGAUCAAAAUUUUAUGGAGUAGAAAAUAAAAGCAGUACAAAUAGAAUUACAUGUUCUGCAAAAUAAUGGUCAUUGAUCAAUGUAACCGAAGCAGAUGGAUACUCGUCAAACAAAGAGCGGGAACCUAAAGAAAAAUAACAGGGCAGUGAUAACUGAUCCUCUCAUCAAAACUAAAACCCUCAAGUGAAUCACAUGUUGUGGAAACGUACGUACUUUGUGCUAAUAAAUAAAAAAAGAUGGAAUUGUUGAAAGAAUUGUUAUUGAUUAUGUAUCUUUAUAAUAUGAAGAUAUAUAUUUAUUAUCCGUAUUAUUUAUCGACAAGCAGUAGUUAUUAAAUCUAUAGUAAAUUAAUACAUUUUUAGUAUCAAUACAAAUUAUAUUAAUUAAUCAGACUUGACUUGAAAUCUAACCUCAAAAAAAUCCUAGUUAUUGGAUCUUUGAGUCAAUCAAAAUUAUAUUUUUAUUUAAAAUAAUAUUAUUUUAAUUUUUUUUUAAUUUUUUUAGUAUUGAUGUAACCAGAUCUAGAUAAAUUUUAGCUAGUUCAAUAUUAAAAUUAAUUAAAUUUUAAAUUCAUUCUAAGUGAGAUAUUGAGUCUUGGAUUUUCAUCUUGAUGGACCAAGCCGAAUUAACAUCUAUGAUACAAAGGCAUUGAUAUAUAGUCAAUUUAGUAGCCAUAUUAAAAAAUUUAUUUUGAAAAAAAUCUCAACCUAAUUAAUUCCUUUUUAGAAUAAAGUAUGUUGUUUUAGAAUGAUCAAAUGACUUGUAUUUACAGUGUUAAGUGACCAAUAAUUAAUUUUUUAAUUAUUUAUUUAGAAAUUUCAAUGAAUCUUUUGUCUGACAUAUUUAUCUUCAUCAAUCUCAUGUCUUGCCAAGAUACAUGAGCUUACUCUUGAUGAUAUCUCGAUUAUUAUUAAAAAAAAAUUAACAAAAAUGAGAUUACUCUUGAUGAAUUUUCACAAGUUUUCAACAUGCCUUGUCGAUGACAAUCCAAUUGCGCAGCGUGUGAAAUACAAACAGCUAACAACUCCAUUGUCAGCCCACUAAAAGGAAUUUUUCGCUAAGAUGUCUCACAAAGAAAGUAUUAAAGGUAAGAAAAUCCUCGACGGACACCAUUGUCAGCCCAAAGAUAUAGAUACGUUUGUCUUCCACGUACACCAAUUACAGCUCUCGGCACACUACCUUUUGCAUUCAAUAAGUGAAACAUUUUGGACCGACCCAAAAUCCCUUUUGAAAGAAAGAAAACAAACAUCCAGGUCCUGGUAACAUAAAUGAAGAACACCAACUUCAUUGAGCAAACCACAGUUGCUUCCUCUGUAGUAUAUUCACACCUACUUCCUUAUACACAUAGGCCGUUUUCGUUCCUGAUGCCUAUAUUUUGCUUCAAUAAUCUGUGGUCACUAAAUUGGAGUGAUAGGACUUAGGAGACCUUUGCUAUCGACCUAGCUAGCACCCGCCUCCAAAUACAUUUUGAUUUUGAUUUUUUUUUGGGUUGGGGGGGAGGGGGGGGGGGUGCGGGGGGUUGAAUUACAUGGUUAUUUACUUGGUAGAAAUAUUUUGCUAUUAUUUCCUUUUAGAACUUCUCAUUGAUUGGUAUUUCGGCUCAACCAGUGCAAAUCUUUUUUUUCAAUAAUAGUCUAGGAUUUAAUAAAAUUAAUGCCAGUGUCAUAUGUGUAAGAGAAUUUCUUAUCCUUUUUUGUUCUUGAACGAAUUUAAUCUGGUUUAUGAAAAAUUAAUUAACUUCAUAUAUGUUAUUUGAUUUUAUUCUAAUAAUGUUGAUGCUAAAAAUAAAUUUUUAUUAUGUUAGAUUUCUAUUAGUUCUAUUUCAAGUUUCUAACAUUAGAUUUAUAUCUUAAACGGAUUGCAUAACCAUGUGAUUCUUACUUUUAAGAUUCAACUUAAUAGAGAGUUAAUACUUUAAAGGGUUAAUAUUUCACUGUAAUGAUAAGAUAGAGCGUGAAACACAAUUAAAAACUCGUUGAAACUUAACUUGAAUUAUAUAUUUAUAUUAUAUAGUUAUAUUUGAAGAAAUUUUUAUUAUAUAUAUAUAUAUAUAUAUAUAUAUAUAUAGAGAGAGAGAGAGAGAGAGAGAGAGAGAUAUGCAAUGAAAUGAUAUUAUAAAUAAUAACUUCCGCAGUUACAAAAUCUAGUCAGCUUCCACAAAAUACUCAUGAUGAUUCGAUAAUCAUCAAAAUCACAGUACAAGAAUAAUUAUAAUAUCAAUAAAAUAUGAUAUCAUAUGUACAAAAUCAUUCGUAGCUAGCCCUAAAAAGCUGCAGCAUUCCUGUGAUGCUGUUUAACUUAUAUUCACUUUAUUAUAUCUUGAAAAACUUAAUUAUCUCUCCCUCUCUCGUUAUUAAUUUGUACCUACUGCACUUAAUUGUGUAUUGGAGAUUUUCUCCUCGCUGGAGAAUAGUCCAUUUGAGUUAAGUCCAUAAUUUCCUCAUAGUGAUCCUCGUUGACUUUAUGGUCAGAAUUCCGCCAAGAAUUUACCAAUAGUUUUUCACGUUCUCCCACUAUUUCUCCUUUACUUGAUCUCCACUUGGAUAUGGGGCCAGCUUUAUUUCCUUCGUUAUUCUCCUUCUUCACAAUCAUAUAGAGAAGGUAAGAAGAAAAGGUAGGAGGUCUUAUAUACAUACAUACAUACAUAUGUAUGUAUGUAUGUAUGUAUUAUUUCUAAGGUCGAUAUUGAAACUGCUAUAUAACAUUUACAUAAUAACCAACCUUAGAGGUGGUGAUAGUAGUGCUAGAAGUAGAGGUUGUCACAGCAAUAAGUUUCCUACCCAUUCCUGCAAGAAUAUAUAUAGAAAAUGAUUUAGGAUAUAUGAUUGGAUGAGGUGUGGUCAACAUUUUCAUUGCUCGUUGUUCAUGUGAAGCUUCUACUCAAAACAUUAAGGACAAGACCCCAUUUAAUGAUCGAAGCUAGUUUAAUCGGUGAAGAUGAAAAGUUUGACAAUCAAUUUCUUGGGGACAAAUUUCCUUUUUAGAGUACUAAUAGUAUACGAUCAAGGGUUUGAAUCUUCUAAAACCCAGCAUCAGAGACUUCUAAAAUAAAUAAAAGUCAGGCAUUCUAGCUAGAGAAACUAAUGGUGUUUAGGUUUGUGAUUCCUAGGACCGUAGUAAUCUUCAUGGAUGCUUGGUAACCAGUGAUGUGAAGAGUUCUUCGACGCUGAUUUAGAAACUCUUUUUUCCGUACUGGUAAUGGUACCUGUACAAUGCUCUUCUUUGCAGAGAAUUGCUUCGCCAAGUACACCACCAUUAGCACUUCUUUCUUUUAAAGAACUCUUGUCCCCCUGCACAUCAAUCACUUUCCCAUCAGAACAGUAUUCACUUGAAUGCAUCACGAUAUGUGUAAACUAAGCAUCAAGAAACUGAACAACCCACCUGGACUUUCUGAGCUCUAACUUGCAUGAAUCCUUUUUCCAAACGAAUCCCUACAGAAAAUAUCAGCAGUUGUUAAGACCUAAUGACAUGCAACGCAAAAACAACUCUUUACAGCUUUAAAUGAUUGAUGUUUUCAGCAUAUUUAUGUAUACCUUGAGCCUCCUGGAGGAGAAAGGACAAAAGCAGAAGAGAAACUACUAAAGAGGGCCUCAUCUGGAGAAGAGAUUGUAAACAAGUAGGAAAUGGGUAUCGGUAUUUUAAAACUUCGUCUAAGGCCAGGUGUUGAAGAAGAUACAGAAUUAAUUUGGAACUGUAGUGUUCUGUGGAUAUUGUGAAUGAAUGAUAACAUCGGAAGAGGGCCACAGGUUAGAUGUAUAAAUGUGCAAGGUUUUUGGACCCACAGGGAAGCUCUCCAGCAGGAACUUUCAUAAGAAGGGGGCCGGAUUUUUCUGCCACUGUCUUUUGUUUUUCCUUUGUCUUAAUUUCUAGUGUAAAGUGCAGCCACUUGUCAAAGGAAACGACUAAUCAUUGAUUCAUUAGGGCAACCAGCUAUCUUAAUUCAACAAGGAAAAAGUGAAGCUUUGUGGGCCUUAGUUUAACGUCAUAUAAUUUUCUUGCAUAAUUAAAUAAAUAAAUCUAAAAUUAUAAUUUUGAUGCAUUCGUAUUUAUGUUUCGAUUAAGAAUAGAUUUAAUUAUGGAAAUAAUCAAAUUGAUUGGUCAAUCAUUUAAUACAUUGUGUUUACUUUUUAGACAUCAAAAUUCAAAACUUUAUAUUAAAUCAUGUGCUUGGUUAUGUUCUAUAAGAUCGUGAUAUUGCAAAAAAGAGUGUUCAAAAGAGAAAUUAACUUUUAGAAUUUUCCCUAGUUGAAAAAUUAGGUGAACUAGCACAGCUAGACUUCUUUUUUGUACAUUUCCGGACAUGCCCUGCUCUUUUACGGUAAUGAGGAUCUUGAGAAUUCUCUGCCAGUUUUGUCUCAUUGAGCACAAGUUGAUCUUCCCAAAUGCAUGCUAACAUCCCAUUACAUGAGUAAUAUUUGUCUCGUUGUGUUUUACAUCUCAACUAAAUGGUUUGCUAGCGCUAUAUAGAGAACGUUUGGGAACGCGGCUACGACUGUGUUUUCAAAAAAUUUAAAUUAUUUUUUUUUAUUAAAAUUUAAUAUGAUUUGUACGUUUUGGAUCGUUUUGAUGUGCUGAUGUCAAAAAUAAUUUUUAAAAAAUAAAAAAACAUCAUUGACAUACAUUUUGGCACGAAAAGUUAUUUGAAAAGCACCCGCAACCACACUGCCAAACACGCUCAUAGUAGCAGGUAGGAUUAAUUUUUUAUUACGUUCAUUCAUGCUUUGAACAAGAAGAAAACAUCUUAAGGGCUACUGUGCCCCAUGCUACUACCGUGGGUAUAUAUUUUUUUUUUAACCGUGAAUAUCCGGGUCAGUUUACACACAUCUCGACUAAUUCCUUGAAGUCAUGAAAUUAAUAAUCAGGUAAGCCUCUAGUAACCUUGAAUUUGUGGCACUCGAACUAGUAAUCUCUAAAAAAUAAACUCAAAGCCUGACUAGUUGAGUUACACCCCUCAGAGUUGAGUCUAUUUUCAUUUAUUACGUUUACGGGCUAUAACUGAGACGUUUCUCCUCUCCACCAAAUACGGGUUAUGUGACAUAUGAUAUGUCCAUCCUUUUUCUAUGAAAAUAAAUAAAUAAAUUUGAGUGUUCUAAGAAAAACUCAAAUUCAAAAUUCCAUCAAUUUAUAAUUAAUGUUUAUAUGUUAUGAAUCUAGGUAUUCUAGGAAUAUUACUCCUCUACCUACAUGAAAAUAUGGCCUAUCAUGCUCGUAGAAUCUAUUUUAUUACAGGUGAGAAAGUAUUGUUAUAGUUGUGGUUUUGAUUAAGAAUUUGAAUCAUUAGGUUGAUGGUUCAAUCUCAAAAUAAUAUUGCUUCCAUGAAUUUUUUAAACUAAACAAUAUUAUUUUAAAUAAAAAUAAAAAUAUAAUUUUUAAAAUUGACCCGACUAGAUCUCAUUUGAUUUUAGUCAAAUCAACUGAAUCAUAAAUUAACCCCCUAAGGUUGCUUGAAUUUAACAAAGAUAAUGUUCAAACUGGUUUAAAAAAAAUUGAUCCAACCUAAAUUCCAGGUUGGUAGAACAUUGGGUCGACUCAAAUAUUCCCCAUUCAAUUAUAAUAAAUACUCUAUUGUUUUUUAAAGUAUGGAAUUUGGAGGGUGUUUAAAUGCAUUAAUACUAUAUCAAUUGAUUUUAACAAUCCUAAUUUUAUUAUAUUGUUUGAUUUUCAAAUUAAAACACAUCAAAAGUAGAAUAAAAAUACCGUGUGAAAAAUUUGACCCCUAAAAUUUGUAAAAAAAUACCAAAAAAUUAUUAAAUUAAAGAAUGUGUGUCUGAGUAGAACUAUUACCAACCAUGCAUCUCACAUAGAAUAAUGUUAUCAACUGUUACAGUUUUAAAACCUGAUUUGGAACAAGGAUCGGGUCAUGGAUUAAUCCAAAAAAAUAAGAGUUAACGAGUUGAUAGCCGGAUUAGUUAAAGUUUUUUUUUUUCUAUUUUUUUUACAACUUGGACUAAUCAACAUCUCGGGUUAAUUGAGUCUUAGAUCAACCUGUCAAGUUAGCCUGAAUUUAUUAUUUAAAAAUUUGCAUAAGACAAUUAGCAACCGAUUUUUUUAUUGGAAAUUUGUUUGGGAAAAAAUUUACCAAUCGAUUUUCCUAAUUUUACUAACCAAUCUUCCUCUUUCCAUCCAAUACAUAUAUUUUUAGUGUUUCUGGUUGGUGGUUGAUUAUCAAUCUUUUAUAUUAUUUUAUAUAUUUGUAUUUCUUUAGCAUGAUAUAUGUUUCAAUAACAUUCUCCCGCAGAAUAUCUACAAAGAUAGCCCUCCAUAGAUUUUUUUAGUCACUAAUGCACGUAUUCGCCAUUUCAUGGAAAGGUUUCCACAUGGUCAUUGUAAAACAAAGAAAAAAAUGAUGCAUGUAAUUAUUUUGUGUUUAAAAUAUGAUGCAUGUAAUUUUGGAGUGAUAGCUGCUAUCGUGGGAUUCAGGAAGGAAACAAAGAGAAUUUUGAGAUUUUAUUUAGAAUCGACAAUCAGUCCAAUAUCUGCAACAUGUUUUCAGGUUGUUAGUUUUUGUCUUGUAAGAAUCCUACUCAACUUAACAGGUAAUCAUCCUUGGCUUUCUAGCUAGUGCUAAUAUAUAUAUAUAUAUGCUCAUGGAAGACAAGAUCUAUCGCUUGCCAGCUAUAGUUUCUCUAUUUUAUUGUGUAGUGGAAAUUAGCAGAUAUUGGUAGGCGCUAAGUUAAAUAUUUAAAUUAUCAUUGAUUACCAUCUAAUACAAACAAUAAUACGGUAGCACUUUGUAAUUAACUACUAUAUAUUGUUAAUGAUACAAAUAAUGUACUAAGCAUUAAUUUCACUCAAACACAAAUUAAAUACAUUAUUCCUUCCAUAAAAUAGUAGAAGCAUCCAAAUUCUAAUUACUAUAGAAUAUGGACUCCAUUUUAGUGAUAUCACAUUGGGAAUAUUCUUUUAGAACUUCUAAUUUAAUUAUAUUAUUAAUUAGUACGAGUUCAAUCGAUAUUCUUUGGAUAUUUGAAGAGCGAAAAAGAGUUUUCUUUAUAUGGAUACUUGGGGUUUUUGCAACUGAAACCAUGAAUUUUUAAAAGAUGAACUAUAUAUCUUCAUGUUUUUUAGGUUUUAAUUAAUGAAUUGGACUUUAGCCAUCAGUUUUUUUGAAACCUAUACAAUUGUUACUCUUUUAGGUUUUAUGUUUUUUGAUCACUUGUUAAAAAUUAAAAAAUAUAUAUAUACUUACAAAGAAUAAUGUUUAAGUUUUAGAAGCUAGCUAGGGACCGGACUGAAGUCUUUUUUUUUUUUGUGCUCUCAUAGAUAUAAUUACCCUUUUUUCAUGUAAUUUCAUCACCAACGUUAUUCAUAUUGAGAAAUUUCUAUAUCAAAAUAUUCUUCUUAGUAUUAUAAAUUAAAGCAUAAUGUGAAAUAUUCUUUUUGAUUCAAAUUAGUCGAAACUCAUGAUAUUUAUUUCAAAGAGGGGUAUAUCUAUCAAUUAAAAUAUGCAUUUGAUUUGGGAAAAAAAGAGGCGUUGCUACAUAAUUUAACACACAUUUAUUAAUUUGUCUUAGUCUAGAACAAGGUGAUUUGUCCUAAUUACAAGGGAUCAGUGGACAUAAUUUUUUAUAGUUGGAAUAAACUAAAGAUACCAAAAAAUAAGCAAGAGAUUAACGAUCGGCCGACCAGGAGACAUCACUUGUUUCUCGGACGCAUUGGAACAGGUUGGAGCACUUAUCAAAAGGGCACUCCAUUUUACUGUGGAUACAUGCUUUAUGAUAUCAUGUCUGGUUUUAACCGAACAAUGCAUCUUCACAGGAUGGAUCAUCCUUCAAUUGGUUGGGAAUUUCUUUCCACUUUGGAGUCCCUAAAUAAUUCCAACUUCUUGUUAUUUUAUAGCUUCAAUAAUAUAUUGUUUGAACUAGCUAGGGCAACUACAUUAAUAAACAUGCCUUUUAGCUACGUGGGAUCCAUUGAGAGAGCGGCUAUAUAUAUAUAUAUAUAUAUAUAUAUAUAUAUAUAUAUAUAUUAGGAUUGAAGCAUUUACGACUCUAUAGAUAUGGCUCAUGAUACUUGAUCAAAGGAUAUAAUAAUGUACCAAAGGAAACGCUAUCGAUCAAUUACAAAUUGUUGAGUGUUAUCCUUGAAUGUGUUUGCAUAUCUAUGAACUUCGGGUCCCUUGUGUCAAAAACUGCUGAAGAUCCCUUUAUAACUUGAGUUGUCCUAGCUCUCGGAAAAUGAAGAGGAGUUGUUACAUUUGAUACCUUAGUGCUCCAUGCAAAGAACAUGCUGGUGAAGUAGUAAAUGUGCAGAGUACUUUAUUUUUUUUAUAUUAAUUAAAAGUUAUAUUUUUUUAUCAGGUAAUUAGGAGAGUACUUUAUUUGAGUACUAAAGCUAAAGUUAUAUUAAUUUUACAACUAAUUUUUCAAUCCAAAAUUUUAGCUAAGAGGUUUAAUCUGACUAAAGCUAAAUGUAAUUAGGAGAGUAAUUUAUUUGAACGAAUGUCAACAGUUCUCUAGGAACCAUGCACGAAAGACUUUUAUCUCCUAAGAGAUAAGAUUAGGGUUUUGCUAUUAGGUAAGUCUCACUUUCAACCAGGGACUAAUGGUUGAAAAUGUAGAGAUUUGAGGAAAGACUAUCCUCCAUUCACUAUCCCCAUUAAGCCUCCUUAGUCCUUAUUAGAAGAAAAAUCAUAUGUGGAGAUGUUCUUCACCCGAUUGCCCCAUCACUUCUCUCUACCUAGGUUUUGUACUCGUUAUUGGAAGAGAAUUCCAUGACGACAUGCAUGAAACAAAUGAGCAUAAUAAUGUCCCCACGUCCUUUAUAACAUGAACAAGAUCGUCAAAGCAAGAGUAGGAACCCAUCUUCUCAGACACAAGUAAACAAAACUCAGUUAGUCGUAGAUGUUGAAUUUUUUGUUAACCUGUCUCACAAAGCGGGCCGGCAUGCAAGGCAAACAAAUCUUCCAUUUAUAUGUCAUUGACAGCACAGAGAUAUAGAUAUGAUGGCCUUGUUCGAUCAAACACACACGUCCCUUUCAAUGCCUCCCCAUACCUACGUGUUAAAACCCUCACAUAUUUUCGUGUUAACAUUAUCACAUGGGCAAGAGUCCCGCCAGCAGUGGCUGCUUGCGAUCAAGUCAGUAGGGUCAGGAUGGUCCGGCGAAGUUCACCGACAAUAUAGAUAUUAACUCAUUUGAUAGACUUGAUGCCGUUCAUGGAGUGCCAUAUACACGUGUGUGUGAGAGAUCACAAGACUGUAUUUGAUGUACACUGUAAUAAGAAAUUAACAGAGACAAUAGAAUACAUACCCUUUGUCAUGAACUGAGUAAGUGUUGAAUUGUCUAGAAAAAAAUUGUGCUGUAAAAAAUAAAUAGUUUUAUAAUCCAUGACAAACCUUAGGUUACUGUGUAGUAUCUCGUUCUACAUGUAAAUAUCGAAAACAAAAUUCUAUAAAAAGAAAUGGCAGGAGCGGCCCCUGAGGAACAAUCCCCAGUAACGAAUAAAUCAUCAGUUGGGGUAAUUUUGGACAUAAUUGAAUGACAUUUUCCCUACCUACUAGCUAGCCUGAUGAAAUUAAUCAUUAUUAACAAAAAACAAAAAAAAUAUUUUCUGACAUAAUUCAACCCCUUGUUAAAUUUCCAGGUGAUCGUUGUUCUUGUUUAAAAGAACAUAUUUUUGAGAAGGGUGAGGUGAUCAUGCAAGAAAAUGAAAGGAGAAUGUCUAAUAUUUGAGUGACACGAUCGUAGGCAAGCUCCAUUCGAUCGAGUGUCUGAACUCUGAAUGGGUAAAGAUCAUUCAGGUAAUGCAUUAUUAUUUGUAUUGGUUAAUUAACUUUAAUGGCUAUUGUUCUUGUAUAUAUGAAACUGGAUACAUUCUUAAUUCCCUGUAGAUUCCAUGACAGAACUUUGAUGAAGAGAAAAUGGCGAGGAGGAAUCACUAUUCCAUGACAGAACUUUGAUGAAGAGAAAAUGGCGAGGAGGAAUCACUAUUUUUUUUUUUUUUUUUGUAAUUUUGAACUUAGGACAGCUUAGGAGUAGAGAGUACUGUACCUAGCUAAAGCCCCAUAACCAAGAGGCCUUUCUUUUUCUUUAUACCCCAGCAGCAGCAGCUGCACCUCUAAUUUUAAUCAAAAUUAAACAAUUUUGAUACAAAUUAUUUUUUGGCCAUGUUUUAAAUUAAUAUUUAUUUUUAACUGAAAAUUAAUUUAAAUUAAUUCUUCCAUUUCCUAAUUUUUUAGCGAUUAAUCCCAGAUUUUUGCUAUAAAUAUGUUAAUAUCACUCCUUAUAAAAUUUUACUAUAACAUGAAUUGCUAGAAAAAAAAAUCAUUUUAUAAACUGACUCCAUAUUUAUAAAACACCUUUGACGUACGUACUAGCAUUCUUUCAUUAAGAUAUAAUAAAAGAAAAUUAAGAGCAUUCCCAUAUAUAUUACUUUUAAGUUCUUAAAAUAUAUCCCCCUCGGACUCUGUUGAUUUCUUGCUUUGGAUUGCAGGUCUUUUAAGGUGUGAAGUGACACCAACUGGUCAUCACAAGGGGAACUUUAAGCCCUCUGAACUUCGUCUGAAAUCUUGGAUGAACAACCUAUGGAACAAAGUUUUUCAAUGCUUAUGAAGCCGAUGAGUGCUGAUCAAUCGAGUCAAAAAGUUCAUUUCCUAUCCCAAAUCCAAGCAUCCUGGCCAUGUCACUGGUCUUCAGUCUAGGUUUUGGAACAUUAAUAUGCUGUUGCAAGCCUGCAACCAAGAGUACACAUCGAAAAUUAACUUUCUUCAUUGCAAACAAUUUCAGUGCCUCAGGAUUAAAAACAAUUCCUGAUUUCAUAUUUACCUGCCAGCAGAAAAUUUAAAAGUUCUGCCUUUCAAUCAUGCUCUAUUAGCUCCUUAAAUAAUAUGCAGUCUCAUCCAUUAUCUGUUAUCUGAUGAAGGACUAGCAUUGCUGCAUAACGAGCCAGCUCUCCAGCUCUCCAGCUCGCCAGUACAUCAAGACAGGUAACCAAGGAUAAGUAGCAUCAAGUCUCAAAAAUAACAAUGAUAGCAAUCCAAUGCGCAUGAUAUUCAAUAGAGUAAACCUUGAAGUUAGCAUUAUUCCAUAAUGCUAAGAAAAUACAAAUUUUCAAGCACAAAAAAACCAAGAUCCAAAAUUGAAUAAUUAAAAAGAAACGAAAAGAAGCAAUGCGGGAUAGAUCUAGAAUCAACAAAUCUUAAUCUUUAAUGGGGCUCUCUCCUUUUUUAAAACAAAAAAAAUGACUACAUCCAGACCAAAUCUGUGGUGUUUUUGUUUUUGUCUCAGUGUUCUGCAAGAAAAACAAUUUAGAGAUAGUGAGAGUUUUGGCAAUGAAAAAGAAACAAAUAUAGUAGAGAUCGGAGAAAUGUGGAUCAUUGAUUAUGUGCCUAUCCUCUCUCCUCCCUCUGAAACCUUUUUUUAUCCAUCAUGGAUCCCUUUUUUUUGCCUGACGCCUCCUUCGUUCCCCCUGCAUCUGUCAGUUUGCUUUAGAACAACAUCACCCUCUCCGCGUAGAUUUUUCUCUCUGAUCUGCCUUCUUUUUUUCUCCUUCCUUUCUCUGUUUUGUACUUGUUUUCUCUUCUAUGUAAUUAAAAGAAGAAACUGAUGGGAGAAUGGGUGGAAAACAUGCGCCCGUUAAAAAUACCAAAACACCUUCCACAAACCACAGAGACAUCCAACAGGUUGAAGUACAUAAUUAUUACUACACUAUUAAAAUUCAUAAUGAAAUUACCCAGUCCACAGUACACGCAUUCAUUUAGCACUUUUAGUUUUUUUUAAUGUUCAAUACCAAUAUAUAAAAUUUAGGCAGCGAAGUAGAUAUAAACUGGAAUUUUAAAACCACUAAAACCCAAGGUAUCCCUUUGCCAUAAAUUAUUUUCUGCCUUUCACAGCUUGCGGGAGCAAGCAUAUACAUGCAAUUACAUGGUUUUUAACUCGUGAUGGAGCUUUCUCAAAGUUCGGGAAACCUCACUUGCUGGUGAGACCUGAAUAAUCUGUUGGUGUAUAUGGUAUAAACAAGUCUGCUAAAAGUCCUUUCUUUCUUCUAGGAUUAUAUCCCAUGUCUUUGCAAAGCUGGUCAUUGUAAUAUAUGUUAAAGUUACUAAUACAAGCUCUCCUGAAGUAGCGGCCUGUAACUUGUUUGAUGUGAUCUGCCCACAUGUUUGCUUCCUCUUCCAUGUCUCUUAUACUUGGCAAUUCAAGGUUGCCAUCGAGGAAAUGUGAUAGCCAUACACUUUCGAUUUCAGAGUAACCCAAACUUGAGAAAUUCUCACUGUAUCCUAUUAUAGCCAAUUGAGGAAUUCGAGGAUGAAUUAUUUGUCUGCAGAAAUGACAAAGAAGGUGUCAUAUUAAUGUUAACCAUGCAAUAUCAAGCUGGAUGUUUGUAUUCAUUGAUCACUUUAAAGGACAUACAGAAAGAAACAUGACAAGAAAUACGAAGUUAGCAGACCUGUAGAGGGAAACUGUAGUGGUAGGUGACCCAAUUAUGUAGUUUUGGAAAACUGGAGACUCAAAAAUGUUUUUCAGUUUUUCAUCACCCUUGAAUCCUGUAGCAAAAAUCACAAGAUCAGUUUCAAAUGGACGAUUUUCUCCAUUUAUAAUUAGACCUUCUGGGAAGAAGCUUAAGCUUUGUGAAUUCUUGAUAAUGAUGCUUCCUUCUUCAACUCUGUCAUAGAAUUUGUCAGGCAGCAUCGCAAUCUGACAGGAAGAUAUAUCUUCAAGAAAGCUGGAUUUUGGUAACAUUCCAUACUUCUUCAGAGGAAUAUUCCAUCUAAGGUAGAUCUCAAUGAAUUUUGAAAUUCCCCAUCUCUGAAAAGCAAGAUAUUGGCAUCAUAAUUCAGAGCAAAUCACACAUAUAUAACAUUCAUGGACAAAGGCAAUUGCGAGAGUGAAAUAGAAGUUACCAAGGGUGCAAGUAAGGUGGCCAGAAAACUUAAUAGAAAUGUUUCACCAGGUUUAUAGACUAACAAUUCCGAGAAUCGAUUGUAGCACAGGAAAGCAAGCAGAAGUCCACUCAAAUUGUCACAGGGCAAAAACCAGUGGGCAUUCCUCUGAAUCAUUGUGCAAGGGUACAUAACUCCUGAAUGAUAGAUUAUAAUAAGGCUGUUUGAACUUCAAAUGACAACUAAGCAGUAUUCUAUGAAACAUUCUAUUCACUCAUUUAACUAAAUCCAGAGGAUGUUUUGAACAUCACAGACUUUAUUGCUCAUUAAAGUAAAAGUCUUUUUGAUAAUCUGAUAAAAGACUUAAAAGUAGGAAUAUUUGCUUGACAGAAUGUUUUCUUACCAUUUGCGUUGGCACAUUCUGCUGCUAUGUCAACUGCAGAUUUAUGAGAACCAACUACUGUAAUUCUCUUUGUUUUGAUCAAUUCUGAAGCAGUUGAAUUGUCUAGGGCUGAGAAGUCUUCUGAAUGCAUCACCUUGCCCUUGAACACUUCAGGUCCUUGAUUUGGAAGGAACUCUGGAAUAUUUGGAAGGCCACUGAAUUGUCCAAUGCAAAGAACUACAAAUUCAGCAUGAUACACCUGACCAACAUAAUUCACCAGUGAUUUAAUAUUUAUAUAUGUAUAAAAGAAAUAGCCACAACAAUAGCCCACAACAGUGGAUAUAGAAUCUUUCAAAAAAUAAACAUACUUGUAUGCUGCAAUUUUUUGUGUCUUGAACUUUGACAUGCCAUUUCCCUUUGGAGCCAAAGGGCUUGCCUGUCCCACUCCAAAGAGCCCAUGAAUCCAUCUCUUCGUUAGACUCUCCAAAAUACUCUAUACCAAUGACCUUGGAAUUGAACUUGAUGCAUGCAAAGAUAUUGAAAUGUUGUGCAUAAGAUUCCAGAUACUCCAUCACUUGAUUGUGAGUGGGAUACGUGUUUUUUAUCGAGGAAGGCCAUGGAAAAUCAGAAAACUGGUAAAUUUCUUUGCUGUUUUGGAGUCUGGUUGACUCUAGAGUAUGUGACCAAACUCCACCAAUUCGUUCUUCAGCUUCAAACACAAUCGGGUUGAGUCCGAUUUUGAGUGUGUUCUUACAGGCAAGAAGGCCACUUACUCCUGAUCCGAUGAUUACCACUCGUUUCUCCAUUAGUCCACUCUGAGAUCCGUUUAGGGUCAGGGCAUUAAAUACUAGUUAUGUCUAAGAAGCCAUCAAACGGUCUUCAGGAAAAUCAUCUAACAGUGCGUUCUUUUGUGCUUAUAUGGAUAGGUCGGUCACCUUAUCCAAAUAAUGUCGACCUUCAUAUAAUAAUAUCUCUCAGCUCAAACGGCCACCAUCUUGAUUGGCUGGGCUUGUGGGGGGUCAGAAGUGGAUGAUCGACACCUUCAUGUCUUCAAACAAGACACCAUCAUUUCUUCAAAUAAGACACUAAGCUCACACUACUUUGUUUCUGAGUGUAAGGCAUGUAGUCGGAGGUUGUCGGUAUGGAUGUGGGCAGUUUCUAAGCAGCCCAUAGUUAAGUAUUGGGUCAGGUAGGUGGCCCAAACAAGAAAAUGGACUGGACUAUCCUGCCAUUUCCAACCAUUCUGAUUUCUGGAUUUUUGAAAAUAAGAACUUAAUUUUCGCACGCGCGGUAAUCUAUCUUUCGAGUUUUUAAGUUUAUAUUAUAAAAUCAAUAUUUAAAAGAAUUUACCUUUUAUCAUUCUAUCUAGUUUCUUUGGGGUAACUUUUAAUAACCAGUUAGCUUAUAGAAUGAUAGUAUGUAUAAUUUGAUUACUUCAAAUUAUAAAAUUUAAUUGCUUGAUUUUUUUUUUAUAAUAUUCUCUAUCAUAUACAAAUUUUUUUAUAUAUAAAAUAUACAAAAAAAUUUCCAUUCUACUAAGGUUUCGAGUUAAACAUGUUGAUUCAUAAGUAAAUAAAUCAAUUUAAAUUUUAAUUUUUUUAUUUAUUAAAAAAUAUCCAAAUCAAUAUUAUUUUGGUAAAAAGAAAUUUUUUUUUCAUUAACAUAACCUAAAUCAAGUUUGGAUUGUCCUAUUAGACUGGAAUAAUUUUAAGAUUAAGUCAUUUUUUCAUUUUUUUUCCUCAUAUGAUACAAUGAUUGAAUGAAACGGUGCUUUCAUGCAAGAAUUUUAUACAAAUGAUUACAACAUCAUGAAAAUUUGUGAUCACAUACAACAUGGGAUUUGAUGAUUGCAUUAGAAAAAUCAAUCUUUUUCUUAAUGGUCUUCUAGAAGCAUUGCCAUUUAUUGGCCUAUAUAUAUAUAUAUAUUGUUGUUGCUGCUUUCAAGCAAUAAAUCAGCACAAAACUUGAGACGGAAACGAGUUGACUCUUGUCAAGGUGGUGAGCUCGGUAAUGGCAUUGUAAUACUCAGAGUAUGAAGACAGAUAUGGAUCAACCUUUAAUGGGCUGCCCCCAUGGUUAAAGGUGGAGAGCUACCUGGACUCUUACGACUAAGAGCGAGAGACUCACGGAGAAGUAAGGCGUGGUUCCUAGGGUGGAACAGAGGGCAGGCGCAACUCCUGGAUGAGUAGACUCUUGGAAGAGUGGUGAGCUCGUGAUCAUAUUGAGAUACUCAGAUAAUGACUGUCGCACUUGAGGGGGUGUUGUAAGCCUUGGUGUAAGGCUUGAUGAACCAUUCCGGACCGAGCAUGGUUGAUACGCUCGAAGGGGAAUGUUGUGUAUCCCAGAGACAAGCGUUAACACUCUUCAGAUGUGAUGUGGCAGACCAUCUGGUUGUAGUGAUCCUUUUGUGUGAGAAAAGGUGUGCUUUAGUGACUCUAGUGAUUGAAAGGUUUGGCAAGUACCUGGAAACUUGGCCAAAGAUGCUCUCAGAAUGGUAAGCUUGGAAGAGCUGCAAGAUGCAAGCCUGUGCUGAAGAAGCAAGAGGACAGUUGCCCCACAUGAAUGGCAAAGGGGGUGAUUGUUGGGUUGUUGCCAUUGCAUGUGCAUCAAAUGGUUGGCACCAACCAUUGACUAUUGGCAGCCACCAUUUUCAAUGGUUAGGCAACCUACCAUGCCUAACCUUGCAGCCAUGUUUGACAGCAGAACAAGUGGAACAGCUGCCAUGAAAUGCCUAUAAAUAGAGGCAUUAUGUGAGAGCAAAAUGAGAGGAGAGAAAACGUGAGUGUGUGCAAGAGAGUGGAGAGAAAGAGAGCUGCAAUGGCAGCAGCCUUGCUGCCAUUGCAGCAGCUGCAAGUGCAGCAGUUAAGAGCUGGGAGUUGAGAGAGUGAAGUGAUCCUCCUCCUCCAUAUAUAUUGUAAUCCUUUCUCUAUAUAUCUCAAUAAUAUAGACUCUCCCGUGGAUGUAGGCGGAUUUGCCGAACCACGUAAAAUAUUGUGUCAGUGUGCUAUCCCUCCUUUGAGCAAUUAUCAGUACACCCCCGGUCGGAAAUCCCCAAACAGCAGCAAGAGCUUUCUCUGCUUCCAACAAAUUAUUAAAUCAACUUGAUUCAUGUAACAGAUAUAAAAUUAAAUCAACCAUGUUUAUUGUUUGGAUGUUUUGAUAGACGAUUAAAAAAAAAAGUAUCACUAAUGAUAAUAUAAUUAUUUGAGAGGUCCACUUAAACUAAUAUUGUCCCCACCAUCUCCACGAGAAUUUGAACGAGGAAGACUCCCCUCGCUCAUGUCUUUGCCUCCACACAAGAAACCACGCACACAAGAAAGGAAAAAGGUGAGAAAUUUUUUGAAACGUAUUCAAAUCUCUCAUGGCAAUGGCUUCCAAUGCUCUUCAUCACCCUCUUCACCAAUCUAUAUCUCUGAAAUAUCCUCAUCUUUCUCAUAUUUCACGAUUCUCUCCCUCUUGUCUUCGCUUCACCUCCCUCCGGUUUCCCUCUACAAUUCGCGCCACUUCAGCUGUCGCUCUUGAACCGGUAACACCUUCAUCUCUACUUUCUCUCUUUUCACUUUUUUUUUCUUUUUUCUGGGUUAUACAUUCCAUUGCUUUCAGUUUUUGUUUUACUACUAAAUUACCUUUGCCACUACAAGUUUUUCUUGAAUUGGAGUAUUUUAUCAUAGUUUUUUUAACGCAUUUGAGAUAUGACAGUGAAGUACUGGUAAAGGGGUUGUUCUUGUUUGGUUGCUGAGAGAAUUUGUAUUGUCAAAUGUCUUUUUUUUUUCUUUCUUAUUCUGGGUUGUUUUUUAUUCAUUAAUUGAGGCGAUGAGAAUGUCAUAAGGAAUAAAAUGGGUUGUUUAAAAAGGUUUUAGUUGAAUCUGGCAUUUUGUCUGGGAAAAUAGGAAUGUUUCUUUGGUUACUGAGAAAGUUUUGAAUUUUGAAUAUAAAAUUUCUUAAUUAGGACCUAAAUGGCUAAACUUUAUGGAACUAGCUCAAUGGAUUGAGUUAAAUGAAAGAAAAAAUUAAGGGGCAGUGUUUAGUGUUUGAUGGAUUUUUUUAUAGCAUAUACAGUAUUGAGUGGUCACAUUUGACACCAAAAGUUGUCUUGACUCCUCUUACUUUCACUAACGCAGGGUGGCUUUCAUAUCUGUUUUAGUGGAGGUUAGAUAGAAGAAGGAGAAUUGAUUAGUUAUUCUAUUUGGUGCAGAAAUUCUCAAGCUAAUAUUGAUGCCGGCUUGUUUUCGAAUAAAUUUUAACUGGUGGCUUUUAGGUUCAUCGUUCAGCACGCAUUCAUUUAUUUAUAUUAAAUCUGAGGAGUAAUGAUUUUAGGUGGCGGUGCAAUAGCAAGGGAGUAACUUGCUUAAAGCUGCUGUUUUUUUAGUUCUGUGGCUUAAGCAGAGUUGUUUGCUGGCAACAAUUCAAAACUUUGCUGUUUAUUCAUAACUAUGUUAAGUUAAUGCUCCUCCUAUUGCUACAUAUGUUUCCUCCCGUUGUUGUAUAUUGGAUUUGACAAGAAUUUAAUCUUUCAGGAGUUAAGCACACAGCAGAAUCAAGCAAUAUUUGCUUGUCCAGUAUGUUAUGAACCUCUAAUAAGAAAAGGUCCUCCAGGUUUUAACUUGUAAGUUGGGUCACAUGAUGGUAUAAAAGCCUUUUCUUCUUUUUGUUUCGAAUUGUCUGAUAUGGUAAUAACUGCAAAACCUGCAGGCCUGCAAUAUAUCGGUCCAGUUUCAAGUGUAAAAAAUGCACCAAAACAUACUCAAGCAAAGACAACUAUCUGGAUCUUACAAUUACUGCUGGAAUGAAGGAUUACACUGAAAUCAAUCCAGUUAGGACCGAGCUAUUCCGGUAUACAUCUGGUGAUGAUGAUGCCACGUAAUCAUGCUCAGUAUAUUGAUGCAUCCAUGAUGUACUUGAUCAAUUCAAAUUUGAGCAUUACUGCGCAUGCAUGCAUAAGCUUACAGGCCUUUCAACCUUGAAUUAAUGUCCAUCCCACGCCUAUGUAGCAUUUUAUGGAUCUGUUACUGUUAAUUAGAUGGGGUACCCAAUUUUGGUUUUGACUUAAGAAGGAAUAAAGAACAAUGGAAUGCAUUUUGAAAAUCGGAAUCAGAUUUUAUAGUAAAACUGAAUUGUUUGAGGAAAUGUUCAUGCUCAUGUCAGUUACUUUCAUCUUCUCAGGAGUCCACUUGUUUCAUUCUUGUAUGAACGAGGUUGGCGCCAAAGCUUUAAUUAAAGUGGAUUUCCUGGUCCUGAUGAAGAGGUUUGUGUUCCUUGGUUUGUUUCUAGGAAUUCAAAUACACCAGUUAGGCAUGAAAGUUUAAUUAAGCUUAUCUCGAAAGAUUAGUUUGAGCAAAUAUUACUUAUGGUUUUAUGAAAUCUUUCUAUGCAACUUGGUAACUUGGAACAUUGAAAAUCCCAUGAAAUGGCAUUGGCAUCUCCGAAAAUGGGAGUAAUUAAUAUCAUUCUCAUUCUUCUCCUCUUUUGAAACUGCUACUGAAUUUGAAAACAUGAACUUGACUUUGUGAUGGUUUCUCUAAUGCAGUUUGAAAUGGCUCAGGAGUACUUCAAACCUGCCAGAGGGGGUCUUCUAGUAGAUGUAAGCUGUGGCAGUGGCCUGUUUUCUAGAAAAUUUGCCAAAUCUGGAGCAUAUUCAAAAGUUAUUGCACUUGAUUUCUCUGAAAACAUGCUUCGUCAGUGCUAUGAUUACAUCAAGCAAGACGAUACUAUCUCAACAACGUAAGCUUCUUUUGCCUGACUUGAGUCUCAAAGUUACAAUAGCUGUUAUGUGAGAGUAAUUAUAAUUUCAUAACUAUGUUUCAAUUUGAAAUGAGGAUUGACAAUUUCUUUUGCUGGAGAAUGUGCAGAAAUCUUGGUCUUAUCAGGGCCGAUGUUUCAAGACUUCCAUUUGCAUCGGGUUCAGUUGAUGCUGUUCAUGCUGGUGCUGCCAUGCAUUGCUGGCCAUCUCCUUCCAAUGCUGUAAGUGAUCUUUCUUUCUUUUGUUUCUUUUGUGGAUUUGAUGGCAUAAACUUCCAGAUAUACCAGUCCAGUCUGGUUUGCAAGAUCCAAAUUCCACUAGAAUUUGGAAAAGGCACUGCAAUCUUUUGUCUAUCAUGAUUUGUGACUUUGAUGUCCUUAUCCUGAUGCUGGCUUGAUCUUGUCCCUCAUGCUACUCCCUUAGGGCCAUCUCUUAUGCAUUGACCAUUGACGUGUAAGACACCAUGUUAUUAUAUGCUGUGAGUUAAAGAAAAUUCUAACCUCAUGAUGUGGGAUUGACGAGAGGAUGAGUAAUACAAUGCUUAAAACUAGUCCUUUACAAGUUACAAGCUUGAUUGUGAUGUGGUCAAUUCCUGUCACGUCUAAACCAUCGAGGACUUCUUUUCCUAUCUUUGGAUUGAAACUUUAUCAGGGUUCAGGAAAUCAGUAGUUUAAUGUGCUUCAUUGCACCAAAAGUGGAAGCAAAAAGAAUAUGAAGUUCAAUACGCCACUUCUUACUUGACCAUAUUUGAAAAGGGUUUCAAGUCAUAACCUACCAAAACUAGGUGUAAAGAGGCAUGGAACACUGAGUAGAUUGAGUCUCCAGGAUAAGAGUUAAAAAAACGAAAGAUUGUAGUCGUGGCUUUUGCCUUGCAAAGAGCUGAAGUAAAGGACACCUUCUCUAGACCUCAGGAUGCUUGAGAUCUCUAUUACAGAUAUUUUCUCUAACAAUUACUGCUGCCACUGAAAACACACAACACACAGAUUGCAAAUGAAAAACAUUAUAACUUGCUGAAUAUGUAAGUUAUCACCUUUUGUUUCAGAAUCUACUAGAUAGUGUCAGACAACAGUAGUCAGCCUCCAAUCUUAAUACAUAAGGCGUUUACAUUUGUGGGUUUGUGAACAUAAUACUUGUAUCUAUAGUAUGACAAAGUCAACUACCUUAGGUGCCCAUCAUGUGGUUCUGCACUUUGGUCUCAUGGAACUGAUAACAACGUUCUACCAGUGGCAAGGCAGUGCCUAUAGCACAAGAUAUCAAAUUAUAUGCAAAACAUUUGCAUUGCUUUGAUCAAAUCCAGCAAUUAUCUUGGUUCACUGGCUAUGUUUUGGGAAAUUGCGAGAGGUGGUUUGUUAUGUCAUCAGCAAGUAGGUUCCGUGGCGUCUUGUCCUGAGAAGUACACAUCAUAAACCCCUCUCCCAAGUUCUGUGUUUAUGUGUGUUUUAAGUGCUUUCUCAUCAUUUGACUGUAUGUAGAAUUAUUUUAUGAACCUGCUGUUCAACUAGUGACGUAUCUAAUAAUGUCAGGUUUCUGAAAUUUGUCGUGUAUUGCGAAGUGGUGGAGUUUUUGUCGGAACCACUUUUCUUCGAUAUAGUUCAACCACUCCACGGAUAGAACAACCUUUCCGAGAGGUAAUAAGCUUUUUUUCCUUCAUUUGAUCAAAUCAUAGUCAUAGAGUGAUAAUAACUGGGAGGAUUAAUUACUAUGCCUAGGGUUACUUCCUUUUGGCUUUUGAUUUUAUGUGCACAUGUGUUUGUAUAUUUAAAUGUUAGUUAUUCAGAAUUGCUCUCACCCAAGCUGGCAACGGUGAAAGGAACUGUCCAAAUUGAAAUUAGUUUGUGAAUAUAGCAAAGGAAGCAGUAAAGCAAUGAAGAACUAGUGUUUUCAAGUUUCUACAAAUUUCGGGUUAAGUGAAACUUACCCAGAUUUGUUUGUUGAUUUUCACGCCACAAAAAGUUCACAUUUCAAUCAUAUCGUAACACAUUUCAUGGAGAUUUGUACACAUUUUUCAUGAAGACUUCAUUUAUCAUGAAUGUAUAUUAACUGAAGUCUUAUAAACUAUUAUGGUUUGGGUCUGCUAGUUUUUAAUCUUAACAUUAUGCUAUUCUUGGAAUGCUUGCUUCUUUGAGUUACAUGUAAAUUAAUAGGUGAUGUGUUAGCUCAACAUACAACAGAGAAAAUUGCACAUCCCAAUUCCUUGGAAAUUAGGUUUUUAGUAAUGAUAGGUCGUUGUGAGGGUGGAACUCCAUCCAAACUGGUUGCAGUUUGCACAGCCAGAGAAUUGUAGGGUAAUUCCAUCUACACUCACCAUUGUUAUAUGCUAUAAUUGGAUCUAAAGAUCUUCAUGUGUCUGACAGAGGAUUUCGCGGAACUCUAACUUCUUCACGGAGGAGGAAAUUGAAGACUUGUGCUCAACAUGUGGUCUUACAAACUACUCAAAGAAAGUUCAGCAAACGUUCAUAAUGUUCUCUGCUCAGAAGCCAUGAAGCAAGGUUUAGUUCAUUUAGACACAAUUCUCCCUGGACUUGACAUUGACAUAUCCGGUGCUGGUUUGGUAUAUAAGAUAUUUCAAUUGUAUAGACUUUUUAAAUAAACAAGACCUAAAAGGUGAUAUAACCUGGGGAGAUGCAAAGUGCCAUUGUUAAUAAAAAGAAGUCUAUAAUUACUGUCUGGUUUAUAUAUAUAAUGAUUCAACCCCUGCUUUGAACUUCAGCAGUGUCACUAAUCCCAGGGGACUAGCCUUUCUAUUUGUAGAUUUUGCUGGGAGUGAUCUGAAAGCAAUGCUUCUGAGAUAGUCCACAAACAUACACUACUAGCACCGAGUCUGUAGAAUGCGCUAACAAAUUCUUAGCUUUCAGCUUUAUCUGAUGAUUAGAUAAAAUUCAUACUUGUUUUUUUCAUGAAGUCUGUUUAAUCUGUCCGAACUUCUUGCUGGGAUUGGACUUGUCAAGGUGCUCUAUGAACAAUAUGCUAGACAUUUCAUGUCGACUGCUAUGCAUCAGUAUCGUCCUGCAACACAAUUCUUGUGACUCAAACGGACUCAUGGUUUUGGACUGAUAUCUGUGACCUAUAAUCUAUACAGACAGGGCUCAUGAACCCGCAUGAUGUGAGUUUAUUAAAUGAUAAGUCAGGAUCUGGUGGCGAGGCUUUGCACAUGACGAGUCCUCGAGGAUUUGGGCAAAGCAAAUAUAAUAGCCCCCGGGGAUGUGGCUGAGCCAAUAAAGAAACCCUUUUUAGCAGGGCAAAGUGUGUCUCUGAAGUAUCAAAUAUGGGCAGAGAGAGCCCCUCGUGCGGCUCACAAGCUGACCAGCUUUCUGUAUGUUCUUCUACAGUUCUACUACACUGUUUGCCCUAAAGGAACCCAUCAUUACAAACUCUGUUCACUUCUGGAUCCUUGACCUUUGACCAUCCAACAAGAUGCACAGCUGGACAAGAAAAAUAAGAGAGGAAUAUUUGAUCAGUCCAAGAACAAGGAGACCUCUUAGGGUUUAAUUUGGUUUAUUUUUCAAAGUGAGGACAUUGGAUCCCUUGCACGUGACCUUCUUUCCUCCUGCAAUCCCAUUUUGCUUUCCAUGGCACGUGGGGUCGGUCACCCUUUACCUUUCUUUUAUUUUUUUAUAAUUUUUUCUGCAAAUUCUUAUUUGUCUUCGUUUUUUCUUUAGAAUAAUGUUAAUCCAAUCGGAAAAGCUCACUCAGCAAUGGCUGGGAUUUUUUCCAAAUAAUUUCGAAAAAAAGUCUUUCAAUAAAAUUUGCUUUUUUUUUUUUUCUGAAGGAAGAAAUGGAGACUGGUUUUGCUAAUUGAUUUGAUUAUUAUUUGCCACGUGCAUUGUCUUACUGCAACUCUUAAUUAUGAUUACAGGAGAAUAAUGAAGAUUAAUGGGGUUGCUUUUAAUUAGCUGUUUCUUGAAUUCAAAAUAUAUUUUUCCUGGGUAAUUUGAAAAGAGGAAAGGUACAGGGGCAAAUGGUUUAAUUAAGAUGAUAUCGUGCAUCACAUUUCCUAUUGAAUUGUGCAUAUUUUUUGUUGUCACUAUUUGAAGGCUUCAUAAACUUUAUCAACAUUAAUUAGCAUAUUUAAAUCAACAUUAAAAAGAAUCAAUUUAAAAAAAACUAUAAAAAAACCCGAGUCAAUUGAAGUUAACUCGAUUAAUACACGACCUACGAUAUAAAAUUAGGAUAAAUUUUUUUUUAAAAAAACCUGGAAAAUAGAUCGAAGUUAAACAAAAAAACAUUAAAAAAAACUAGAGUAACUCCACAUAAAGAAAAGCGGAAAAAUCACAAAGGUCAAAGCUCAAUAAUUUAAUGUCAAAUAAUAAAAUUAAAAAAAUUAAUUUUAAAAAAAGAAACGUUGGGAAAAAAAAACUAAGUCAAUCUAGGUUACCUCGACUAACUUGCGAUAUGCGAUCGGGAUAAAAAAAAAUUAAAUUAAAAAAAAAAACCUAGAAAAAAAGACCAAAGUUAGGUCAAUAAAAAAAACAUCGAAAAAAACUUAAGUAAACCCGGGUUAACUUAACUCACUUGUGACCUGAGAUAACCCCAUUGAAAGGAAGUAGAAAAAAAUCACAAAGUUAAAGGCUCGAUAUUCUAAUGUCAAAUAAUAUAAUUGAAAAAAAUCAAUUAAAAAAAAACAUAAAAAAAACCCGAGUAAACCCGGGUUACUUAACUGACUCAUGACUCGGGAUAUAAUAAUCAAAUAUGGUAUAAAAAUAAUGAAGCAAAAUUCCUAAUCGUCAAAAGUUGAAAACAAAACAAGUACCAAUCAAAUAAUGAGAAUCAAAUCUGGCAUAAAAAAAUAAAUGAAAGAAAAUAACUAGGGAUUAAAUUAAAAAAUAAAAAAAAUUAAGAAAAUAAAAAAAAAAUAGUAAUAAAAAAAUAAGGGUCAAACUAGAUAUAAAAAUUAAAUGAAAUAAAAUAUUUAGAGAUGAAAUUAAAAAAAAAACUUCUAUAAUCACUAAAAAAAAAAUAGCAAUCAAAAGAAUAAGGACUAAAUUAAAUACAAAAAUGGAUCAAAUUUUAUUUUAAAUUAAUUUAUUUCGCCAAGUUAAAUUUGAGUGAGGCUUUAUCAGAUUAAUUCUAAGGAUUUUUUUAAAAAAAAGUUUGUCAAAAAUAAUAAUGUUUAAUUUUUUUAAAAAAAAUUGUUUUAGGAUUAAUAUAGAAAAUCUACAACCCGAGUCUAAUAAUUAUGGUUUUCUCAUGCAAUUGUAACCCGGUAUCCACCAUUUAUAAUCUCACACUUGCUAGGGCAGGUGUUGGACUUUUCAGUAAACAUGAUUCUUUCUCGUAGCUAAUUGAAAUAUUGUUAACAACUUAAUGAUUUAACUUCUUUUCACUAAUAUGUAUUUAAUCAGUUGUGAUUUAUAGUGAAUUGCAAAACCAAAACCAGCACUAAUGGAAAAUCUCUCUGCUAAAACAAAGUUCAUGCACCCAACCUGAUUUCCUCUUGCAAGUUGCAAAGAAUAUCUACUCGUAGACCUUUACCAAGUUUCAAGUAGAAAAAAUAAACACACAAUUCAAAAAAUAAAAUGGAAUUAACCAAUUCGUAUGCUUUGUGCUUGCAGCCUUUGUGAGGCAGUGGGAAUUAAGAAUAUUAUCCAACAAGCCGCCGGGGAAAAUAUUUCGGCCACCACCAUUUAUGCAGCGAAGAUUGGAUCUUUUUAUACAUGGAAUCAUGCUCAUACACAUUUUCUGUGGACUGCAGGCAGCAUAGAAAAGAGCAGAUAUUUCUAGGUAAGGGACAUGUCAAGCUUGGAAUUAUGCCAUGUGUAUCACCAGGGAAGACUUUGCAGAAAGGAAAUCAUAAAAACGAUUCAUGGUUCAUGCAUGGAAAAUGAUCGCCAGCCAAUAUGUUGAAUUCAAAUGUUGCCUACCUUGAUUCCUUCUAAUAAUGUUCAGAUCAUUCGACUCCCUAGCUUUGUGUAAAGAAAAAAAAAUACAGUAGCCUAAACAACUUUGUUUCUGGAUAAAUUACACGAAUCACCUCGAGAUUUGUUAUUGUUUAAAUACGUAGAUUACAUUAUGGAUUGUUUUUAAAUUAUAGCUCAAGUGCUCCUCCUUUCAAGAGAUUUUGAAUUUGAAAUCUUUACUUUAUAUACAUAUAUAUAUAUAUAUAUAUAUAUAUAUAUAUAUAAAUUUUAAUUCAAUAAUCUAAUUAGGUUGAUUGUAAAUUAAAAAAAAAAACGAUUCAUUAACAAAAACUAAUUGAGUAGGAAAAAUCAUAUCAUUACUCUUGUUCUCAUAAAGUAUUAUUCAUUAGAAUAAUAGUUUUUUUUUACUCUUUUUUUUAAUAUUAGAUUUAUUGGAGGAUUGAGCUUUAUAAUUUUUUUUUUUUUUUAAUGAGGUUGUUCUAGUCUCAUGAUCCGGAUCACAAGUUUUACAGAUUAACCUGGUUGACUCGAGGUUUUUAUAGGGUUUUUUUUAAUUAUUUUUUUUUAAUUUCAUCCUUCACCAUAUAGGUUGACUAGAAAUUAAAAUUCAUAAUUUAUUUCGAUUUGGUUUUUAUGAGGUUAUCUCAGUUUCAAAACUCAAGUUUAGCAUGUUAAACUAGGUUGACUCAAGUUUUUUUUUUUAUUGAUAUUUUUUCAAUUCUAUCAUUCAAUGUUGGAUUGAUUGGGAAUUAAGUUUUAUAAUUUAUUUUGAUUUGCUUUUUAUUGGGAUAUCAUGGUUUUAUGAUCCCGGUUUGACAAGUUAAUCCGAGUUAAUUCAAGUUUUUUUUCAUUUUUUUUUAAUUUAUUAUUUUCAAUUUAAUUCGUUUACAUUGGAUUGAUUGAGGAUUGAGUUUCAAUAUAUUUUUUGAACUGCUUUCUAUGAGAUUAUUAUAAUCUCAUUACCCGAGUCACGAAUUUUAUAUUUUAAUCUAAGUUGAUUCAAGUCGAUCUAAUAUGUUAUUGUUUCAAUAUUAAAAAAUAUAAUGUCAUAUCAUCUUAAAAAAAAUUUAAUUAAACUAUUUUUUCAGUUGUCUAAAUUGUUUUUAACUUGUCAUCAAAUUAAUCUCUCUGCACGUUUGAAUUUUAUUUUUCCUCCUUAAAAACACGUUAACAAUGACAAGAUAUUUCUUUUAACUUUUUUUUUUUUUUUGGAAAUAAUACAACUCAUAACGCGUUUUUGUUUUUCGUUUGGUUUGGUUGCGGCGGACGACAUUGUGGUCUACGAAACCAAGCUUGGAUUUAUCUUUCAAAGAAAUCAUCAUGGAUCUACAUCAUGUCAAAUAAUUAUCCCUGCCGAGGGGCCUCAAAACAAGCAUCAUUCGUUGAUGAUCGGAAUGGUGAAGAAAGCAUAAAUUGGCAGCACCAGGCUGGGCUGCACUCGAUCGAAAGUUUCUCAUUUGCCAUAAUAAUAGGAGAUAACAAGCAAUAAAAGGCAAAAUGAAAUCGGGCAUAGAGCUAAGGUAUCGUCCUUGCUCUGAGAAAUAUUAUUUGCCUUUGAAUGAGUAUUUAUUAAAAAAUAGGAAACAUAGCUUUAUACAAGAGAUUGAUCCAAGUACAAAAUGCAACUAAGCAAACAUACAAUUAAUACAGUAUAUUGGUCAAUGCAUGACCGAAUGAAGUGCCAUAUAUUAUUGUUAUUCUUAACAUUUUUUUUAGGUGUUUUUGAUAUUUUUGAUAUUCUGGUGUUAAAACAAAAUCUAAAAAAAAUUAUUUUAAUAUAUUUUUAAUUAAAAAAUAUUUUUAAAAAACACCAUACACUACAAUAUCAAAUACACAAAAUAAUCUAUCCUUCUUCCUGUUUUUGAGUAAAAUAUUUUACCAAAAGAAGUGUCAUGGUCUAGCCAGGCAUGAACUAAAAAAAGGCAUAAAGGAAAGAGAAAAAAAAAUACAAAGAAUGGCAAAAACCAAGAUUAGCUCUUGGCCAGAGCCUAAAGACAAGAAAAGCUCCCUCAAAAUUAGUAAAAGGGCUAAUAAAUCUUACUAACAAGUGCUUAAUGAGUGGUGUUUGUCUGUCUAAUGUUCGUCACAAGAGCACACAUUAUCGUUCAAAGCACAGCUCCUGGCUCUUUACUCUUUAGUGGAGUAGUUGGUUGAUUAAUGUUGCCACGUCUGAUUCCCAUAAAACCGAGUUUCCUCGUACGUGUCUGUUCAAAGUCCAAUUGAUACUGUGAUGUUAAGUCCGUAAAUACCGACCAGAUACGGGGAAGUAAGAAAUAGAUUUUCUCUAGAAGCUCCGGUCAUGAGUUAAUCUAUGCUGUUGAUAUUCCCACCGAGCUGCUUGUUCAUCGCUUGCUGUUGAAGUUAAUUUUAAACCAGAGAGAAAGAGAGAAAUUAUGUAAAAAAAAAAAACACGUGAUGUGAACAAAAGGCAAUGUUUAAGUUAAAGCUAAAUGAAGUUCUAAAGAAAAGGUGCAAUUUAAUAGCGAAUCCUACUUUAAUGUUGUGUUCUUUCAACUAAUUAACUUUUUGACGACUAAUUUAUAUAAGAUAUAGAAGGAAUAAGGACCUUGAUUCUAACCGUAUUUUAUACUUACGUUGAUAAAUUGGUAAAUGAAUAUAUAGUUUAUUGCAAAAAAAAAACCUUUAUUUUCUAUUUUCUUAUUAUUUUUAAUUUAGAUCGAUCUAAUAUAUUGUCAUCUAAAUAUAUAUAAAAAAUCAUCUUAAAAUUCUUUUAAAAUCAUACAAUGUUUUUUUUCUAGUUAUUUGAGUUAUUUUUUAACUCACUAAAUUGAUCAUGCCACCUUAUACCUUAUAUGCAUGUUAAUUUUAAAUUUUAAUCGAAAUCAAAUCAGGAGAAUUCAAAAUUGAAUCAUUAAAUUAAAGUUAAUACUAAUAUUAAAUAAUUUAUUUCUAAACAGUUUUUUUACGUAAAAAAACUUUAUCUAACCCCACAGUGUAAUGCAAGCUAGGAAAUUAGUAACUUUCUAAGAAAUCAUAUAUUGAAUGAAUGGAAUAUGAUUGAAAUUUUUCUAAAAAUAAUUUGGAGAAGAAUCUUUAAAUAAUAUUAAUAAAAAUAUUUUAAUUAUAGUUGAUAAAUUUGACUUGAAAUUUGUCUAGAAGAAAAAAAGCUAGAUAAACUCAGAUAAAUUAUUUUGUAUCAAAAUAAUAUUGUUGUUGUGUUCAUUUCAAAAAAAAUUUAAAUAUUAAUUUGACUAGAUUUAUCAAUCAACCACAUAAUUAAACAUACAUAAAUCAAUGUUAUUUUUUUAAAAAAAAAAAUUUUGGUGUUGAUUCAACUAGAUUUGGUCAAGUAAAUCUAACCACGUAAUUAAACAAACCUAAAUAUAUGUUAUUUUUAUUCAAAUUAAAAUAUUUCUAACUCAAAGUCAUAAAAUUCUUGAAAGUACUGAUUUUAAUAAGUAUGAUUCUAAUCACAUAUCUAACACUUAUCUAUUAUCGCUAGCUAUUAACAACUCGUUAAAAUGACCAUUUAUGAACAAAGUAACCCAUAUAUUGAUAACCUACCACAGUAACAAGCACAGACAUAAAACAAAUUGCAGCGUCUCCCUCGUCUCCAUCUCCAAGUCCAAAUUCAAAUAUGUAGCUCAACUAAUUUAAAAGAUGUUGAUAAUUUAAUAAAGAAAUAAAUGGGCAAAAAAAUAUACAUGUUAGGGCAGCUGCUCCAAGAAGAGCUUAGUAAGUUUAGCAUUAGAGCUCUUAAGCCAAGAAGAUCAGGAAAAAAAAAUAGUUUAUGGAGGUGGCAGAGAAAGGGAGACACAGAAACAGCUCCCACGUUCUCCUCAUACCUGACUUCUUCUCUUUAAUAAUGCUCUCUCUCUCUCUCUCUCUCUCUCUCUCUCUCUCACACACACACACACACACACACGCUCACACACACACACACGCUCACAUUCACACUUAUAAGUAGAAGCCGUCCCUAUUGACAAAAUGAUGCCUAUUUCUCAAGGGAAUAAAUAUAUACCCGUUCAUCUCUUGUGAACCUCCAUAAAUACUCUUAUCUCCAUACCCUAAUCUCUCUCUCCUCUCUCUCUCUCUCUCGUUACACCACUAUCUUGAUAACAGUUCAAGAGGGCUCAUCAUCUCUCUCUUUUUUUCUGUGAUCAUGGUGAGUGUCACUCCCCCUUCCCUCGCUUGAUCGCCAAUAUCUAUUGCAAAAUUCUGUUUGAGUUUUGAUUUAUGUGUUGAAUUUUUAAGUGUCUCUUUUGCUUAAUUCUGGUUGGUAUUUGUGAUCAUGGUGUUUUUCAGGGAAUUCAAAAGCCUGCAUGGUUGGGAGCUCUUUACACACAAAAGUUUUUUGCAGGGUGCUCUUAUCAUGAAGCUGCAAAGAAGAAUGAAAAGAACGUGUGUUGUUUGGAUUGUUGCAUCAGUAUUUGCCCUCACUGUAUACCAUCCCAUCGCUUCCAUAGGCUUCUUCAAGUUCGUCGUUAUGUUUAUCAUGAUGUUGUCCGAUUGGAAGACCUCGAAAAGCUGAUUGAUUGCUCAAAUGUUCAGGUUAGUGGCUUAAACAAUCUUAAUCUUCUUGCCUCAUAUGUUGCUCUAGCAAGAUUCAGUCUGUAGUUUGCUAAUUAACUUAGCUUUGAUUAUAGGCCUAUACCAUCAAUAGUGCGAAAGUGGUGUUUAUCAAGAAGAGAGCUCAGAACAGGCAAUUCAAAGGGGCCGGAAACUAUUGUACUUCCUGUGAUAGAAGCCUUCAAGAACCUUUUAUCCAUUGCUCUCUUGGCUGCAAGGUACAAAGCAAUUUUCAUGCUAAAUUCCAAGAAGGGUGACUAAAAGUUUUUUCCACAUGCAAUUACGACCCUUUUAGUCAAAAGAGCAUAUCACGAUAAAGUUGCGCUCAAUUAUGAUCAAAUCUCCAUGGACCGCCUUCAAAAAAAGGAAGAAAUUGUUGUAAUCAUUUUGUCUUUUUAUUUCAAUCGUUAUGUCUUGAUAUCAAUUUAUAUGUUAACUAAACUAACUAAGUGCGUAUAUUUAGAAAAAUAAAUUCAUGUGUAAAAAAAGAAAAGAAGCAAACAUCAUUAACGAUCAGACCAUCAAUACAAGUGAAUUUUACUCGAAUCAUGCACAAUUAAGAAAACCAAGAAUUGUGUAUUGAAUUAGCCAGAUUAUUUCUAGGAGGGGUGUCUUAAUUAUGACCAUCAUUCUUAAGAUCGAUCCUAUGAUCAUAUUUAACAGAAAGAUUUCCUUCAAUGUUUUCUGCAGGUGGACUUUGUGCUGAAACAUUACAAGGACCUUUCUCCAUACUUGAGGAGAUGCAACGCAUUAACUCUUGGUCCUGACUUCUUUAUCCCUCAAGAUAUGGCAGAUGAUGAGAUGACCAAUGAGACGCCUCACUCGACAAUUGUGGACUCCGAUGAGCCGAUGAGCUGGUCUUCAAGUUCAUCGGGUUCCGAAAACAUGAGCAUCGCUAGCACUGGGAUUGUACGGAAGAAGAGGAGUGGAUUAUACGUAUGUGCAAGAUCAUUGAGCAAGGUUUCUGAUGAGGACAUGGCUUCAAGCAUGAGUAGAAGAAAAGGCAUCCCUCAUCGAUCUCCUCUAUGUUAGGAAAACAAAUUAAACCAAAAAAACUUUUAUUUCUUACUAUAAUUAUUAAUUAGUUUUACUUGGAUAUUUUGACCGACCUUCAAAUUCAAAGUGUUCUCUCUCACAGUCACAUCAUCUCUCUUCACUCUUCAACUUGAGUUAAUUAAUAACUUGGUCGGGGGGUUUUGUCUUAAUGGCAUCACGUGAUUCCCAAUUCCAAGUUAUGGUUUUGUACAUUUUUCUAUUUUUUCUAUGCUCAUAUUAAUAAUUCAAGCCAUCAAUCCGAGGACUUUAUUGUUCCAAACUUGUACACCUCUGGGAAUUACACAGUACAUUUAUGUAUUUGUUAAUUUCCUAUGCAUUGGUACACACACUUGCUUUUACCGGGUAAUUCAAGAUUCUGUUUACGAGAAUAUCAGGGUUAUGUUUUACAAUGUUUUUUAUUUUAUUUUUAAAUAUAUUAAAAUAAUAUUUUUUGUAUUUUUUAAAAUAUAUUUUUGAUAUUAACACAUCAAAAUAUUUUCAAAACACUAAAAAAUUAAUUUAAAAUAUAAAAAUAUUCAAAAAUAAUAAAAAAACUAUGGUUCAACCACAACACCAAAUAUAUACUAAGAGACCAUUUGGGAACAAGAUGCAAACCACGUUCUCUCAAUUUUUUUUUUGUUUAAAAUUAAUAUUUUUUGAUAUUUUUAAAUUGUUUUGGUGUGCUGAUAUUAACAAUGAUUUUUAAAAAAUAAAAAAAAUAUUAUUUAAUACAUUUCCGAGUAAAAAUAUUUAGAAAAAUAAUCGCAACCACACCUCAUACACGCUCUAAAAAGAAAAGGUAGCUAUAUAUGGAUUUUGCAAGCAAAAAUACUCGAACUCCAACAAAGACAAAUUGGUUUCUUGACAACAAAAGGAGAAGGGUGGGUUUCGAUUAACCAAAUUACCGUAAUUUCUUUAUGGUUGUUGGCAAUUGAGAAUUGUAGACAUUUCUCAUCCUCCUAUACUAUAUAUAUAUAUAUAUAUAUAUAUAUAUAUAUAUAUAUAUAUAUAUAUAUAUAUAUUUUGUAUUUUCAUACUCUUAAUGCAUGGCUAGAGUGCUCAAAACCAUGUUAUGAUGAAAUAUGAAGCUUAGAAGUAUGAAUAUAGUUUACUUGGUCUUAAAGUUAUUCUUGGCAUUUAAAAUGGAAGAAUAAAUCCCAAAUUAGUAAGAUUUAUUGGCAUUAAAAACCAUAAGAUUUUUAGCACCAUCUCAUGAUGAGAAGGGAUUCGUUUGACUAUUAUAUGUCUACAUCUACAGUGUACUGUCUCUUCUCGGAGAGAGUGCUGGGGUUUGAGAUUUAACCACUAUUUUUGACCGGUCAAAUUCUACCCCAAUUGACAAUUUAAAUCAGAUAAAUAAUCACUAUUAAAUUAAGGGGCAAUUUAAAAUUGUGGUGCAAACGGAGUUUUUAAAAAGUUUGAUUUUAAAAAAUAAAUUAUUAUAUUUUUUUAUUUUUUUAAUAUAUUUAUAUCAAAAAUAAUUUAUUAAAAAAAUAUAUUUUUAAACAAAAAAUAAUUAUAUUAACACAUUCUUAAACACAUCUUAAAAUAUAGUUCGUGGGGGAUAAAAAAUUAAUUCAGUGAGAAUUAUAGUUACAUGGAGCCAGCUCAAUCUGACAAUGAUAUCACCUUUUUAGACAAGUGGUGUUAUAGUAAAAAAUAAAUAAAAUUGAAUGCUAUUUUAAUACACUGUGUUCUAUAAAAAUAUAUAUAUUUUUAAAAUAUAUUAAAAUAAUGUUUUUUAUAUUAAAAUAUCAAAACCAUAAAAAACAAUAAAAAAAAUCAAUUUGAUAUUUUUUUCAAGCCUUAUAUAUAUUUAAAAUGCAUUCAAACACAGUUUCAAAUCUAAAAAUAAAUUUCCCAUGAACAAUGAUAAUUUAUAUAUCAAAGUUGAAAAUUUUAGGAUAUUUACACUCACUAUCAAAUUUAAUUGUAUAUUGUCUUAACAAAUUUGGAAUAAUAAGAAGUCUCAAAUCAAAGCAUCGGGAUACCAUGGAGCAAGUUAAUUCACUGUUGGUGCUUUGUAAAAUUUUGUGAGAUGGAUUAUCCCAAUGACGGCACCACAAGCAGUUACUCAGGUGAGGAUUCUAGAGGAGGUUUUCUUGGUAACUAAGUAGGCCAAUAAUUUGUGGUGGCCUACAGUCGAAAUUGGGCCGAGAAAUGCUGGGCCCACCAUUUGGGUAUUUACUGGGCUCUAGAGCACGGGCUUUUGUUGCCGAAAACAUGUAAAUUAAGCUAAAAAGGGAAGUGCUAUUCGGCGUAUUCGCUAUUCGCACGAGAUGGCAUGGGGUAGUUCAUGAAAUAAAAUAUUUCGUGUAGGUGGCCCAAUUUAUAUUUCAGGCUAGCCCAGUAACAUGACUUCUAAAACUAAGCCCACAAAACAAUCAUCAUUAAAAAUAAAAAUAAAAAUAAAAACUGAUAGAAUUAGAGGAGGGAAGAAUAUAGUAGAUAAAGGAAAAACUGAAUUUAGAUCUUUCUUAGUUGAAAUGUCUUGACAAUGUCUAAGCCCACUCAACAAUGGCAAAUAAAUAAAAUUUCUAAAAUCUUUUACUAUAAAAUUAUUUUUAUAUUUGUUAAUGUAGUAUACGUUGCUUUUCAAUUAAAAUGUAUUAACAUAAUUUUCUUAUAUUUUAUUCUUUUUAUCAAUGGAUCAAAAUUAUCAAAAAAUACAUAAUUAAAAACAUCAAUUAAUGUUUUUUUCAAAUAAAAAAUAAUUUAAAAAUCACUUUGAGAAACAAAUAGCAUCUAAUAAAAUAUUUAUCACCAUUAAAAUUACAAAUGAAAAAUUUAACCUUUUAAGAUUAAUUAUUAGGUGUUUGAGAUUAUUUGGCUUUGCUAAAAAAAUAUGAGCAAAAUACGAGUUAUUUUGUAUAAAGACAAAUACGAGUUUAAUUGGGAAUUUGGAUAAGGGCAAGAUCCAGAAAAUUACAAAGAAAAAACAUGUCAUUAACCCUUGUACAUAGAGAUUGUUCUAAGUGUAGUUUAAGCAAGUGGAUGCCUCAGCCUUUUCUUUUUAAUCCCUAAUGUUCAAUGUUCAUCUUCAAACCAUGGCUUAGACAUUUGGGUUAGCCUUUAUUUGUUAUCCUUAUAACUAGAUUUUUUUUGGUUCAUCAGAAAUUCUCCUGGCUUAAGUGUUGUAUUUACAAGGAUUUGUUUCUUCACUGGUGAAGGUAUAAAAAUUUGUUCGUUAUUAGUUUUAAUGAUUAAGAGGUAUUUGAGAUAAUAAUAAAUAUUGUUUUUUUAUUUUUAUUUAUUUGAAAAUGUAUUAAAAUAACAUAUUUUUUUAUUUUUAAAAAAUAUAUUUUUGACAUUAACACAUCAAAACGAUUAAAAAACGCUAAAAGAAAUUAAUUUAAAAUAAAAGGAAAUUCAAUUUUUAAAGAAAAGUUGUCCAGCAACGGAAAUUUUGAGCGAAAUUGAAUUUUUUUAGAAAUCCAAUACUACUUGAGAAACCCAAGUCAGUAAGUUUACAGCCUCGAUUCAAUGCCUUUGAGGUGGAUAAUGAUAGAGCUGAAGCUUUUGGAAGAGAACUGCUUAAUUAUAUUAUUAAUAGACGACAUUUAUAUAGAUACAAACCUAACAGAGUUCUCUACGUUGCAGGAAGACUAAUCCUUUAGAAAUACAAGUUGUUGCAGUAAUGGAGUCCUAAUGAAUAACAAACUGUAAGAGCAGUAAUGAAGUCCUAAUGAAUAACAAACUGUAAGAGCUAUACAUUGAUUUAUCAUGCCCCCUCAAGAUGGACCACGAUCGGAGAGGCCAAUCUUGUCACGAAACAAAUGAAAUGUAGACGUAGACAGGGGUUUGGUCAGAAGGUCCGCAAGUUGAUCAGCAGAUGAAACGUGAGUUACACGUAACUGACCAGAUUGAACUUGAUCGCGAAUGAAAUGGUAGUCGACUGCAACAUGUUUCAUGCGAGAAUGAAAAAUAGGAUUGGAACUUAAUUGAGUUGCUCCUAUGUUAUCACAGUAUAUCACAGGUGAGGAAGACAGAGCAACACCAAGUUCAUGAAGUAGAGAUUGUACCCAACAGAGUUCAGCAGCAGUGGCAGCAACGGAGCGAUACUCAGCCUCUGUUGAAGACCUGGCAAUGGUCUUUUGUUUCUUUGAACUCCAAGAAAUUAAAUUACUUCCAAGAUAAACUAGAUAAGCACUAGUGGAUGAAUAAUCAUCUUUAUUGCCAGCCCAAUCGGCAUCUGAAAAGGCAUGAAGUUGAUCAGCGAAGUCAUGAAGAUUGGAGGGCGAGUCACGGUGCAGAAGAAGGCCUUUGUUUAGUGUACCAACAAGGUAUCGCAGAAUUCGUUUAACAAGUAUCCAGUGAUCAUCGGUUGGGCUGUGCAUGAAUUGAGACAGUUUGUUCACAGCAAAGGACACAUCUGGUCUUGUAAGUGAAAGAUACUGAAGGCUCCCUACCACUUCACGAUAAAUUGUGGGAUUCUGUAGCGGUGAACCAGACAACAAUGAAAUAGCAGAGGCAGAGCUUGGAAUCGGAGUGAGCACUGGUUUUGCGUCCAACAUGUUGAGACGAGUUAGCAGGUCAGUAAUGUACUUGCGUUGAGAGAGUAGAAUACCAUGUUUGUGAGGAAGAACUUCAACACCCAAGAAGUAGGACAAAUUGCCAAGAUCUUUAAGAGAAAAACGUUUGGCAAGACUGGAAACAAAAACUGAUAGAAUGUUGUCACUGCUGCCUGUGACAAUAAUGUCAUCCACGUAAACCAGCAAAAACAGAACAUGUUGAGCACUGUGAAAUGUGAACAGAGAAGGAUCAGAGUAGGAAUUGCAGAAACCAGAAGCCAACAGAAAUGUGCGCAAUUCAUGAUACCAAGCCCGGGGCGCCUGUUUGAGUCCAUAAAUGGCCUUGUGAAGUUUGCAGACAAAUGACGGUUUGUCACGAUCAACAAAUCCAGGAGGUUGCACCAUGUAAACGGUUUCAGAGAGAUGACCUUGAAGGAAAGCAUUGUUGAUAUCCAGCUGUUUAAGUGACCAUCCGCGACUGACAGCAAGACUGAGUACCAAGCGGACAGUGGUUGGCUUCACAACGGGGCUGAAAGUCUCAUGAUAGUCUACACCGGGACGCUGGUGGAACCCUUUUGCAACAAGUCGUGCUUUAAAUCUGUUUAUGGAUCCAUCAGAAAGUCUUUUAAUGCGGUAAACCCACCUGCAACCAACAACGUUAGUGAUACCAUCAGGAGGAACAAGUUCCCAUGUGCCAUUGCAGACUAAAGCAUCAUAUUCCUCAGACAUGGCAGCUCGCCAGUUUGGAUCUUUAAGUGCCUGAGAGAGGAUGGAAGGUUCUGUUGGAGAGAUGACCGGUUUAGUAGUGUGAAGACUGAGUUUCUGGAUUGGUUUGUGGAUAUUAUUCCGGGACCGAGUGAUCAUGGGGUGUAGGGAAUGUUGUGGUGGUGGUGGAACAGGUAGAGAUGGAUCUUGAAGUGAAGGAUUAUGGUGAGAGGAUGAAGCAGUUACCUGUGAAGUAGAUAUGAUGGAAGGGAUUGCUCCAGCAUGUGUGGAAGGACUUGAUGAAGGGACCAUAGGAGGAGAUGCAUCUGCAUGGCAUUGUGAGGAAGGAGCAGAAGGAGCCAGUUGCUGUGGGGUUUGAGAUGAGACAGAAAUAGGUGAAGGCAUCCAGUCGGAAACGGGGGAAGGAAGAUUUGAAGGUGCAGUAGGAUAAGAUUUAUAAGGAAAAACUGACUCAACAAAUUGUACAUGCCGUGAAAUAUGUAGUUUGUUAUUGGAUUUGUCAAGGCAUAGAUAUGCACUUUGAGAAAGGGAGUAUCCAAGAAAAACACAGGGUUGAGAUUUCGACUCAAGUUUAUGAGAUGCAUAUGGACCUAACCAAGGAUAACAUAAACAACCAAACACUUUAAGUUUAGAAAAAUUGGGACUCUUGUGAAAAAUUGACUCGUAUGGUGAAGACAUGUUUAAUGUGGGAGUAGGCAUCCUGUUAAUUAGGUAAACGGCAGUGGUGAAGGCAUAAGUCCAAAAAGUAGUAGGGAUUGAGGCAUGAGAAAGAAGGGCAAGUCCAGUUUCGACAAUGUGAAGAUGUCGCCGUUCAGAAUAACCAUUAUGUUCAGGUGUAUGUGGUGGGGACGUGAGAUGACUAAUUCCAUGUUCGGAAAGAAAUGGUUUGAGAGCAAUGUAUUCACCACCAUUAUCAGAAUAAAGAGAAAUAAUGGUUUGUUGAAAAUAUUUUUCAACAAUUGCUUUGUAGCGUCGAAACACUAUUUGGACAUCAGAUUUGCGUUUUAAUGGAUAAAACCAAAUGUAUUUUGUAAAAUGAUCAACAAAAAUAACAUAGUAUUUAUAACCAUCGUGUGAAAUAAUAGGAGAAGUCCAAACAUCUGAAAAUACAACUUGAAGAGGACGCGUAGUGUGCAAAGUAGACACAGAAAAUGGUUGUUUAUGACUUUUAUUACUUAAGCAAGCAUCGCAACAAAAAUUCUUUUGAGAAGAAAAAUUUAAAUGAUAGAAGGACAUGAUAUGUUUAAGAAUUGUGGAGGCUGGAUGACCAAGGCGCUGGUGCCAAAUGGACAUUGUUGUUUUGACAGCAGAGAAGGCUAGAAUGGGAGGAGUAGAAGAGGUCGCAACUGGCCAUUCAUAAAUACCAUUCUUAGUGCCGCCCUGCAGAAGAAUGUCCCCCGUUUGUAGGUCCUUCACAUGAAAACAAUGAGGAAAAAGUUCAAUCGACACAUUGUUGGUGAUACAGAAUAAUGCAAUAGAUAUUAAAUUUUUUUGCAUUUUUGGAACACACAAAACAUCUUGUAAGUGGAAAGAAGAGUUAGAUGUGGGAAGGGAUACUGAACCAGUGUGACUUAUGGGAAGGUUGGUACCAUCGCCUAGUAUAACAUCAUCAUGACCAGUAUAUGGUGUAUGGAGGGAAAGAUUAUUGAGGUCGGCAGUAACAUGAUGGGAAGCACCACUAUCCAGUAACCAUGACGCAGCGGUGGAUGGUGAUGAAGAAGAAAAAUUGGCUUGAGGAUUCCAGGAGGAUGGCAUACCAUUGGAGGAGCUGGCAGAGUUAGAACCAUGAACAGGAACUAAUUGAAAAGAAGGACAACGUUUAGCGGUGUGUCCUUGAGUGCCACACAUCUGGCAGUAAUAGGACCAAGACGAGAGGAUUGUGACCGUGUUUGAAGUGAUGCUUCAAACAAGAGAAGUUUCUCAUGGAGUUCAUCAAAGGAGAUAGCAGCUUCGCGAGCUUGGACAGCCCGAACAAGUUCUGUGUAAUCUUCAUCUAAACCAUCAAGGAUCUGUUCAGUAAGAUCAUCAGUAUCCAUAGGAGCACCAAGAACAGUAAGUUCGUCAGAUUUUGCUUUAAUGAAGUGGACAAAAUCUGUGAUACUCAUAGAACCUUUUGUGAGAUUCUUUAACUGGUUUUUCACCUGGCGAAUACGUCCACGUGAUGGUUUAGCAUAUGUUGUGGCAAGAACAUGCCAAGCAUCAUAAGAAGAAGUGGUGCGGGCUACAAAGGAAAUAAGCGAAGGAGAAAGACUGCCAACAAUGGCAUUCAAGAGAAGUUGAUCUUGCCUUACCCAGAGACUAUAGGCAGGAUUAGGGACAGUGAUAUUAUCUGUUACAAGGGUUGGUGAGGGACACGGCUUGGAGCCAUCGAUGUAACCAAGAAGAUCGUAGCCAAUAAAUAGUGUUUCAAAUUGAAUUUUCCAAGAAGCAUAGUUGGAAGAGGUGAGUUUGAGAAGGGCUUGAGCAGCUGUGUUUAUGGUGAUAAGAUGGUUUUCUGUGUUUGAAGGAAUGGAAGUUGACAUGGUGAUGGGAAGAGGGAAGAAACAGAAUUGAAGAGGAAUGGAGAGAAAAAAGAGAAAAAAAAUAAAGGAUCAGAGACGCUCUGAUACCAUGAUAGAGCUGAAGCUUUUGGAAGAGAACUGCUUAAUUAUAUUAUUAAUAGACGACAUUUAUAUAGAUACAAACCUAACAGAGUUCUCUACGUUGCAGGAAGACUAAUCCUUUAGAAAUACAAGUUGUUGCAGUAAUGGAGUCCUAAUGAAUAACAAACUGUAAGAGCAGUAAUGAAGUCCUAAUGAAUAACAAAUUGUAAGAGCUAUACAUUGAUUUAUCAGAUAAAUCUUGAUCCCCGAUGAGAUUAGCCUUGGUAUAAACAUGCAUGAUAUGCACAAUGGGAGUUUCUUUCUUUCCUUUUCCCUUAAGGAUCCUCAAAGUACAUUCUUGUUAUAUAAGAAAGAAAAAGAAGCAAAAAAUGUUUUCGUGCCGGCACAUCGCAUCAAGCAUAAAGGCAGCAGCACAGUUCUGCCGCCUUAUAUUAUUCCCAAAGGGGCCAGCCUUGCCGAUCGAUAUGUUUCUGAAACUACCUAGCAAGGGCACCACUAUCUAUUCAACUUUUCUAUUAAUUGAUGAAAGUGUACGUAUAUAUAUCAUAAACACUUGAUUUCUUCAACACAGCUCUUGAUGGACCUGCCAUGCCAGGCCAUGAGAAACAUGAUUAAAAGAUCGGUAGAAGAAAUGUGCCCAUCACUUGGAAAUUAGAUUGGAAAGUUGAUUUGAUGAAGCAUCAGCAAGUGGCAAAUGCUAGCUUUAUGUCUACGUAAACAUCUACUACAUAACUAACCAUUCUCAUUACCUACCAUAUAAUUAAGCUGCAAGUUUUCUACUUUCUUUAUGAGUUGUGUGUACGCUUAACAGAUUAGUCCCCUCUUUCUUCAAGUGAGGAUCACUCCACCGUUCGGCGUCUAGCAAAUAAUUUCAUAUGUUUGUACAUGAUAGGAGACAUGCCUUGCAUGUCUGUGUGUCUGUGUCUUCACUAAUUGAUAAUCUUUUUAUUGAUAUAAAUUAUUAACUUUAGACCUAAUUAAGGUUAAGACUUGAUUGGAUUGUACGUAAUUUGAUAUAGAAAAUGCUGUUGUUGAAUAUUAUGAAGGAAAUCCUUUCUCUUGGUUUUGAAAUGCAAUUCUUUUCCUUUUCAUUUUCCACAUCUAUAUAUACAGAAGGUUUCUAUGACUGCAAGACUACAAAAACGCAGGUCUCUGUGUAUAUAUACGAGUAUCAGGUGUCUGUAUAUAUUCUCUGUACGUAUAUCAUACGAGUAUUAAUAUGAUCAAAAGACUUGCUUCAGACUUUUGCUUGCAGCAGUACUAGCUUAGAUAUUAGAACUUGUUCAUCGUCAAAACAAGCCAACAUGAAGCUUAAUUAAGGUGUACGUAAAUUUGCUUCAAAAUCAAGCGGACUUAAUUUACAGUUUUUAAAAUAAAUCAAUGCUUCAUUUAUGUCUUCUUUUAAAUGAAGUACUCAUGUUUUUCAUGAGAACAAUUAUUUCUUAUUUACUUUGUACCAAUAUAACGCUCCAAAAAUUAUUGCUGUUCUGCUUUUAUUACAAAUUAAGUCUUAGAUUUAAACCGUAAAAGAUCCGUUGUACACUUAGAAAAUAAAGGAAGAAAAUCAUCCUUUUCGUAUUAUUAUAUUUUUCAAUCCGUCUAAUUAAUUUAAUUAACAGGAUUAAUUAUGACCCUAGAGAAAAUGAAAAUUUGAGUUGGAUCUUAAUCAUUUGCUAACGUAUCUGAAAAAGUAAUCAUAAAUUAGCAAGCAAACAGUCAUAAUUAUACGUUUAACCUUGCUCUCUCUGUUAUUUGCCCGUUCCAUAUUGAUUUUUCUUACUGUCCAAUUCAUUGUCUUUGCUCUCUGUUUUUUUUACAAGGAUAUAAUUCUCAUUUACAUAAAAAAGAUAAGAAUUUUUACAUUAUGAUCACUUGAAAUUAAUCCAAGGAAAAACUUCUUAUAAAUAAAAACCUGAGGACACCUAAUAACAUACAAAAUAAAAAAAAUACAAAAUCAUAUCUGAAAUUGAAAAUUAAAUUACAAGAGAAAAGAAGAACAAAUUAAUUAUUAACCUCGGGAAUUUAUUUAUCAUAUCAGGUGUUUUUAAUUUAGUGAGGUGACAGAAAAUAUUCCACAAAUCAUUUUGCUCAAAUAUUGAUACACAAAUUAGUCAGCAUCAUGGUGUUGUUAGGUUAAACUACUAGGUUGAAUACUUUAAACAAGAGAUCGAAGAGAGUUCCAUUUUUUCUAUCAAAAGAAAGCGGUCCAAAACAAUUUUCCACUCAUGAACAACUCUUGACCUCUCUCCUCCUCUCCUAAGUAACGUUGGUAGGUCAAGAAAACGAUCAAAUUCAAGAAAACAAACCCUAUUAAGAAUCACAAGCUCCAAACCCUAAAAUAGUAAGAUUCAACAUCAAAACAUAAAUUAAUAAACCCGUAAAUAAAGACCUUUCUGAAGAAAAUGGGGGAAAGGUGGUGGGUAGGCACGUUUGUUAUUUGUAAUCAGUGAGAUUGACAACUGGGGUCACAAUGUGACAAGCAUUGACAAGCAUUCGCAUAGGAUUUGAAGCACACCCUGCCACGUUCUCUUUUGUUAACAUCAAAUAUAUAUAUAUAUAUAUAUAUAUAUGGUUUGUCAGUUUGUAUGGUGGGCUUAUGCCCUUUUUUUUAUUUUUAUAUGGGUAAAAGUAUAGUUUCCUACUAUAGAUUAAGAAAUUUUUCAUUUUGAUCUCUAUAAUUUGAGUUUUUCCUUCUUUUUUUCAAUUACGGCUUCUUUAUUUUAUUUUGUUUGAUUUCUUGCUGAAAUCUCCACAAAACUGGCAGUUUCAAAAAGGAUAAAGCUUUUGUCCAAUAAAUUCUCAAAUGUAUAUCGACAAUAACACUACUGUCAAGUGGGUUUGUUUAUUAAUAAUACAAUGAACUGAUGAAAAAAAAUUACACUGUGAAAAGACAGAGUGCACCUUCAUUUUUUAUAGAUUAAUGUUGGUGUUCGGGUUAGUUUAUGUAUAUCUUAAUUGAUCCUGCGAGUUCUAAAACUAACAAGGCAUGAAAUUAACCGGACAAGAAAUUUUUGCCCUAAAAUGUUUUUUAAAUUAAAAUAUAAUUAUAUAUAAGAUCUAGUUUUAAAAACAAAAAAGAAGCAAUUUUUAUAAAUUUAUUAAAAAUUCAAAAAACAAUCCUAACAACUUCAAGAAAAAAAAAGGCAUGAAAACUUCCUCAUAACAAAAACGUUGUAACCCAAAAAAAUAAAAAAGAGAAAUAAUAAUAAUAAUAAAGAAAGCAACACCAUCACAGCAAAGGGGUAUUCUUGUCCAUAUAAUAAUUACGGACAAAUAAACGUAUAGAGAAGAACUUAAAACUUUUUUACAAAUUCAUAAAUGUGUUUUUCUUAACCGUUAAGACUUAAUAUCUCACAAAUACCCAUAUAAAUCACCUGUAUUUAGUAUUUACACACUGGCUCGACACUGCUCUGUCUUUGUCUCUCGUAGAGACGAACAUAAAAACCAGGCAGAGCCGACGGCAACGCCUAGAAACAGAGAGAGAAACUGAAACACAAACGAAAACAUAACAUGUCCUGUAAUAACAGAUCAAACCCACCAUUGUUUUUUCUCCUAAGCUUUCUUUUCUUUUUCUUUAUCUUUACUUCUUCAACAGCAACUCCCAGUUCUUUAACUUCCCAGUUUGAAUCUUUUUCCGUUCCUGGUAGUUCAUUUAUUAAUUAAAGAUUUUUUUUUUGUCUAAAAAUUAUGAUUUUUGUGAAAAAUAUGAAAUCUUUAUGUGCUUUUUUUUUUUUAUAACAAGAGUAAUUUGUUUUUUUUUUUUGUCAAUGUAGAUGUUGUGGUUGGUGGGAGAGAGAAUGAUGGUGUGGUGGUUUCAUGGGAGAUAAGGAGGCAUCUUGCAGAGGAAGAGAACACAGCAUCUUCUUUGAUAUUGGCUGCAAAGAAAACAAGAAGAAGAGACCCUUUAGAGAACUUUAAAUUCUACACUUCUGGUUACAAUAUCAGCAAUAAACAUUAUUGGGCUGUGAGUUCUUUCUUUAUUACCUUUUUCUGGUUUAUUUGACCAUAUUAAUACAUUUUCUUGUACUGAUUGUCACUUCAAUGAUGCAGUCUGUUGGUUUUACUGCGGUUCCAUUCUUUAUCUUAGCUUUGGUUUGGUUUGUGAUAUUUGGACUCUGUUUGUCCUUUAUCUGCCUCUGCUAUUGCUGUUGUCCAACAGAGCCUUAUGGCUACUCUAGAGCAUGCUAUGCCCUGUCUCUCAUUUACCUCAUCCUCUUUACCAUUGCUGCAAUGUAAUGACCCCUCUUUCUCGCUUUGGCUAUGUGUUUUGAUUAAUAAUUUUAUGACACCCUCAAUGUUCCUCUGCGAUUACAGUGCUGGAUGUGUUGUUCUGUAUACUGGUCAAGGGAAGUUUCACAGUAUUACAACACACACAUUGGAGUAUGUAGUCAAUCAAGCAAAUGUUACUGCCAAAAACCUCAGGCAUGUGUCAGAUUAUCUUGCUGCGGCUAAGAAUACUGGUGUAGAGUCAGUUUUUCUGCCACCCAGCGUCCAAAAUGACAUUGAUAGCAUUCAAAAAAAGAUCAACUCCUCUGGUACUACUCUUUCCAGCACUACACAGGAUAAUUCAGAAGGCAUACAAAAUGUUUUGGAUAGCAUGUGAGUAAAAGCUCUUAAAACUUCUUCUGGUGCUUGAUUGGUUUUGGAAUUUUUCAUAAUUGCUCUUAUUUUUUUGUUGUGCAUUGCAGGAGACUGGCCCUCAUUAUCCUUGCUGCUGUAAUGCUUGCUGUGGCAUUUCUUGGAUUCUGUAAGUGUUAUUUUCUUGCAUUAGAGGUGCAAAUUUAUAAAUUGUUUGAUUUAUUAUAGCUAAAUUAUUUGCUUAUAUUAUUUAUAUGAUGACAUUGGUUGCAGUAUUCUCCAUUUUUGGGAUGCAGUGCCUUGUUUACUUGUGAGUGACCUGAUUUUUGAGCCGUUAUCUGUUAACUAUUUUGAACUUGAAAACAAGUACAUGUUAUGGUUAUGAUUUGGCCAAUUUUACUGUUUAAAUUCUGUAGUCUGGUGAUCCUUGGCUGGGUUCUUGUUACGGGCACAUUUAUUUUGUGCGGUGUAUUCCUUCUCCUUCACAAGUAAGUUCUUCCUCCUGUUCUUUUUUUAUUUUUAACUUUUCUGAUAUAGGGUCAUAAAAUGCAUAAAGGAUUUUAUGCUUGAUGUUUAUUUUUUUAAAAAAAAAGGUGUGUUGAAUUAAAUUUAUGUUUUGGAUGCUUUGUGCACACAUUCUGGUGUAUAGAUGCAUGCAUAUACACAUGCAAGCACACACUUGUGGUUGUGUUGUUUCAUUGUGGCAUAUAGAGCUUUCAUGGUCUUAAUUGUUGAUGUCCAUACACACUCGCAAACACUGUUUUAGUUGUGUUGUUGCAUAACUCUGGCGUUUAGAGCUUCGUGAUCUUAAUUGUAGAUAUUCAUAGCAAACACACUUUUCUAGCUAUAAUUCUGAUGGUUGUCUUUUAAAUGUGUUUCUGAGGCAUUAUGAACCCAUUGGUUGUGGACUAGAAGUUUUAGCAUUGCUGAUGUUAAUAAAUGGGUCUUUUAUAUCUUGAUCUUGGGAUCGUCGAACCUCAUUUUCUGUCGUGUCACUCGUUGAGCUUACAGAUAGGUAAAAUGAUUCCAUAUAAUGUCAUUUCCUGGCAGAGUCAGAUUGAGAAUAUGUCUAAAAUGAUGCACUCUUCUUUUUCUACAUGUACAUGGGUCUUUUAGGAUUAUUUUUCCGCAAGAAUAAGUUUCCAUUAAAAUUGGUACUUGGAGUGGAAGAUGAUAAAUAACCUACAGCCACUCAUAUAAAGAGAGAGGAAGAAAGGAUUUGAAUAAGUAGUAGAUAUCAAUAAUUAAAAGCGCCAACAAAACUUUCAAGAGUUCUCUCACUUUGUUUUGACAACUCCUGGGCUGCAUCUUUUGCAGAGGGCUGAAGACUGAAUGAAAGUGGCUGGUGAGAACAUAAGAGAGAAUUUGAUUCUCACCUCCUCAAAAGAUUUGUUGCAAAUAAUUCUAGGAAAAGAUGAAUGUACCUAUUCAGUGCGCAAUAUUCUAGGAAAAUCAAUAAUUGGAUUUCUCAGGCUGAAAAGCACAGAAACCACAAAGUAGGCCAUUUUCAGGAGAAGCUGUUCAAUAUUGGCCAAGCAAAACUACUUUGAGUUCGCAUGAAAUCUUGAAAACGCACAAGGAUUCAGCUUCGAUAGGUUACAAAGUGACAGGCUAACUUCUUAUAUCCCGGGCACUUCUCUAGAUUCUGUUAUUUAAGGUUUUAACCAAUAGAUCUUGAGCUAUCAGCUCCUUGUCUGAACAUUGGCUAAUCACUCUUCUUCCUCUUAGUUCAUGAUUGUAUGGAGUUCAUCUGUACAUAGUAGUCGGUCAAUCUCUCUGAAUAUUUGGGCUGAUCAAGAAAUAUUCCUGAAAACCAUAUGAUUAAGAAAUUUUCAAUCCGGCUUUUUACAAGGAAAAAAUGCCCUGUAAGCUAUGGAAUCAGAAGGCUUUGUUUUCUAGUGAAUUUAAAAUCUGUACGCGGAUAGGAAAUUUAUUUCCAACUCCAUAAGAAACAAGCACACCUUAGGUUUGUAAAAGUAAUUUCUGUUAAGAUCAGGUCUAAUGAGGCUGCCUCUUGGCACUUGAAUAACUUUACGCCUCCAAAGUACCACGGUAUCCUGUUAAUUGAUCUACGUAGUUGGUUGAAGCUAGUGUCAUAUAAGAUCACUAUUUUAAAUGGUAACAUUAUGAUUCGAAGCUGUCUUUAAAACCAAAACUAUCAUUUUUCUUAAGCACGUUGACACUCUUGCACACAUGCAUGUAAAGAGAUACAUUUGCAUUGUGUUAUGGGAAACUUUCAUCUCUUGCACUUUAAAGUAUUGGACUUGGAAAAUGUUUGAAAAUGACUAUUCUUAUGAUAGUACCACAGGGCUUCUAUGUCAGAAUCAGUGUUUCUGUGCUUCUUUUCUGAGUGCGUCCCUAAAUGUGUUUGUUUGUUUGUUUGUUUAUCUGCUAGCGUGGUUGCCGACACUUGUAUUUCUAUGGAUGAGUGGGUUCAGAACCCCACUGCCAAAACAGCAUUGGAUGAUAUAAUCCCAUGUGUGGACAACGCAACUGCUCAAGAAACCUUGAGGCAGACCAAGGAGACAACCUAUCAACUUGUCAAUGUUGUUGACUAUGUAGUUAGCAAUGUCUCCAACCGAAAUUUUCCACCCCAAGCUGGAGAUCUAUAUUACAAUCAAUCCGGCCCACUGAUGCCUGUUCUUUGCAACCCAUUCAAUUCUGAUUUUACAGAUCGUAAAUGUGCUGCUGGUGAAGUGGACUUGAGCAAUGCUACCCAGGUAAUAUAUGUGAACAUGAAAAGUGUAAAUAGAAGGGCUGAAAGGCAUUUUAUUUUAUAUACUGGAUUUGCUGAAGAUUAAGCUACCAAUAAUCCAUCUCACUAGCAGAUGCCAUAUUAGAUUCAGUUGCUAGUUAUAAUCAUUGCCCGGAAUGUAUGUUUGUCAACAUCAUCGUUUUAGACGAUGUUUAAAUUUCCCAGUCGUGCAAAAUCCAAAAUCUUACUUGGCCUUCUCUGUUUAACUUGUGGUGCCAGAUUUUUAAAGUGAGAUUUUGGGGGCAAUUUUCUUGUUUCAGUAUAUUUAUGUGCUUUUCAAUUUUGAUUAAGAUUAUAAAAUCAGUUCACGACCUCCUCCUUAGUCAGCUUCUGCUUACCAAUUUUACCUGAUUUGUAAUGUAUUUAGAGUAUGAUUCAGAAAGGCUUACUGCUUUUGUUUUCUGUAUCGAGCAGGUGUGGAAGAAUUAUAUCUGUCAGGUUUCAUCAUCUGAGAUUUGUAUUACACCCGGUCGGCUUACACCCAGCUUGUACAACCAGAUGGAAUCUGCAGUAAACCUAAGUUAUGGGUUGAAUCGUUAUGGUCCGUUCUUGGUUAACCUGGAAGACUGCACUUUUGUGCGAGAAACAUUCACCAAGAUCAGCCAUUCUUAUUGUCCUGAUUUGCGGCGAUACUCACAAUGGAUAUACAUUGGGCUAGUAAUUGUAUCUGCGGCAGUAAUGCUGUCACUGAUCUUCUGGGUAAUUUACGCAAGAGAGAGAAGGCAUCGUGUAUAUACCAAGCAGUUCAUGUCCUCAUUGGAAGGCCCUGGCAAGGCAUCGUGAAGAUGCCCUAAUCUAGUUACAAGGUUGCUAAUUAUUUCUAGUCCAUAUCCUGGAUCGCUUGCUAUGCGGAUAUUCUUGUGCAUUAUGCUAAGCAUCCUUAGGCUGGAGUAUCGUUAGUGCGUUACUAAGUACAGAUCCUUUUCUCAUGACUUGUAGUUUCCUGCCUUUUUUAUUUUCGCUUGUUCUAAUGGAAUCUCUCUUGUGGAGACUGUUUUUUUGCGUAGUGUCCUGUUUUAACUUAAUACAGACCGAGCAAGCAGAUGUAAAGAUAAGUUACUUUUGCCUGAGCUGGCAAGUCCUUCAGCCUUUUCAAGUCGUGAGGCCCAAGCCAUCAUUUCUUGCACAACUGGAAUAUUGAAAGUCUUGGGGUCAUGUCUUUAAAUAGCUGCAAGAUACAGGAAAACCAUGCCAUCAUUUCUUGCACAACUGGAACUCAUUUCCUUGACAAGAUAAGAAGAAGACACCAUGGGAAGGAUCACUGACCUCUGUGCAUUCUAUCUAUAUCUCAAAGCCGUUCAAUCAAUGAUCCCCAGCUCGAAUUCAUUUCCUUGACAAAAAAUCAGUAGAAGCUAAGAUCGAAAAAAUCAGGACAUAACUUAACACCACUACUAUAUUGCCCUAUGGACUAACGAAUCAACAUCAAUGAAAGCUUUUGAUCUAUCCCCUUGCUGGUACUACCACCCCCACACACAAGCACACUUGAAAGACUUUGAGUGAAAGUAAAAAAGUGGGGUCCUUAAGCCAUGCCCAUCAUCAUCGUAAAUAACAAAUUAUAGAGACUCGUGAACAAGUUUUUUCGUGACGCUUUGUUACGUGUCUGAAUUCUGUGAUGCUUGUUAAAUAAGGACGGUAGGUGUGGUAGCAACUGGCUAGGCAGGUCCCUGCUGGGAUUAAUCGACAUGGCUGGAUUGCCUCGCUCUUGUUGCUGUGGCACAUUGCCGACAUCGAUUUGCUCUGUGUGUGAACCCACACGACCGACGUAAAGCAUGCAUAGUCAAGUUUAAAAGUUAAAACCAAUUCUUGUCUGGCCAAAUUUGCUGCUGCUGCUCCGUGUGAACUGGUUUAAAGGUAUGAAGGCCUAAAGCUGGCUUAUGGCUUGGGGCUUCAUAUCGUUAUGGUGCCAAAUGCAAGAUAGUACUGAUUGCAAAAAGCAUGUAUCAAAAUUGAAAUCUCAGUUGACAAGGCAAUUUAAUUCGCUAGAGAUUCCUUGCUUCCCAGACAAGUCUAAUUCGUAUUCAAUGGUUUGGACGGCAAGACCAAUCUUGUACCCUAAACCUUCAUAAUUGCAGCAAAACAAUCAAAAGGACAAGAGGAGUGGUUGUUUUGGCUUUUGAAGCGACAAUAACAGCGCCUGAGACUUGAAUUUGAAGUUUGUUCCCUCUCCAGAAGAAGAGUGAUUUUUUUCAAUUAUAUUUAAUAUGUAUUUGGUAUUUUGACGUAGUGUAUUUUUAAAUUGAAAAUAAAUUUUUUUUUAUGGCCUGGAAAGCUUAGGAUGGAAUAGGAUCCGGUCAGGUGAACCAAGCGUUUUAGUAUCAAAAUAUACAUUUUUAGGAUUUCUUUUUUAUUUCUUACACUAAAUAUAUUAAGACUAUUCAAAAACUCCUAAAAUAGCAUUAAUUUAAUAUUUAUUCAGAAAAAAAAAUACUUUGUAAAGUAGAUUGCAACUCAAAACAAACACAUCCUUGUAAAAAUAGUAGAAUGAAAGAAAGUUUUAACCUCAAUUCUUCACCGCUUAUAUUCAUAUUUAAAUUUUAUUAUUUUUUGUGCAUUUAAAGAAAUUUACCAGUUAUAUGUUGGAAUCUAUAUUUAAAAUAAAAGAUAAAGCAUUAUUAUUAUAAUAUAGUUAUAUCAUAAUUAAUUGUUGUGAAAGAUGAAAAGAAUAAGGACAAAACUAAAUUCACAAACUUAGAUCAUUCAUUUUAUAAUCCAUUGAAGGAAAAAGAUCAUCAUAUUAUUUUUCUAAUUUUAUUAUCACAUUAUUUUUGGAUUUAAUCUUUUUAUUUAAUUAAUUUUGUAAUCCAUAUCUGUAAAAUUUUAAUAUGUGUGGAGAGUACGGAUCAAGAGCUGGGAACACAAUCCUAUUUUUUAUUUGUUCAAUAAGAAUUUCGCUUGGAUUUUGAAUUACACAGCGCAACACACUUUUAUAUAUAUAUAUAUACAUACUGUUUUGAAAGUAACUUUUUUAAAAAAAAAAACGUUAAAUUAAUAAUUUUUUAAGAGAUUUUAGUUUGAUAUUAUCUAUAAUUUAGUAUAAAAAUAUAAACUAUAAUUAUUUGACAAUUAGAAUUAAAAGUUCUAGAUUUAAGUGAUGUGAUGUUUUUUUUUUUAAAUAUUGUUUUUUGGAAAUAUAUUAAAAUAAUAUUUUUUUAAUUAUUUUUAAAAAUUUAUUUUUAACAUAAACAAAUUAAAAUGAUUUAAAAAUAAUAAAAAAUAUUAAAAAUUAAAUUAUUUUUAAUAUUCACACGUUAAAAUAAUCUAAAAACACAAAAAAUAAAAAUAAAAAAAUUCUUUUUUUAAAAAUACUUUUAAAAUACAAUAUAAACAUGCUAUUAAUAUCUAUUAAUAUCUAUUACGUUCUAAUCAGGAAUUUCCUGUGAGUUGCCGUGGAGUAAUUGUUUGGAAAAACUGACGGACUCAUCCAAAUGUAAUGUAUUAUCCAAUGGAUUAAGGGGUUGAUUAGUAACACUAAGAUAUAUCUUCUCUUUCUACAAUACCCAACAACAUCUUACGUUAUUACACUAAGUAACACUUAACCAGGUUGUCAUUAGUACCAAAUCAAAGGUCAUUAAGUCCAAAGGAGGCUAUAAAAGUGGCCAUAAAUCCUUCCAUAGGUUAGCUUACCUCACAGGAGACAGGAUCCUAACAGAUUCGAAAGAAACUAUCUUAUAUUACAUUAUUACAUGCAUGGCAUCUAGAAGUGGACCUUGUCCUAAGUCACAUACACAGCAAGCAACCAGGACAUGCCUGUGUUCACCCACCACACAUCCCGGAUCAUUCAGGUGUGGUCUGCACCGGGAUUCCCUUAGGGUGCCUGCCAGAUCAAGAAUCGGUCGUGCUGGGUCGAAUACCAAGGGGGGAUUGGCUUUGAUUGCCAAAGCAAAUUCAUUCAAGGCAAUCUUGUUACAGAUUAUCAAGCCGUCUAGUCAUGAUCUUCACAGGAGGAGGGAUUUCCAGCCAAGGCUUACCAGGUUUUGCCUAAUGAAUGCCAGUAGAGAUAGGGUUGCUUGUUCUUGAUCUUAGUUUUGUUAGAUUCAAGAAAUUUGGUAGCUUUUUUGUAAAUUUUGUUAGAUUAAUUAGAUCAGGAGAUUUUGCAGUUGUUCUGGUAUGUAUGUAUAUAUGUAUGUAUGCGGAUUUAUGUACUUAAGGUUAAUUAAUUGAGUGCCAGGGAGUCUGAUGCAUCAGGAAUUUAUUAAAAAUAUGGAGCUCUAAGAUUCGUACCAGAAUUAAUAAAAAUACAUACGCAUAAGUCCACGCAUUUAUCAAACGAAAGCAGUUUUAAGGACUGUCUGUUUAUAUAUUUUUUUUAUAAGUGUUUUUAAAAAAAUUAAAUUUUUUUUGUUUUAAAUUAAUAUUUUUUGAUAUUUUUAUAUCAUUUUGAUAUACUGAUAUCAAAAAUAUUUUUUAAAAAAAUAAAAUAAAAAUUAUUUUAAUGUAUUUUCAAGAAAAAAACACUUUAAAAAACAAUCGUUAACACACUCCGAAAUACCCCUAGAAAUAUUUAAGUAUAUGUAGAAUCUUGGGUUCGUUAAUUUCUUGGGUGUACAGUAGAGUUUGGUUAGCGUUCUAAGAUAAAUUAAUAAAGAAAGGAUAAAAAUGUUUUUGAUUGGAAAAACAAAGAAAAAAACAUAAAAUAAAAUAAAUGUCUUUUCAGUUAUUAAUAAAAAAUACAUGGGAUAUACAAUCCAUCUUUUUUAUAUAUCUUGAAAUAUUAAUCAAACAUCAACUCACAUAUAUAUUCUAAUAUUAUUAAUUAAUCAAUUAAUACAUAAUGAGACUUUUAUAAGUGUAAUGAAGAUAGAGUUAACAGCAUGACAAUUGAGUUAAUUAAUAGCAAUCCUUGUCCUCAUUAAGAUUGUAUAUAUCACAGUUGGAAGAUUCAACUUGCCAAAAUACCUGCAGGAAUUGACCGACCUCUUACACUUGCAAUUCUAACCCUAAUACAUUGGAAUUGGUAUCGAUUCACUGGGGUUCUGAUGAACAACAUUCACCGGGAAAUUCAAUAAACCAUUUCCAACCAUCUAAUUCAGAUAGAGUAAAUAUUGAAGAUUAUAGAAACAGAAGUGAAAGAGAGAUUAAUUAAAAGGGAAAUAUGCCAAAUUUAUCUACAUACGAUACAUAUCUCCAUACUUGAAAUUAAUUAAGCUUGAAAUAGAGCUUGUAAAUCUUUGAUUUUUCAUUAGAGCUUGGGCGUAUCACAUGGAGUCCUCUUCAAAAACGAGUAUCAUCAAUUUAGUCCCUUGUAGAUGAUGAUAGACCAUCAAGGCCAAAUUAACCAGGUGGUGGCCUAGUGGUAAGAGCUUGGGACCAAGAGGUUUGCUCCCUCUGUGGUAUCAGGUUCGAGCCAUGUGGUUGCUCAUAUGAUGGCCACUGGAGACUUACAUGGUCGUUAACUUCAGGGCCCGUGGGAUUAGUUGAGGUGCGCGCAAGCUGGCCCGGACACCCACGUUAAACUAAAAAAACUAAAAAAAAAAAAAAGUAUCCACUAUCAAAUUGUACUUGGUUAUUUGAAAUUCUAUAAAUUAAUAAACCGAAUCCUGAAUGACGUUCUUACACUUGAAUACAUUAUCUCUUAUCAAACCUGGCUUGCUCGCCUUCAACUAUGAUGGCAAAACAUGCAUGCAUGCAUUAAAUGAGGAUAGCCAUACAUAUCCUCUAGAGAUUGAUGAUGUUAUCAUCGAUAGUCAUAUAGAAUCUCAAAACCCAGAACUUAUAAGAUAUUUUUUAUAGUGAUAUGUUGUCAUUUUGAUCUUUUUUUUAUCUCCAAAUAGUCCAAAACUGUAGAUAGUAAGCACGGCGAUCAUCAUAUCCUUGCAUGAACACGCUUUGCAUGAACACGCUUUCAUGAAUUCAUAUUCUUUUUUAGAUGAAGUCGAAGGCUUGAUUUUCUUUUUCUUAUUCAAAUCUAAAUAUUCUCUGCAGUUAGAUAAAUACAUACAUAAUCUCACAAAACUCUCAUCGGUACCAAAAGUCACCAGCUUUUUUUUAAAAAAAAACACCUUAUUUUUGUAGAUGUUACAACCAUGUAAGCCCAACCUCCCGUGCCUUCUAACCUAUAACAAUAUUAAGAAAAUCAUAAUUUUUUUUAAGGAUUUUCAACUAUCUCAUCACAUUUGAUUGAUUGUUUUUUGGUAGGAAAAGGCGUGGUACUAAGUUCCAUUUUAAGUGAGACUUUUUCAUGAUACUCCGUUGUGCUACAGAACCCUAAUGUCCCACACUCGCACUUGAUCCUUUGAUGACAGCUAAAAAUGUGCUGUCUAAGGGCUACCAUUGAUUUAAAAUGCUUAAGAAAAUAGCCCUACAGUCACUAAUUUGGAAAGGCAAGAAAUUACUUGGAAUUAGAGGUUUCAAAAGGGAGCAGAUUUCAUUUUAAGAAAAAAAUAGUGAAUUAUAAGGGUAUAGCGAGAGAUCCAAUUAAUGAAAUCCUUUUUAUUAUAUAAAUAUAUAGUAUAAAAAAAUAUAACCUUGAAUAUACUUUUUAUAUGGACCAAUUCUACUAUAUUAUAGUGACAUUUAUGAAAAAGCUAUUGAAAUUUAUUGCACAUACCAAAAAGUGUUUUUUAUAUUGAAACAUCAUUUUCUGGAAUUUUUAUUUUUUCUCUUUUGAUUUCAUAUGUUUACAUGGUUGAUAAAGUCUUCAUUCCCAUUUGCUGUAUUUUCCGUGUCAGGGCGGGAUUGACUGCCGAAAUCAAAACCAUGGCUUCCUUAAAAACUGUACGCUGUCCCAAACCAUGGUUAUAUUUUAUAAAAAGUGUAGCAGCCACAUUAAAUAAGGGCCUACACAUGGCUCAAAAAGAGUACCAAGGACUAGUUCUCUUCCACAAUAAAUAUUCAGGGUCAAAAAGUCAGAUUGAUUUAAAGUUUGACCAUUGAAAUGUUAGAGAGGAAGCAUCGAGUGACAAGCUAGAUAUUAAGAGACGUUUGAUAAUGAAAUAAUGUUAGUUUUUUUAAAAAAAUUUAAUAUAUAUUAAAAUUAUUAUUUUUAUUUUUUAAAAUUUAUUUUUAAUAUCAACAAAUUAAAAUAAUUUAAAAACAUAAAAAAAUUAAUUUAAAGUAAAAAAAAAAAUAAUUUAAAAACAUAAAAAAAUUAAUUUAAAGUAAAAAAAAUUAAAAAAUUAAAAAACAUAAAAAAAUUAAUUUGAAGUAAGAAAAAAUAAAUAAAUAAUUUUUUUUCAAAAAUAUUUUUAAAAUCCUUAUCUGCUUUAAAGAAUUCCUUUGUUUUUAUAUUUUAAAAUUUAUUUUAAAAAAUAUAAAAAUCAUUUAUUUUAUUUUAAAUUGAUUUUUUUGUGUCAUACUAAUAUUAAAAAUAAAAUAUAAUAUACAUAUAUAUAUAUAUAUAUAUAUAUAUAUAUAUAUAUAUAUAUGUAAGGCAGUAAAAACCUCCAAAAAUCAUGGGCUUCCACACCAUGUGGAAGAAUAUCACUCUUCUUCUUAUGAAUGCAUGCAGAUGCUGUAGUUUUCAAAACCAGUUGCUGAUGCUUGCGAGCAGAUUUUUUAAGUUUCCUGCCAAGGACCACAGCUAGCACAAGUGGGAUGGUUGCGUGCCAUUUGCGUGGAGGUUAAACUAUUCCAUUUCUAGACAAUAUAUUUGCCAUCUGCAUAAAAGUUAAAGAACUACUAGCUCCUUCAAGUUGUUAAAAAAUCAUCUUUAAUUACUUAUUUACUCUAUAAUAAAAAAAAAAGUUUGUCUUGAGUAAAAAGAAAUAUACUCAAACUUAAUUGAUUUUUUUAUAAUUAUGAUAAUUGAAUCAUCGGCACCUAUAUGCGAUGAUUAAGGCCAUUAUGAUGAUCAAGACAAUCUCAGAGCCUGUAAAGACUUACAUGGUUGUUAAUUUUAGGAUUCAUGAGAUUAAUCGAGUUAUACGCAAAUUAGUUCGAAUAUCAAUGUUAAUAAAAAAAAACCUAAGAAAAUGUUCAAAAUGAUAGAAGAAUUCAGGAAGAACUUGUUAAAGAAGUGAAAACAGAACAAACCAAUAUUAUUAAUUUGGUAACAUAAUAUGAAGCUAAAUCAAAUUAUCUUGAUCAUGUCCAAAACUUCAGUAACAAGUGGCAUGAUUAGAGAAGGGAUAUUCUCGACGCGUUUUUGCAAAGUAUCUUGCAUUCACUCAUGGACCGUUGUAUCUUGUCAAAGAAGCUGAAUUGAAAAGGAAAGAAGGAGAAAUAUCUAUACCAGAGGAAACCCGGCGCAUAUGUUUGACCCUAUUUCUAGUUUUUAUAUGCAUGGGUUCCCCUCGUUAAUUAAGUCUUCAAUGGCUCCGGUGGUCUAAUUUGGCAUAUAUAUAUAUAUAUAUAUAUUGGAAGAAAUCAAACUAAUAAUUAAUAUAUAUUGAGGAAAGGAAAAGGGCAGUUCAGUGUGGGUGGCUGCUGAGGGGAGUUGCUUUACGACUGGUCUUGCUGGUCCACCCAUGAUGAAAGAUGGUUCUAUAUUGACGCUGGUCAAGACCCACAUGGUGCAUGCAAUUCUUCAAUUUUAUUUUCUUUUUAUCAAUUGAAAAAAUAUUUCUGUUUUCGAAUCACAUACAGCCUUAAUUACUAGCUAGUAAACUUCUUACCCCCUUUUUACGAGCUCUUUUCAUAUAAGAAUUAUUUUUAUGCUUCUUUAAACGUGACCAAAUCCCUUCAAAUCUUCUGGAUGGUAUGCAUUUGGAGGAUGGAGAUGAGUUUUAAUUAAUUAGGUUAAAAGUAUCCUUCUCCAUGAAGUUCGUUUUCCUUUCGAUUCCCUCAAUAUUAUUCUUUUGAGGCACUUUACAAGUUGUGAUGGAGCACUUGAUGAAUCCAAGAGAUAAGAUUUCCCAUCACUUUUUUAAAUAUAUAGUUGAUGAGAUCUUUAUAGCAAUUUAAUCCAACAAAAGCGACGUAUAUAUGCAACCAAAUGGUCCAGCCAAAUUGCCACCAAUAAAGAUCUUCUUGGUAGAUCCCUCGCUAUAUAUAAAUAUAUAUUAUAAAAUGGUGAUUUCUCGCUCUUUUUACUGAAAUCUUAAGGGUUAAGCUCUUCAAAGUUGCUUUUAAAUUAUACAAAAUGCUUUACUCAAUGAUGAAUUCGAGUAAAGUGGUAAGAAAGAUGGGUAUUGUUGAGAAAACGAUCAUCAAUCAUAAAAUAUUUCAAAAUUCAAAAUUAAUAAUAUAUUAACUAGAUAUAUAGUUAUAAAACAAUUCAUUUUUUUGGUUAAUAACAAAAUAAAAUACAAGGACGUAUCUUUUUUUUUAUUUAUUAACGUGGGUAUUCAUACCAGUUUGUGCGUAUCUCAACUAAUUUCACGAGCUCUGAAUAAUGAUGAUGAUAUUAGUAACUAUAAUUACGUAUUUUUGAUUUAAAAGAUCGUGAAUCGAUACAAUCCUUUUUUUUCAUUAUAUAAUAUUAUCUAAUGAUGCUACGCACAAUAUAUGAAAUGGAAGAUAGCUAGCAAUGAGUCAUGCUGCAUGAAGUCGAGACAUCUUUUUACUAGGGCACACACAAGAGUUCAGAAAACGAAAAAGAAGCAUGACAUAAAGUGAUGAGCACUUCCUCCAUUUCUAUUAUGAUAUUAUACUGCAUUUAUCUGUUGAUUCUGCUGAGCAAGCAAAGAUAACAAGAAAAGCCUCCUUAGUGGGUCAGUGACAACACAAUCGAUAUAAAAAAUUAGAAAUCGUAUAUGAUCAGAUAGGUAAAAAAAAAUUAAAUUAAAAUGAUAUUGUAUUAAAAAAAUAUAACUAGAUUAUGAAUUUUAACCCGCUGAAUAAUUCCAGAUUAAUUUUUUAUAGCUAGCAUAGUCUUCGAAUGGAUUGGUCAAAGUCCGGAUCAAUGCACCAAGCCUAGCUAAGUUCAAUAAUAGUGAACAAACCAUCAGCGGCCGCCAGAAAACAAUGCAUAUGGCCUAGUGGUUUGGGUUUGAUUUCCAAAACCCAGUGUACCUGACACGUUGUGCCUUUUUAUGAAUUUAAUUAAUUAAUUGACUACAUUAAAAUAAAUGAUCUCCAAAACCCAGUGUCACUAAAAUAAGGGAGUUCAGUUUGUUGACACGACUCUAGUCAUGAAAGCCACCCAUGCCAUGAAAAUGUGAAAAUAAAAAUAUAUUGAAAUUCGUUUUUUAUUAUUAAAAUAUUUAAAUAUAUUUUGAACAUGGUUUUAUUUUAUUUAUUAUUUUUUUAGCUUUCAAUUGCAUAAAAUAUAAAUAUAUUGUUUUGAUUUUUUUUUUAUUAAUUUAAUAAUUAUAAAAUAUUUUUUCAAUAAUUAAAGUAAAUUUCUAAAAAAAUAUACAAACUAGUAUAGAUCUAGAAUUACUAAAUAAAAAAGAAACAAAGCAAAAAAGAAGAAGCACUUUCGUCAGUGACAACAUCAACACUAACCUCGGUUAACAACACAGCCUUAAAAAGGACUCAAGCGAGAGAGAGACAGGGACAAAAGAGAGAGAGAAGAAGAGUUUCCCAAAAUGUACGGUACUUGUUUAGGAAAUUGUAUCGCUUGAAAGUACAAUUUUUUGAUAUAAAAUUAAUUCUCAAAGAUGACAUUAUUGAGUUUUAAUUUAUUAGUGUCAAUGGGGUUGCCAUAUUGUUACUUAUGAUUCAAAUUAAAAAAAAAUCGAGAAAUUUUGUAUGCGUUGUUUAUUUAAGAACUGAUCGGGUUGAAGUAUAAUCUUAUGGUGUGGCAAAUAAUGUUUAUUUUUUUUUUUUUAUCCUAGUCUGGUUAACUAGUAAAAAAUAUAUUGAUGAUGAAAUUAAAAAUAUAUAUAUAAAAUUAAAAGGAAAAAAACACUUAACUAUUUAUAUAAACAACUGCAGCAUAGAGUAAAAUACCUUGCUUGAGACUAAGGGGUUUGCUCUCUCUGUGAUCUCAGGUUCGAGCCAUGUGAUUGCUCAUAUGAUGACUACUGUAGGUUUACAUAAUCGCUAAUUUCAGGGCCCGUGAGAUUAGUUGAAAUACGCACAAACUGGUUCGAACAUCAAUAUUAAUAAUAAAAAAAAUACCAACAAUCCUCUCAUUGAAAUCGAGAAAGAAAAAAGCACCUGGAUUGGGAAUGUGUGGUAGUUGGCUCAAGAAUUUAAUCAUUGAGAUAGGGUAAAUUUAACCCUCAUCUAAGCUAGCAGGUGAGAAGUUCUUUCCAGAUAGAUACAAAUCUUCACCAUAAUCUCAUCCAUAAUUAUAUUUGGUUGGAGAGAUUUGAAGCAUUAAGCCUUAUUAUCAUUUGCUAGCUGUAAUUUUCAUCCUGUGCUUAGUGGAGAUUAGCUAAACAUCAUUUCAUGAUGUCAUGGGCUUAUAACACGAUCCCAUGUUAUUUGUUCUUCAAGAAACCAUCAUCAUCAUUAUUGCUGUUAUUAUUAUUAUUAUUAUUAUUAUUAUAUAACCAUAUGCUUAAUUUUAAUUCCGGGAAAUGUAUAUGAACUCCUCACACUAGGAAAAAAAAAAGGGGGGGGUGGGGGGGGGCUAGUUUAACGGUAACCUUUACCGGCUAAGAACUUAGACUGCGGGCGCAGCUCCAAGUUACAAAUUUCGAUCAUGUACGUCAAAGAUUUAUAAAUGUGUCCAUGGUUAUCUCGUGAAGGUGUAGUAUUAAAUAGGUAUUUGAAGAAAAAUUAAAUUUUUUAUAUAUUUUAUAUUAUUUUGAUGUAUUGAUAUCAAAAAUUAUUUUUUAAAAAUUAAAAAUUAUUAUUUUAAUAUAUUUCCGAACUCAAAUCAUUUUAAAAAUUAAUUAUUGCUACACUUUUAAACACCCAAAAUUAAAAUUAAUGUCGCGUGAUUAAUAAGUUUAUUUGAAAUAAAAUAAAAAAAGCCUCAAUGGUUUCUCAUUGUAGAAAAAAAUAAUUGUAAUUUGUAAAUAAAAAAAAUACCCUAAAACAUAACCACGUAUAACAUUAUUAUAAUGGCACAACUUCACCAUUCAAAUGUAUUUAUUGUGUUAGCUAAGAACAAUAAAUAAAAUUAUUGCCUCCUUUAGUUAGGAUCAUCAAGUAGCAUGUGCAGAGCUUCUUCUAGAGACACACACGCCUACAUUGUCCAUCAAUGCCCAUGGAUUUGUUACCAUGAAACAACAGGCUGCUAACGAUGCCCAUGGAAUUGCCUAUAUUUUUAAUUAUAUAAUAUUAAAAGUCCCUCUUUUUACGUAAUAAUUAAAUAAUUUAAAAUCAUAAUAAUUAAUUUUUUAAUUAAAUAAGACUUUUAGAUAUAAUAUAGUCAAACUAUACUAAAUUAUGUAAAAAAAAUAAUCUAUUCAAUCAUAAAACUAACUAACAUCAAACUAUUAUACACGGGAAUAAGCCCGACAAUACAAAUUGCUUCACUAUUAAAAUAACAAUAGCAAGAGAAACAUAUUUAUAUGAGUAAGUGUACACAUUUAAAUACUUGUUUGGAAAUAUGAUUGUUUUUUAUUUUUAAAAUAUUUUUUAUUCAGAAAUAUAUUAAAAUAAUAUUUUUUUUAUUUUUAAAAAAUUAUUUUUAAUUUCAGUGCAUUAAAAUAAUUUAAAAAUACUACAAAAUUAUUAAUUUAAAAAAAUAAAAAAAUAUUUUAUUUUAAAAUAUUUUUAAAAUACAAAGGUUAAAUCAUUUUUGCUGCCUCAUCUUUCUGUUUAUCUCCACAAUACAAGUGAAUGAAAUAAGUACUCGUAUUUACUAUUUACUGUUUACUGUUUAUCUCCACAAUACAAGUGAAACAAGAAUACAAGCGGAUAGACGCGAGUGUAACGUGGAAUGUAAAGCGCGUGUGAGAGUAUCACAGUAGGAGACAGAGCCUUUCCAAGAACUGUCAGUGAAACGGAUCAAAAUUCAUUGCUUUCUAUUCUUUUUUAUCGUUUUUUUUUUUUACCUCAGAGACGGAGAGAGAGAAAAGAGCCCAUAGAUUUGGUUCGGUUUCUGCUUUGAAAACCAUUUGAUCAGUUGGAUUGUUUGUGUCCUAACUUGGUAACUAGCCCAACCAUAGGUCUUGGUUAGGUCUGGCUUCGCUUUCAACACUGCACCUCUUACCAGUCGUACCAAGUUGUUUUUGCAGUCAUGCCCCCAUACUUUCCCUUUUCUUAAAACUAAUCACUGAUGAUGGUUUUCUACUUUUAUGUAUACUUUUUUUUUUAGUUUAACAAGAGUGUCCGGACCAGCUUGCAUGCACUUCGACUAAUCCCACGGGUCCUAAAGUUAACGAUCAUAUAAGCUUCUAGUGACCAUCAUAUGAGCAACCACAGGGCUCAAAGCCUGAGACCAUAAAGGAAGCAAACUUCUUGAUCCUAAACUCUUAUCACUGGAGCACCAUCUAGAUAGUUUAUAUACAUUUUUUAUUAUCAUGGUUUGUGCUUGCAUGUUGCCAUGUUGUUCUACUCUUUGUUUUUGUUCACAAGAUUUGGAAUGAAUAAUCUAAUUCAGGGAAUUAAUCCAAUUCAAUUUCCGUGGAAGUCCUAUAUAAAGGGGAAAAAUCCUGUUAAUUCCGUUAUUGAAUAUUGGUAUGACAAGGAGGAAUCAAUAUACUGGAGAGAUUUUCUUUAUAAUAUAGUAAUAAAUUCAAUGUUCUAAACUAAUACAUGGAGAUUGAAUGUUUUUUUUUCCUUCAAUGCAUUGGAAAGAAUUAAUAAAUACCAUGAUAAAAUAAAAGAGAUCAAUUGUUUGUAUAAAAUGAAUAAAACAACAAUCUAAAUUAAUUUUAUAUGAAUUUUUUAAAAUGAUUUUUAAAAAAAUCAAUCUCAUGUGAUAAAAUAACAACCAAUAUAUAUUUGUAUAAAAUUUUAUAUGAUUUUUUAAAUUAAUUUUGCGUUAGAGGAGGCCAAAUUAUUUUUUCUCGACAUGAACAUUAAAAAUUAAUUGUCCAUAACAAUGUUAAUAUUUAAUGACCUAAAAUACUAAAACAGAAGAAAUCUAAAACAUUCUUCUCUAUAUGUAAAUAAUCAAAUGUGUAAGGAGUCUAGAGGAAAGUCCAAAUUAAAAUAUCCUAAACCCCUCGAAAUAUCGCGAAAUAUCGAACACCCCCUUCCUCCCCUUCCUUCCCUAUAAAUACAUCGCUAGAGUGAAGUUAGGUUUGCCAAACUCGAUAGAAAAACAGUUUUCUUUAUUUCCCUACAAUCUUCUCCUCAUCCCUCUUUACUGCAACCCCUAAGAACAGAACAACCACCAUCAAAAUGGCGGCCAUGGCCACUGGAUCUUCUAGAAGAACCUCGAGCGGUCCGGUUAUUCGCUCUCUCUCUCCAUCCGGUAGAUUCCACCAGCACUUCUCCAGAUCUCCGUCAGCUUCCGCCUCCUCCAGCCCCUUCGCUUACUCAAGUUCAAGUUUCAUGUCUCGCUCAUCAACUUUCUUCACCAGAUCCUCAUCGCCUACACGGGUUAACAUGUACGGGCACUCCACACCGUCGCCUUCUUCAUCCGUCCGCUUAAAUGCCGUCUCUCCUAACCGCUCAAUCUCCACCGUCAAUCCUUCUCGGAGCCACAACCAUCAGGUAGUGAGAAAACAGAGCACUCCUAAACGGACUUGCAUGUGUUCGCCGUCUACACAUCCAGGCUCUUUCCGGUGUAGCCUCCAUAAAGGCACGGGGUUUGGCAGUUCUACCUCAUCAAGUAAUUACUCUUCAAACAACAAUCGGCUGAAUGCGAGAAGAUCUGCCAUGACCAAUUCGCUAGUGAGAAUCGGCGGUGUGGAAGGUGAUUUGGUGAGAAGAGCCUUGGCCUCUUUGAUCCGGCCGUCUUCUCACCAACAACGCCGGCGUACAGCAUUCCAGUCCCGACCGAGCCGGCUUUCCGUCAUGUCAAAAGCUGAGUCUUAAGGGUAUGUUGGUCACUUCAAGUUUUUAUUUGCUUGCUCACCCGACGAGGACUGGACUCAGAUUGCAGUGGUGGCGCGUGGAAAUCGGGACGGAAAGUUUUUUAUCGGAAUCCGGUGACGUAACACAAUUCGACGACAGGACUUUCUGAAUAUAUAGAUACAUAACACAUGGCUUUUGAGUGUGUAUAGUUAUCAAAGCUAUAUUAUUCAGUUGCAAAAUCAAGUCAUUUUUAAGGACUUCAAAAUUCUAACCAACAAAAAUUAACAAAUAACCAACUCUAAUCUAACUAGAAAAUUAACUAAACUAAGUAAUCCGUUAAUCAGAAUUUGUGGAUUUCAUCAAGCCAUGUCAAUUUCCCAGCUGUGAGUGGAUUUUUCCGUUUGGACUCACGUUUUCUGUGAACUCCGUGUAGGGGUUUUUGUGCUGUGCGCGUGUUGUUUACGCCCAUGAUCCAUCCGUUCACCGUAUUCGUUUAUGUGGUUUAUUUUUCUUGUCGAGGUAAGGGUGUUUUUUAUUGGUUAACUUUGCUGCUUCUUUUUUAUUUUUUUUAUUUGCAGGUGUGCAUUUUCACUUGCCGGGAAAUUGAAGUGUUUAUAUUUGAGCUGGAAAUUAAAAGUUUGAGAAAUUAUACCGGACAAGGACAAACCUUUGCUCUGCUUGGAUUGGAGAACAUUAUUAAUGAUAAUAAUAAUAAUAAAAUUGAAGUGGGUGAUUAAUAUAUUCAAUUAAUAAUGGAAAUGACGUGAUAUUAUUUGGUUACUUGAUAGGAGAAAUUUAAAUUAAAUAAUUAUAUCAUAAAUGCAGAUUCAUUAAUUUAUGAAAAAAAAGAUUGAGAUUUUUUCUCAAUGAAUAUUAGAAGAAAUUCUUGCUUGGAAAUUAAGUCCUUUGAGGAAAUGGAAAUAUUGUGAACAAUUGCGUUUGGCUAAAGUACCAUAUAAUUACGCGCUGAGAAAUAAGAAAAGGGCUGAGAAGAAAACUGAAAUGGAGAAAAAGGAAAUGCAAGCUUGAAAAUGGAGGGGAAAAACGGAGAAAAAAUGACAGUAUAUUUCAUGUAAAUAAUCUGCUAACGUAAGAUUAAAAAGAAAAAUGAAAAUUGCAGAAGAAUUCGUGCAAAUUAAAAUCACAGAAAAACGAAAAAUACGUUGAAGAACAUUUCUUUUUUUGUGGGAAUACAUUAAUAACAAUUCUAUAUUAAACAGCUGUUAGGUGAAUUCUGGUCCUGGUGACAAUAUGCAUUAUAUUUUUGAAAAAUAUUUUUUAAUUAAAAUACUUUUUAUUAUGUUAUCGACACAUAAAAAUAAUUAAAAAAAUACAUAAAAAUAAUAAGCUAAACAUAAGUCUAGACUCAAAAUGCUACAUCCCUAAAAAAAAACAUAGCUUCAUGGAAGGUCUAUGGAUUAUCUUUAACAUUUAAUUACGGGUGUCAUUUUUAAUAUUGUAUUUCUAUCACCUUAACUAAAAAUACAAUAUAAUUAAUAUAAAUUAAUUUUAAUCUAUGUGUUUUUUCAUUCUAACUAUUUGAUAUUUUUUAGGUUCACUUAAACCUAUUAUUUAUAAGUUUUUAUGUUUUUCACUUGAGUUAGGAAUCAUUACUCUUAGAUCUGGUUUCUGUACAUUUGAAUCACUUAUGAAUUUAUUUUUGAUAAAUUCAAUACAUAUAUAUUCAACAAUUACAUUAGUUUCUAAAUCCAAAAGCCUAUAAACCUUUAAAAUUUGUGCAUAACCAACAAAAACACUAUAAAGACCCUUGGAUUCUUUUUUUUAUAUAUAUAUAAAAAACUUUAUAAAAAGCUACACACUCCCACAUUUUAAAAUAUUUCAGAUUUGAUUUUCUACUAUUUCAUGCUUCUAAGAGAGAAAUAUUUAAUUUUUUUAGAAGAUAUUCUAUUAUUAAUAUGACAUCCAAUAUGACAUCCAAUAAGUAAAAGUUUCACCCCAUAAAUUAUUUAGUAAAUUAGUAUUUAAAAGCGUGGUUUUUUGUGUGUUUAAGCACUUAUAAACACAUUCAAUUAAAUAAAAUUGAUAAUUAUUUAUGUAUAUAAAUAAAUAAAAUCGUUAACAAUAACUAAAAGUAAAAUUAAAAAAAUUAAUAGUUAAAUGUAAAACAAAUUAUUUCCCGUAUGCUAAAAAGACACAUGUAUUUCCCAUAUGCUAACACGCGAGGCCCAUAUUCUUGCAGUGUAUUGAUUUAAAAAUUCAUUAUUAAGGUCAAAACAUUCAAAUUAUCUUUAAUGAUUAUGAAAUUAAUAAUAAUAAAAAAACAAUGUGAAAAGAUGAAAUCUCUCCUCAACACAUGCCUUAAUGUUUUACUAUUCAAAAGGGCAUAAAAGUUAUUUUUCUGUUUUGUAAAAUAACAUAAAGACAAAAAUACACUUGGCCAAUAGUUUUUUUUUUAAUAUGGUGGUAAAUAAGUUGUUUUAAUUCAAAAAAAGUUGGAAAGAUGAAAAUAACCCUUCAUUAAUGGCUGGUUGAUCUUUUGAAAAUACCAAAUCCUCCUCAAAAUCAAGAUCAAGGCUCUCUAUUUUUUUUUUUCAAAGGACAAAAUUAAUUAUUAAGAGCAAAAAGUUUAAACUAUCAGAAUUAAUAAAAAAAUUCAUAUGAAAAGAUGAAAUCACCCUAAAUACAUGCCUUAAUUUUGUACUAUUCUAAGGGCAUAAAAAUUAUUAUUUUUAUUUUGUAAAAAAACAAAAAAACAGAAAUACACCUUAUCAACAAUUGUUUUUUAAUGAGGGGUAAAUUUGUUGUUUUAAUGUUCAAAAAAAGUUGGAAAAAUGAAAAUAAUCCUUGAUAAUCCAGGUUUAUCAUUAGAAAAGAUCAAAUUAUCCUCAAAAUCAAAGCUUUUUAAUUUUUUUUCAAAGGAUAAAAUUGUAAUUUAGUUGUCAUAAUGAUUUUUUUUUCUGUGUCUAUAUGCAAAAACCGAACCAGAUCGACUUUUUUAAAGUUUUCUAACCUGUUUUUAUUGGUUUGAUCUCUCAAACCGGUUUUUUUAAUUAGUUUUAAAUCAAUUUUAGAUUACCCGGUUAUUUUGCUCUGGUAUUAUAGUGGGACUCGUUACUAUGAACCCCAUUGUCGCCUCCGAGAUACACACAAACCGCUUCGACUUUCUGGGUGAAAAGAUUUUCUAUAACUGAUCUGUCUCUACUCAAACAAAACUUCGAAAGAUAAAAAAAAAGCUUUGAAUGAUACCUCUCAUGCCCAUCAAUCUACAGUGCAGACCAUACGGAGGACUGCCUCGAAAACAGCUCCUGGGAAGAUAAGGUUUUGAAAAAGAUAGGUGGGGGUGGGUGCCGAGGGAAGGAGGAAGGCAAUGGCAGCUACUGAAUUUUUGGAUGAUUGUCGUUGUCACAAGACUUGUACAGUUGUACUAGAAGAGGUCAAACAAACAAAGAAAUGAAAUCCCACUCUGUAUAAAUCAUUAGCUAUGGAUUGAGAAAUCAGAGAAAAUAUUGUAAAAAUUACGUGUAUCGUCCAUGUAUGACAAGUAGUUUGAUGUCAUCUCAUACUAUAAAAAAAAGUCUUCUUGCUUGCAGAUGAGGUUUUAUCUUGUAAUCGUAAUCAGGCAGAGAAAAAUAUCAUUUAGACAGAUUAAAGAAGAAGGGUCGUGGGGGAUAAGGAGAUGGAUGAUGAUGAUGAGUGAUGCCUACUGAAAGAAAAUGUAACAUGGUUGACAAUGUCAGAGCUUUAUUUAAAACCAAAAUUAAAAUGUAAAUAUACUUGUCUCUAGGUUUAGUAUGUGUUUAAAAACUGUUUUUUUAACAUGAUUAGUGAAAAUGCAGUUGAAAUUAUAUUUUAUAAAAUUUUAAUAUAUAUUUUAAUAAAAUAUAAUUUAAAAAACAAUCAUUACCACGUUUCUUGGAUAACCCUCAAGGUGGUGAAUGAUCUCCUAACUAUAAUCCAAGAAAUAUACCCUUACCUAAAUCCUUGCUCAGUUGCAUCUAUAUGAGAGGUUGUAAGAAAUUUAAAGAAUUUUUUUACUGAAUCUGUCAUAAAAUACAAUUCCAGCAAACAAUUUAAUAUUCCAAAUUGUUGAGCAAGAAAAAUAAGAGAAAAAGCCAUGGUUAGGUGCUCAGAAUUGAGAGAGAAUAUAUAAUUUGAAAAGGAGUAAACCACCUGCUCAUACAAUUGGAUUCAAAAUGUCCAUACGAAGAGGUAAGAUUUAACCCUUUAUCUGUUCCAUUUGCUGGUGGCACCCACACUGGGCCUCCUCCCAUACAAAAACACUCAAAAUGGGGAGACCAAAAGCAGCCCACAUGAUUGAAAAGACACGUCUUGAAUGGGUUAUAGCUGUGAGGGGUCACGCCAGCACCAGGGACCAUAGGCAUCCAUUUUCUCAUAAAAUUAAUACAUAGCAUGGAGAUUGGAGAGCCUCUAGCAAUCUAAUUUAAAGUCACACCAAUCCUCUUGAACAUUAUCUUCUAGAUUCCUGCGUUUGUCACGGAGAAAAAAAUAUGUUUUUUUUUAAUAUUUCAUAUCAAUUCUAGAAAAAGUUCGUAAUGAAAAUGCGUGGCUGGGAGCUGUAGGUCCAUCUUACAUGUAAGAUUCUCACCGAGAUUAUAUUUACUAAUCCUUGCAAGAACAGAAAUCCAAUCCCUUGAAAUCUUGUGCACUUUCCCAUCAAACUGAGAAUCCGAAGAUGAAAGGAAAAGAAAAGGGAUGAGUCAGAUAUCUGAGUAGCUGCUGACUCAGGAACUGGUGUCUGUUUGGACGACAGACAAAAUGUACUGCCCAUGGUGGAAAAUGGGUUACCCUAGGAGAAUUUUAGAUUGUAGUUCAUUAGAGCUUCCAUGAUAGAGAGUAGGCCCUUGUUAGGAUGUUGUCAUCUUCCUCCAUGGCUGUUCACAGCACAUGUGCAUGUACCAGCCUCGGAGGUGUUGUAUUGAUGAUGUCGAUAAGGAUAAGGAUAGAUGUCGAUUCUACAUUCGUGUGCUUACACCCUUUUUUUUUUUUUUUUUCCCUUACACUUUUACUAGGGCUGCUUCUAGUAAAAUGCAACUAAUGUUCCAUAGUCCAUGUGCGUAACAUAAUUUUUUAAUUAAUUUAUUUUUGUUUAAUAUGAUAAGUAAUAUAAAAAUAUUUGUUUUUGUGUUUUAAAAAUAUGUUUUUUUAAAAAAAUUUUAUAUUAAAUUUUUUUAUGUUUUCAUAUUAUUUUGAUGCGCUGAUAUCAAAAAUAAAUUUUUAAAAAUAAAAAAAAUAUUAUUUUUAAGUAUUUUGAAGAUAAAAAUACUUUAAAAAAUAAUCACCGUUAUUAUUGACCGGCUAUAAAGCUGAUUCUAAAAUCAACAUGAAAGCAUUAGGUUUUUGGGUUAAUUAGAGGGUUAUUGAAUCAAUAGAGUAGUGGUCAAUUAUUUUAUUAAAACGAGGAUGUUUUAUUUUUUUUCUUAAGAGAGUUCUUGGUACUCACCUGGUCGAUUUUAAAUUUGAUUUUACCGAGCUAAUUAGAUGCUAUCAUAUAAAUAUCUUCUCUGAUUUAAUGAAAAAUCAAGCCUAGAUCUUUUUUUAAAUCAACCCACAAAAUCACCCAUAAAUGAUAUGGAACUAAAGUGGUAGUGUGACACACUUCCACCAAGGCUAAUGCAACUUUACGCAGCUGACUUUUCUUUCAGCGAAGAUUGAUCUCUGCAUUUGUCUUUUUCCAGAAGAAGAUUGGUUCAUGCUUAUUCUAACAUCAAUUGGCGUCAAAAUCAUUCAAGGGAGAAAAAGGACGGAGAAAUCUCAACGCCACCUCCAAUAAUAAUGAUAAUGAAAAAAAAAGGAAGGCCCAGUCAUCAAAUCCAAACUGCCGGUGGCUGUAUCAGGCUACAGAUAAGAAUUCAUCAAAUUGUAGAGGGUUUGGCAAGCUAGUCGUAGCCACCAUCGCCGUUAUUUGCACUUCGGUGACAUAUAGGUUAGCAUGGUCGGAAAUACGUGCCGGUUUAUUGAUAAUGGUAGACGUAUUUCAUUUCUCAGGCAUACUGCUUAGCAAUUUAUACUGUCAUUCUGAUGAUUUUUUUUUUGCCGUGCCCUUAUAAUUCCAGUUCUCUGUGGAGACAUGAGACCUUGAACGUAUUUCUUCUAGUGAAGUAAUAAACAAAAGCUAUGAAAACUCUUAUUCUUUGAAAAAGUAUACUUUUCCUCUCGCAAAAUCAGCCUUAACUAGCAACCCCUUUCUUCGAAAACUCUUAUUCUUUGAAAAAGUAUACUUUUCCAUCGAUAAAACCCAAGCAGUUUCUAGCAAGGGAAAGAAAAAUACACAAUCCAGCAGUCCUUGACAAGGAGGCCUGCAUUGCUUUCUGUCAAAAAAGAACAAAGGAGCACUGCGUUGAAUGUAGCUGUUGUAUUACUGGGUCAGUGUAGGCCUGCGGAUGCUUGGGCUGCUCUUAGCUUUUAGUCAUUGGGCAGCCAAGUUUCAGGGGUGGGCUUGGUUAAGCAUGUCUAUGUUCUUUCCUCUUAGGCUUAUGGUGAAAAUGGUUCUAUCUUUUGAUCUUCAAUUGGGGGGCGUUUGUUUUUGCUCCGGUCAUGGUUCUAUCUUUCUAGUUUGGUAUGGUUUAGUAUUUUCAUAAAUUCAAGGGUAGUAUUUCAGAAUUGGGAGUGGUUAUAGUUAUUUUUUAAAAUAUUUUUUAUUUAAAAAUAUAUUAAAAUAUUAUAUUUUUUAUUUUUUAAAAUUUAUUUUUGAUAUUAUUACAUUAAUUUUUUUUAAAAAUAAAUUUUAAUAAAUCUUCAUUUAUAACAUAAUGGGUUGUGUUUCGAUAUACCAAUUACUUUAUUGGUUAUGGAAAAAUGGGUGCAGAUCAAAAUAUUUUUUAAAGAAAAAUUGUUGUGUAAAUUGUUGCGUAAAGUUCUUCAUAUAUAUAUAUAUAUAUAUAUUAAAAAACAGAAAACACAUUUUUAAUGUUAAAAUGCAAUAUUUUUAAAUUAAGAAAAUUAAAAUAACUAGUUUUGAAAAUUUUAAAAUAUUAUGCUGAGUUUAGAAAACAUAUUUUUAAAAUUCCUUACCGUUUUUCUUUAUAAUUUUUUAAUCUUUUUUUAAAUAAAAAACUAAAUGAUGAAUAAUAUUGUAUUUUUUAUGUACAGUACUUUUUUAACAAUGAAAAAAUUAAAAUUGUUUUUUAAAUAUUUUAAUAAAUUUAUUUUUUAAAUAUAAAUAUAAUGUAAGAGACUUUUUUGAAUUAACAUGUACAAUUUUUUUAUCAUAAUUUUUUAAAUAAAAUAAAAUAUAUAUUUAUAAUUUAAUUAUCAGAAAUAUAAAAUAUUAAGAUGAUUAUCUUAUGCUAUAUUUUUUAUUUUAUAAUAAAUAAUUAUAAUUUCUAUUCAUUCUUAGUUUUCCCGUAUAAAAAAUUAUUUUUCAUUCUUGUCAAAGCCCUAAAAAAACACCCAAUUUUCCUCUUUUCCCUUCAAUUUUUUACCCUUUUCUUUCCUUCUUCUCUUUUGUUUCCACUCUUUCUUUUCAUCCUUCCUUCCCUUUUCCUUACCCUAGCUGACCAGCCUCCCUUCCCACCACCGCUGGUUGAACUCCAUUCCCCAUCAACAGAACCUAGCGGGAAAACGGCAACUCUCACUCUUACACCGACCCAUAAAUAACCAUGGUGUCAGCCCUCCCUGGUUUCCACCUCAGCCAGCCACAACAACCACUGAACUAACCACCACAACGACCGCCGAACCGAACCAGCAACCCCACGCCCCUAGCUUGCCAUCCCCCCCCCCCCCCAUCUUCUUCUCCUUCUCCUUUUCUUUUAAUUUUUCGGAAAAACCAAAUCCGAACAACCAUUCCAUCGCCACCCCUCCAUUCAUCGUCUUUUCCAUACCGUAAACGACCUCGACAGCCACCGCGCCAGCAACAUUCCCUCGAGCCGAUCUCCUCAACCAAAGUGGGCAAAGGUGGAGAAGAAGAAGGCGCAGCUGAUCUGACAGGUAAGCUCCUGUCAUUUAAUGCCUUUAUGUCUUUUUGAUAAACCUAAAUGGAUUCGCAUUCAUAGCUAAAAGAGGCAGAAUAAGCCACUUGAAAAGAAGAAGAUAUAAAAGAUUUGGAAAAGGAAGCCAAAGAAAGCAUGAAACAAGACCAUUUCAUGCCCAGAAAAGAUCACCAUAAGCUUAAAUAGAGCUUGAUAGCUUAAAAAACAACAAGCCAAUACCAUAAGUAAGUGGAUAGCAUAGUAGCAAUUCAAACCAACGUUAGCAACAUCAUAAGAGGGUAAGACGUUAGUGCAAUAGAUAGGAUAUCCAAAAUAGCGCAGCAAAAGAUCAAUCUUCUGAGCCCAGGACAGCAGCUCGCUAGGAAUCUUAGUUUCUUGAGCAAAAAGAUUAAUGCUUUAUCAAAGACCAUCUAAGCCAAACCACUAGAACCUCUAAUCUAGACACCUUUUGAUUCCCUAAAGAAUCUGCCACUCCAUUCGCUUCCUAAUUGGCACGGACAAUGGUUUUACAAACUCUUUUUUCAGUCACCUAAUGCCUUUUGAGGAGGUAAUUUUAAAAUAGGAUAUAGCCCAAUAAUGUUUAGAUCUGGACGGAAAUUUAGAGCUCUAGAAACUUCAACUAUUUCAGCCAUGUAUGAAAUCAAUUCCCUAAAGCAAGAUUUAUUGACAACACCAUGAUGUAUUCUAGUUUGCCCAACUAGUUUAGUCAUUUAUGACUUAAAUGUAUAUUUUAGUUCUUAAAUAAUCAAAGGCAAUGGAUUCUCAAAAUUGACAGCUUGUAAAAACCAAUCAGCUAGGUUUAAGCAAACCAGAAAGUGAUGUAUAAGGAAUGUGGAUUCAAGAGAGCAAGGACUAUAAUCAAUGGGGAACGGACCACACCAUCAGGCACUAUGGUAGUAGAUUUUAACCAUCUAAUACAUUCAAUUCUAUCUAAAUAACAGAUACAAUCUCCAAACAUUUGUUGAGAGGAUCCAAUCUCCUAGAUCUAGAGAUAUAAAACUCCCAUUUAAAUCUAGAAUCAUAUCUGAAAAAAUCAUGUCCUAACUACAAGAAAUAAACAAAAAGAUAGAGAAAAAUAUCAACCAUAUAAAAGAAAAUGAAGGAAAAACAAUAAAAGGUUGUUGUCGACUAUUUUUAGCUGAGUGUCCCAAACUAGAGUUUGAGAGGAAGUAUUUUGUCGAGAAAAGUGAGAGAAAUAAAUAGAACUACAGGUUAUUUGUUUUCAGUGAUAUAAGACAUGUCACAAUUUCUUACUAGAAGGAAAGAAGAAGCAAGCUGUAACACUAAAUGAAGUUGAAUCUAAUAGUAGAGCUCACAGCAAAGCUGCGAAGGAGAAUGAAAAUGACUAUAGGAGUUUUAUGUCUUAUUAUUAAUGUAUACAGGUUUUGUAUUUUCUAUAAAUUUAUAGUUAAAUACUACACCUAUAGAGUUCUUGAUAAGAAUUCCUGUACACCAAAGGUUGUGUGAAUACCCCAUCGAAGUUUUUUUAAAAAUUACCUACCUUUAGAAAAAAAACUCGAUCUCUUGAUAGGAUAUAAACAGGACAGCAUCUGCUACAGAACCCAGUAUAAAAAGCCUAAGGAUCAUGUUUAUUCUAUAAAACACAUCUCUUAGAAUUGAUGGAAAAGAAUUGAGUCAUUGAGAGGAGAAGAGACAAAGUGAAACCCUUAUCUUCUUGUAAACAAAACACGCUGAUCUGUAUUUGUCUCUCGAUUGUAGCUGCUUUACAUAUAGCGAUAAGCAUCAUAUUUUAACUAACUGGUAAGUAAUGAUUAAUUAAUGCAUGGUUUGGUUAGUGAGAUUUAGUUAUGGUUCAGGGUAUUUUUUUUUUUAAUGAUAGAGUUUUUUUUAAAACUUUUUUUUGGCAGGGGUGCUUAAUUGGAGCUAUUGAAAAAUUGAAAAUGUUGUGUAGUGAUGGAAAAAAAAAGUUAUCCUUUUGUGGAUCAAUUAAAGAUGGAGAUUUAGUUAUUGUGUACGAGAAGAGAGAUGUAAUGAAAGCUGUGAAAGUAUGUGAGACAUCAGUGCUUCAAAACCGUUUUGGUGUUUUUAAACAUUCGGAUUGGAUUGGAAAGCCUUUUGGGUCCAAGGUUUUAAGUAAUAAAGGAGGUUUUGUUUACUUAUUAGCUCCAACUCCUGAAUUAUGGACUCUGGUUUUAAGCCACAGGACUCAGAUUCUGUAUAUUGCUGAUAUUUCUUUUCUCAUUACCUACUUGGAAAUUGU
rnacentral:lncRNA from 1 species